UUUAGCUAUCUGUAUGAUACAUCCGCUGAGACCUAGGGAUGGCAAAAUUCUCCACGGGUUUGGGGCCCCAUGGAGCCCCACCCCAAAUGGGGAAAAUUUUUAAUAAUUUUUGGGAAAUGGGGUGGGAAGUGGGGGAAAAAUAAUCCCCAAAUUGUUAAUGGGGUGGGGUUUGGUAUUGCACUCCCCACCCCAAUCCCCAUUAUAUAAAAAUAUUUUUAAUUUUUAUUUACUAAUUUUUUAGUAAUUAAAAUACUAAUUAGUCCCCACCCCAAUCCCCAUUAUAUGAAAAUAUUUUUAAUUUUUAUUUACUAAUUUUUUAGUAAUUAAAAUAUUAAUUAGUAAUUUUUUUAUUUUACUUAAUAUAGAUUAAUAAAUAUAUCAGAAUAUUUUUCAAUUCUAAAACAUUAUAAUGUUUUCUUUUCUCUUUUAAGGUGUUGCUCUCUUUAAAUAUUUUUCACUUUUAAUAUCAUUUUAAGAUAUUGUUUCAAACUUUUAGACAUUUUUAAAAAAAAAUUAAAUACUUCAUAAUAUGGUGAUGAUUUUAUUUUAAGUUUUUAAUUUUUAAUUUACUGAAAUCAUAUAUUUAUAUUUACUAUAAAAUAGGUAAAUGGGGAAUGGGGUGGGGAUGGGGAAAUCAUUCCCCAUGUGGGGAUUCCCCAUCCCCAACCCACUAAAUUUAUUGGGGAAUGGGGUGGGGAAUGGAGGCAAAAAAUUUUAAUGGAGUAGGAAAUGAGGUAAGCCUCCCCACCCCACCCUACCCCAUUGCCAUCCCUACUGAGACUCUGGGUGCAUUUUUUCCUGCUCAAAUACCGAAUAGUCACUAAGCAAUAUGAAUUCUUGAAAAAUUCCUCUUUAAACAACGAAACGACAGCACAACGGCUUUUGAAGGAUCAAAACUCAUUGCUCUGCACCACGUGUCGUCCUAUGUUCUUCUUUGCGGUUAGAUUAGAUUCUUUUAACCAUUCGACGGUCAAAAGCUAACAGACUAAAAGAAAAGCGAACCGUUGUGGGAUCCGCUUCAAUGAUGAAACCCGACAUGUCGCUAUCAAAUUUCUUUUUAAAUAUGUGGUGGUUGUGGAAAUAACAUUAAGUCGCUAUUCAUAGAAGCCAUAUCCUUAGAAUUUGUUAAAAAUUCACAAGUAAAAUCAAUCAUUUAACCGUUAAAUAUUUGAAAAUCAGCUAGAUUCAUUUAACCGUUAAAUAUUUGAAAAUCUAAAAAUUCACAAGUAAAAUCAAUCAUUUAACCGUUAAAUAUUUGAAAAUCAGCUAGAUUAACUUAUUUAUCUCCAUGUUUUGAGAAACAUAUUAUUGAACUUUCAACAAAACUUGACAAUAUAUACGAUAUAAUUUGUAACAUGACUUACUGAUUCAACAUGAAAAUGAUAUAAAUUAAGUUAAUAAAUUUAAAUUAAUCAAAGAUUACACAAGUAGUAAUCAUAUAAAAUAUGUGUCAUUUAUUUACCAACCUGUUUGGGUUUAGAUUUUUUUUUAAUAUUAUAUAUGACAUCAUAAUUAUGAUAUUAACCAUAUAGGUCCUCAAUAAUAUUUAAAUAAAAAUAUUAAACGGGUGAAAAUUAAAACAAAAUCUAAUUUAAAGAUAUGUUAAUAAUACUUUUAUCAAUCGUGUGCUAAAUUAGUGUUUUAAGCUUUUUAGUUUCAUCGAACUCGUGCCGCCCAAAAUUUUCAUGAUGAAGAAUACGAUAAAUAAUCCAACCUAAACUACUACAAGUUUAUAACAGGGUCUCUGCAAAAAUAUUAUCUAUCACUUAUGCCCUUUCAUUUAAAUUUCUGUAAACAUUAGGGACCUUCUUGCUAUUAUCUCAAGCCUGCAAAUACCAAGAGUCAUUCGCAGUCUACUCAUAUUACAAAAACCAAAACAAGAUAUAAUUCGGGGGGGAAAAAAAUUCGUAUCACAAGAUAAAAAUUUCUCACACUCUUAAGUUCUAAUACAGAGAUGGCGCAAGUUAAUAUUUGCAGAGCUGUGGCUUUGAUUCUCUUCAUUGCAGCGCUUUUCUCAAUGACAGCUGUCGGCAGUGCACAGGAUGUCGACCUAGCGCCGUCGCCGAGCAUGGACGCCGGAGCUGCGUUCCCGGUGACUGUUUCCGCUGGCUUUGUUUGCCUCUCACUCUUCUCUCAGUCAUUGCUCUACUAUUGCAGUAAUAGGUUCUUGAGAGACUCAGAUUUUUAUUUUAUUUUUAUUAUUAGGAUAUUUAUUAUUUUUGAAAAUUUUGGGUAUUUUUUUUUUUAAUUGCUAUUUGGUGGGAGUGCAUGUGUUUGAGUUGCUGAGAGUGAGAAUGUAUUAGUUUUAAUAAUGCAAUUAUUUUUUCCCCUAAUCUUUGGUUAGGGUUGUUUUUUCUUUUUAUUUUUUUAAUGGUCUUGAUAUUAUGUUCUAUUUUAAUUAUAAAAAUUAGUAUUAUUAUUUAUCAUCUUGCAUCUCUCUUUAAUAUUCAUCGGGCUUUAAACUUAAAAACUCCCAGAGAUCAUUUCUAUUACAAGUAUUGUUAAUUUUAAGUAUAUUUAGUACAAAAUCUAGCUGAAGGAAAUUGACUUUUAAAUAAGAAAAAAAAAUCUAUUUAGGUGGUUAAAAUCUAAAGCUACCUGAAAAUCUAUUGCAAAUUAAUAAUUCAAAAUCCGUGUCAUUAUUUUAAGCCAAAAAUUUCUCAAGAAAAAUUGAACUGGGGAUAGUUUUAUGUAGUUUCGUACUUUCAAUUUCAAAUGGGCCGGUUUAAUAAUUAGACCAUUUACUUAAAAUCAUCAUACUUAUCUCUUUUGUGCGUAGAUCUGCGAACGCCGCUGCCCACAGUGUAGCUAGGGUGGGGGGUUCUAUGUCAGGUCCUGGAGAGUGGAGAGAUGUUCCACCUCUAUGGUUAUGUCCCAUGUUGGCUAUUCCUCUUGUUUAAUGACAUUUCCUUCAUCAAAAAAAAAAAAAAAAAUCAUCAUACUUAUCUCGAAAUUCAUUUUUUUUCCUCGCAUACUUUAUAUUAAUCAACAUAUAUAAAAAUUUUAAUAGAAACACGAUGCUUUUCCAAAAUCCUCUUGGCAUACGAAGUCUUCAUCUCGAUUUGAAAUUCAACCAUAUCUGUUUUUCUUUUUCUUUUUUUUUCUUUUUUUCACGUUUCAUUUACCAUUAUCCAUUCGCAAAUGCAUAUUGAAUCACCUUAGGAAUUUGCAAAACCUGUGAGGUUGAUACAAAUUAAUUAACAAAUCUUGGUUUGCAGACAAUUGAUUUUAAUCAGUUCCCAACUCUUUUCAUUAUCUUCUGAAAGCAACUUGCAUCUGUUGAGGUUAACUGAUGAAGAAGAUACUCAAAAAUACAAACAAGAAAUUAAAAACAAAGGCAACAAGCAAGAGACAUGCAAAUUUAGAGUGCCCCUCUCUGUGUGGGGCUAAUGGUCAAUUUUGGAAUUAUCGUUCGAAUAGUCAAAAUUGAUUGUUUGAAAUUAACUACAAACGUGUUGUUCGGUAAAUUAUUUUAUUUGACUUCAGCCCGAGAUAUAUUAAUUUGGCACUUAAAAAUUAAGAAAAAAAAAGAAUAUUCUGGAUUAAACGAACUUGGAAAUUAAGAAGCUACACUUGUAAACCAAUUAUAUAGCCCGGAAAGACCUUGACUCCAAUAGAAAUCUACUUCAAUCUUUGGAAAAUUUUGAUACAAGUUCUAAAUUUUCCACAAGAUAUCCCAAAAUGUAAUUUUCAAACAAUUGUUGUUGGUGUGGUCGAGCUCGUUUUAGACGUUUAGGCAUUGUUAGAACUUGUAUAAGGACAAUGACUUCUUGAGUCAUGAAUAAAAGACCAUUUAUGGAUUAAUAAAAAUCUGUAUGGGGCUCCAAAACCAAAUUUUACUGAUUAUUUGAUUAUUUUUAAUGCCACAAUGACACAAAUUACCAAUUUAUAGAGUAGAAAAUAACUUGUAAUGAAUAGAAGAUCGAUUAUUUAUACAUGGAAUUAUGGAUUAAUAAAAGUCUUUGCUCCUCCAAAACCAAUUUUUAUUGAUUAUUUUAUUAUUUGAUUAUAUAUUUUGGACCAAAAAUAAAAUAAACCUAAUAAGACCCAAAUAAAUUUAAUCUCAAUAAGACCCAUUUAAUAAAUUUUCUCUCAAUUAAGCCCACAAAGUGGUGGACAAAUCACUUAAAAUAUUCCUCCUAAGUAACAAGAUUUCAAAGCCUAAAAGAAGCCAAGGUCCUAGAUUCCUAUUAUAAGACAAACCACCUAGGAUAAAUCAACUAGGUGGCAAGGAUUUAAAGUACAAAACGUGCUGAGGUUCUAGGCUCUUAUCCUAGGACAAACCUCCUAAGUUUGAGGGCUUUUAUGAUCCCAAGAUCUUAGUAAAAAUAACCUAAGGAUAAAACGUUUCUUCCUUUAAUCCGUAAACAAAUCUGUAUAUCCAUGUGUCAAUCAACAUACUAGGGGGCAAGUGUUGUAAAAUGUCAUAAGAAUAAUGACAUUUGUCAUCAAAAUAACUAGGACCCAAGUCAAAUCAGUUUGGUCGAUAAAUACGUCUUUCAUUCUCACUAAAAGAUAAGAAAAAAAAAAGAGACUAAAAAGGAGAAAAGACUAACUUUCUCCCUCUAAUAUUUCUCUUUCUAAAUUUAUGUUUCCAAAAGUCCGGUUACUGACUUGAUCGUCGGAGGGCCCUCUGAUCUUUUUCUUGUAUUUACAGAGUAUCACUAGACGAAAACAUUCUGAUUGCCUAAGAAAGUGAAUUGAGAUGAGCAUAUAUAAAGGCCCAUUAAGAUCAGCUCAAAGGAUAAACUCAUCAUCAUCAAAUCUAAAAAAAAGGAACCCAAGUCCUAAGGGGGCUAUCCUCAGUCGAAAUUUCCACAUCAUAAGUUGGGACAAAAUUUGCACCAACAAUAUAUAUUGCCAAAAUGACACCAAUUGAAAGCUUAGGUAGAAAAUGUCAAUAAUAAUAAUAGUAUUUAAUUUUUUUUUUGGUGGAUGAUUGAUACCAAUUAUAAACUUAGAAUAAAAAAAUUGAAUGAAUUUAAAAUUUUAUAUUACUUUUGAUAACAAGAUAAAUAUAAAUAGAUGACUAAUAAUUUUUCUACAAUUAAUCCUAAUUCUUCAUUUUUGAAUUUGAGUGGCCAACAAAUAAAAUUAUUUGAAAACUACUCUAUCCUGAGAGUUAUUGUGAGAGUUAUUGGUAGAUGUGUGAUUGCUAACCACCAGAAAAAAAUAAUAAAAAAAAAUUUAAUUGAGGAAAAUCAAAUAUCUAUAAAGAUUUGUACCAAUCAUGUACACAAAUCAAACUCCCUCAGUGUUCUAAAGUGUAAAGGCCAGAGAAGACCUUGACUCACUAUUGUGUUUGAAAACGAGUGUUGCUAUUCAACGCGGGAAGAAGAUGAUUAUGGGCCUGUUCAUGGUGUCCUUUUCCUGCGUUAAAGUGUCUAUAUGAACUUUAUAAGAAUUUGCAGAAUCCAAUCAACUGAAAAAUUACAAUCAUGGAACCGACUUCCUCCAUUUUCAGAUUGGCGGCCCUUGUAUGGGCUGUAAUAUUUACAUGCGAUAACGUUGCUGUUAGAACUGGUACAAUUGUCACAGCAUCUGCUUUGUCACCCAUACAGUUAGAAAAGAAAGCUUUAAUCAAUACUGGCUGGUGGAACUGCACCUGGACGACGGCCGACUACUCUUCGGACCAUUGCACGUGGGAACUGGGAAGGCAUCACUUGCAAUUCAGCAGGAAGCAUAAUCGAGCUACACUUGUCCUCGAACGGACUUACAGGUAACAUACGAAAUUAACUUCAUUACCGCAUAUUAUUUGAGCAAUCAUAUUUAAAUGGAUUAAGUUUGAGAGAAUACUGACAAAAACAAAGGUAAACCAGACCUAUUUUAUCAUAUUAAUUGAAAAAAUGAUAAUAAUAAUUAACACGGUAAAUACAUCUGUUUGCCGUUGUUUAAAUUUCUUUAACAUUUUUUUCAUUAUUUUUGCAAACUAAUAACAUAAAUGUAUAUAAUAGGUACAAUCCCUUCAGAGAUUGGAAAUUUGAGGAAUCUCACCAAUCUUGAUUUAUUUGAUAACGUCCUUACUGGAACUGUUCCUUCAACUCUUGGUCGUUCAACCAAAUUGAAUUUUAUGAGCCUCUCUCGCAACAUGCUCGGUGGUAUACUACCUUAGGAAAUUGGGAACCUGAAGAAUUUGAUCGAGCUGGACGUGGGCAGUAACAGCCUAAUUGGACCGAUUCCUUCAACUCUAGGUCUUUUGACCGAUUUGAGCUAUUUGGACCUUAGUCGUAACCAAUUCAACAGCUCAAUUCCAAAUGAGCUCACCUGGCUAACUGGACUUCUUGGUCUUAAUCUUUCCUCAAAUAAACUUUCUGGAAAAAUUCCUUCACAGAUAGCAAGUAUGAAGAAUCUAACCUGGUUGGACAUAUCAAAUAACAAGAUAGAAGGUUCAAUUCCCGGUGAGAUCACCGAGUUAUCUCGACUUGAUUAUCUAAAUCUUUCCUCUAACAAACUUUCUGGCCCAGUACCGUUUUCAAAUGAACAACUCUCAAGCAUGUAUAUAGUAAGACUCUCUCCUAACAAGGGUUUAUGCGGCAAUUUUAGUGCUCUUCCUUCAUGCGAUGCAACCAAACCUGCCACUCUUUUUGUUGAAAUUUUUCUUCCCCUCGCCAUAGUCCCCUCAGUUAUAGUCUUUGCAUGCUUACUAGUCGUCAAACGUAAGUACAAGAAACCCAAACUCAAGGCAAACGCAACCAAUAGCAUAGGUGUAUUUUCAAUAUGGAAUUAUGAUGGUAGAAUUGUCUACGAGGAUCUGAUUGAAGCCACGGAAGGUUUUGACAUUAAAUACUGCAUUGGUACUGGAGGGUAUGGCAGCGUCUACAAGGCACAGCUUCCCAACGGCAAGGUAUUUGCAUUGAAAAAGCUUCACACUUCAGAAACAGAGGAAUUGGCGUUCAUCAAGAGUUUCCGAAACGAGGCUCAAGUACUUUCUCAAGUACUGCACCGUAAUAUUGUUAAAUUAUACGGUUUUUGCUUGCACAGAAAAUGCAUGUUUCUCAUUUACGAGUACAUGGAGAGAGGAAGCUUGUUCUGCAAUUUACACAAUAAUGAGGACGCCGUGGAGUUGGAUUGGGCUAAGAGGGUGAACAUUGUAAAAGCCAUGGCACAUGCUUUGGCGUACUUGCAUCAUGACUGCUCACCAUCAAUUAUUCACCGCGACAUAUCGAGCAACAACAUUCUACUUAAUUCAAAAUUUGAGGCAUUUGUUGCUGACUUUGGCACUGCCAGGCUUCUACACGCUGAUUCGUCCAAUCGAACUCUAUUAGCAGGAACAUAUGGAUAUAUAGCUCCAGGUUUACCCUUAUGAUAUCUAUUCUUCUCACGAUCGAUCCUUUAUUUGGUUCAAUUUUAUUUUAUUUUGCUUUAUACUGCAGUCAUAUCCCAUAACAUCUCUCUUAAAUAGAUAGCCAGCUGGCUAGAGAAACUCACAAAUGAAAUUAUCUCUUUUAUUAGCGGGAAGCUACAUUCUAUGAUUACAUUUUUUUGUUUUGGGCAGAACUUGCCUACACCAUGGUUAUGACGGAGAAAUGUGAUGUUUAUAGCUUUGGAGUGGUGACACUUGAAGUAUUAAUGGGAAAGCAUCCAAGGGACCUUCUUUCGUCAUUAUCAUCAUCAUCUGAUCCAAAAAUCAUGUUGAUUGAUGUUUUAGACCAACGUCUUCCACCUCCAGUUGAUCGAAAGGUUAUUCGAGAUAUCCUUCUUGCUUCAACAAUUUCAUUUGCAUGCUUGCAAUCGAACCCAAAGUCUCGACCUACCAUCUGAUCCAAAAAUCAUGUUGAUUGAUGUUUUAGACCAACGUCUUCCACCUCCAGUUGAUCAAAAGGUUAUUCAAGAUAUCCUUCUUGCUUCAACAGUUUCAUUUCCAUGCUUGCAAUCAAACCCUAAGUCUCGACCUACAAUGCAAUAUGCGUCUCAAGAAUUUCUCAUCACUCGCAAGACUCCAUUGGUAAAGCAUGCUGCUAUUCAAGAUAUUUCCAUCUCAGAACUUAGAAACUAAUAAAGGAUGUAUUGAUUGAUCAAUAUGAUUGCUAAUCUUAAAUGUAUUUCGUUGAUAGUACUUUGUAAAACUUUGGUGAGGGUGAAUUUUGGUUUCAUGAAACCAAAACCUUUCUUGAAUAAAGAUGAAAAUAACUCUUCUAGAGUGAAAUUGGUGCUUCGAAUCUAAACUAAUACAUCCUUAAUUAUUGUUUCUGAGUGAAUUGCAUGUGCAAAUAAGGUCAAAAAGUUUUGCUAUUGUGCUUGGGAAAUCUUCUUUCAAAUGGACAAAUAAAUAAUCAUAACAAUAGCAAUAAUUAUUGUAACUCAUGAGUUCUGUUAACUAUAAAUCAAAGUGGGAAUAUUUCCAUAUUGUGGCAUGACAUGGGCUUUUCUUCCCAACCAAAAUUUAAAAAAUUUUAGAUUCUCUAUUUGACUAUUUAAUUGUGUAGACUCGUAUAUAAAGGGAGAUUGUCAAUUUUCUCCAUAUUGUAAUCAAUAUAUACCAUUUGUCUCUUUACUGUUUUUAUAAUAAUCAAUAAUCUCUUGACAACAUAACUUUAUAAUAUUACCCUUAUUUUCAAAUACACUUUUAUUCAUUGCUGUACGGCCAAGGCGGAUGUACGGUACAGCAGCUUAUGUAAUAUCUAUCCUUAAAAAAUUAAAAAAAAAAGAUAAAUUAUAUAGCCCGAAAAGACCUUGACUCCAAAAGUAGUCUCUACUUCAAUCUGUGGAAAAUUUUGAUACAAUUAAGUUCUAAAUUUUUCCACAAGAUAAUUGAUGUUGGUGGUACACGAUAAACACGUCUGCCUAGGUUUGUGGGAAAACUGGAAUAGAUUACAAAGACUGGAAUAAAUUAUAAUAAGGCUAAGCAAUAAGACCUGGUGCUCAAAUUCUAAAAGUAUUACAAAGACUUUUGGUACCUUCCUUAAAUUCACUUUAUACUUGAAUAGCCAUAUCUGUUCUUGAUAAAUUUAUGUUGUUAUGGAGGUUAUUAAUUAUUAUUAAAAAAAUAAAUAAUAUAUAUUGAUUACAGUAGGGGAAAAUUGACAAUCUCCCCCAAUAUAAAUGUAGACAAACUGUUAGCCUUACUUCACAGAAGUUUCAUUGCAUGUCGUUUCGCGGUGGUGCAUGAGAGUGAUCAAUUAAUUGGAAACGGCAAUGUUGAAGUUGAUAUGAUAAAAGUGAAAAUGAUUAGAUAUUCCACCAUGUCUAAAUUCAAGAAAUUGAAGCACAAAUCAAGUGAUCAAAUUCUCUCAUAUAAUUAAUUAUCAAUCACUUGGCCUGAAGGUCAUCAAGAAUCGGUUGACAAAUUAAAUUACAUUGUUCUUUCGUAAAUGGUAAAAAAAUAUAAUCUAAGACUUAGGUCAUAUUUGAUAUUAAGGUGUUAUAUCUUUUAAGUUAUAGUCGCUGUGAAACAAAACUGUAAUUAUGAAAAAAUUGAGAGUGUAUAAUCAAUAUAACUUUUAACUAAUAACUUUGACAAAAAUAAUAAAAAUAUUAUAGACUUCUCAUUAUACAAAUGUGAAAUCAAAUCAACUUAACUUCUAUACCACAACAGUCAAUACUUACCAAAUAACUUAUUGCUAUAACUUAGAAAACUAUAACUACCCAACAUUGAUGCCGAACAGGACCUCAGUUUGUAAAUAGUGUGUCAUUCUUUCCUUGCUUUAAAAUACUAGUAGUAUUAAGUCUUCAGCUUGAAAUCAAUCCAACGGUACAUAGUUUUUUCCAAGUUCCAUCAGCACCAAAUUUAUGCAUGAUCCACGUCUAAAAUGAAUACUGAAUGUCUGUGGAAUCAACCAAAAUUACCAACACAAGAGAAUGAUUUAACACCAUAAGUUUCCAAUGAUUCCACACCAGUAUUAAAAGAACAAUCCAAAGUACUCCAUAGUGUCAUCACUUUUUAUUCAUUGUCAAAUGCCAACUUGUAACAAGCUCCAUUAAGGUCUAUAGCAAAAUUUUGUAGAAGCACUUUUAUUUUUUUGGAGAGCACUGAUAUUUGAAAGAAAAAUUAAAUAAAUAUGACAAAAAAAAUCUAACUCCAUGUGCGUUUAAGAGUGUGUUUACUUACUAGAAUAAGAGUAAGAAGCAUGAAAUUCUCUCACUCUAGUGUUUACAUGCUUAUUUAAGGGUAAAAGUGGGAAUCCUACUUCAUGACUCUCACCCACUUUUGGAGUGUGGAGUGAGAUUACCACUCCAAUAUUCCCACUUUCACCUAUUCUUUUUUUACCAUUCCCUUUAAAUAUAACAUAAUUAUAUUUAUUAAAAUAAAAUAUUAAAUAAAAUAUAAUUGUAUUUAUUAAAAUAAAAUAAUGUUACAUUUAUUCAAAAAUAGUAAUAUCAUAUCUACUUACUGCUGUACUUGUCUAAUUUUAUCCAAUGUAUCGACAACUCUGAUUUCUUUUUAAAAUUUAAAUGAUCACAUUAUCCUUAUGAGGCUGAACUUUACCCAUUUUAGACUUUUAGUUGUCUAUUGUGUAACAUAACUAGAAAGAGCAUUUCAACUAUUUAAGUCUCUUAGAUCCUUUCCGAAUUUUUUUUUUCUACUAGUUACUUCUAUAAAAAUCUGCUGUACCGUACAUCCGCCUUGGCCGUACAGCAGUCUACUAUAUUAUUUAUAAUAAGGUUUCAUUUGUGUUGCUCUUAUAAAUAAUUUUUAUUUUACUUAAUUGAAAUUAAAAUUAAUACAAAAUUUGUGAUUUACAUAAUUGAGAAUGUUAAAAAUAAUUGCUAAGUCAUAUGAUUAAAAUUAAUAAUAAAAUAACUAGUUUAUUUUAGAAAUAUAUUUUUAUUCAAUUUUUAAUUAAGAACUACAAUUCUUUAUAUAAGGGUAAAACUGUAAUUAAAAAAAUUCAAUCCUAAUACAAAACAAAUUAAACACAUAAAUGAGAUUCUAAUUUUUAUUCCACAAUCUCAUUCCAGUGUAAGUAAAUAACCGACUCCCACUCCAACUCUACACUCACAAUCAUAAGAUUCUCACUCCUCAAGAUUCCAAUUUAAUCUAAAAAAUAAACGUUACCUAAAUACUUUGUUUACAAAAUUGUAAUAAUAUCAUAUGGGAUUACUAUCCAUUAUAUCACCCUAUGGUCUGCUUUCAUUUAUCAAUUAAUCUGAUGGGUUCGCCUCAAUCUGAGAUGUAGAAAUAUGGGCCUCGUCCUAGGUCCAAUUUGAGUUUAGAAUCGGGUUGAUCCAUUAAGGCCUGUUCCUGCCGAGCCCCAUAAAUUACAAAAAUUACAUAAAAUAUAACUAGAAAUCUUAAUAACACUUCUCAAACAAAGUGCAAACGUUAGGUAUAUAAAAAAGAAACGCAAAUGAAAUGAAGAAAGCAAAGGAAAAUGAAAGGAAACGAAAUGGUGAUUGAUGAGUGAUGAUUGAUGAUUGAUGAGCACAGCUGAUAACAUCUACUUAGCUUAGCGCAGUUGUUUUUGUCAUUGCUUGCACCCCGCCAUUGAACAAUCUCUUUCUUCCACUGUACAUAUUCCAAAUAUGCUCUCAAAUAACGUUUUAUUUAGUGUUAUUAAUUAAUUAAUUAAUUCAGUGGAGUCGACAAAAAACCAAAUCCAAUUUGUUAUUUUGAUUUGGUCAAUUAUUUUAAAACCCAAAACCCUAUAAAUAUUAUUCGCCAACCUCAAAUACCCACUACAGUUUUUGAGUUUUUGAAGGGAAAUAUAGGACAGCCUAGAGGAAGAAAAUGGUUUCUCAGGUUUUGGUAGCUCUUGGGCUUUCACUUGUGGGUGGAUUGAGUACUUCUAUUGGUGAGUUUUAUUGGAAAUUUAGAAACUUUUGGUUCAUUUUUUGGUUAAAUGUUUCUGGGUAUUUGCUACCUUUCUGUUUUAACUCUUUGGCGUUGCUAGUUUUUCUGCUUAAAUUCAUGAAGUUGACUUUUUAAGGUCUUGUGCUUAGAAGCGUCUGAUUGAAAUUUAAGGUCUUUUACUAAUGUGAUUGUGUUUGUUGACUGCUAAUUAUUGAUUGUUUUUAUGUUUUUGUGGUAUUGGGUAUUUGUUGAGUUUGUAUUUUACGUCAAAUUUAGUGGAUUCUGCUUGUUUAUAUGGAAUUUAGAGGGAGUGAAUGUGGUAGAGCUGAGCCGAGUUAAGCUGAGUUGUGAUGACUAGUUGAGAAUAAUGUGAUUAAAGAAUUGUGCAUUUCAGUUAAAUGGAAAUCUGAAUUUGGCCUUAAAAUUUUAACUUAUGAUUUGUUUAAAUGGAUUUUUGAUUAAAAGGACAAACCAUGGUUAUCAAAUUAGAUGGCUGGUUAUAUUCAUCGGAAUAGUAUUAAAAAGUCCUUGCUUUAUAAGAGUUUAUGGGUGAUGUCUAUGACUGACAAGAUAACUAGAAGUUAAUAGAUGAGGGAAUAAUUUGUCCUUUUUCUAUUUCUCUUCUUUAUGAUGGUAGUCAAGGGGACUGAGUGAUCUAUGGUAUGAUAUUCCUCUUCCCAGAUUCGUGUAGCUAGAAAAUGGCAUGAAUGAGAAGUUGAGAUAAGUCUUAGAAUAUAUCAUGCAUAAUGUUUGUAGAGAGUGAUUCCAAUGAGGUCUAGUUGAUAAUCUGGUUCUACAUGCUUGAUAUUGUUGCAGGUGCACUUUUUGUUGUUCUUAAUGAAGCUCCCAAUUUGAAGGUGCUUGGGCUUUUACAGGUAAUUUAUAAUGUUGUGUCUUCAUUUCUGUUGUAAAAAACUGAGUUUUUGUUUUUAAUUUUAUUUUUUUGUUUUGAGAAAGUGCAUGUCGCUUGUGUAGUGUUGAUGGAUUUUUUGAAGUAUAGUUUACUGGGGCAUGAGAUAAAAAGAUGAAUGAUAACACUCUGAUUAAUGACAUUGUCUAAAUCAUAGUUGGCUUAUGUGCAGGGUUUUGCUGCGGGUCUGAUGCUGAGCAUAUCGUUUCUAGAUUUGGCUCAUAAUGCCAUAAACUCCAUUGGCUUUUUGAAAGGGAACCUUUGGGUCGGCUGUGCUCCCUGUAUUUAUGUUUUUAUUGUUUAACUUUUAACUACACUGGCUUAUUCCUGUUGAUUCUAACAAUAAUUUUAACAUCUUGGCAAUGUAGUUUUUUUCUGGUGUUAUAUUCUUCGCAAUCGUUGCCAAUUUUAUCCCUGAACCAUCACUUGCUCAGGGUUCUGAUCUAACAAGUAAAAAGGUUUCAAAGUUCUAUCCUCCUAAUAAAUGAUUAUAUUCAUGAUGUUCUUGCAUAUGAGAUUGACUUUGGAGCUUCUGUAUUCUGCUGAUAUCUUUACAAGUAUAUUAACAGUUUUUUACAUUGUGCUUGAGAACAGAAAAACAAGGAUGAAGGGGGUAAGGACAUUAUGAAAAAGCAUCGUCGCCAAGUUCUUUUUAGUGGGAUUAUUACAGCCGUAGGUAUGACUACAUUGUCGUUAUGGUUGAGCUCUUCUAGUCUGAGAUUAUCCUUUCAGUAGGUUCAGUCAUUACUUGCGAUUUCUGUGCUAGAGUAAUGUAGGCAAACACCAAAGGUUGAAUCGAUGAUGCAGCCUAUUACUUGUCUAAUUAGUUGAUCAUUGACUGCACUUCCUCAAAAGUUUGCGAAGAGAACACUUAGUGUUUAUAGCUUCAUUAAGGGCUAAGAAGGGUUUUAUUUUAAUUUUUUCUUUAUUUUUAAUGGCAUCUAAGUUUGUGGAAACUGAGAGAACUGAUAGCAUAUUGUGGCGCAUUGGCUAUUUUAAAGAUUUGGGAAAUGCUGGAGGUGUCAAUAACAUUUGGCUAUUUGAGCUGUAAAAAGUGGUUUUUGUAGGGCUUAGGGUGGGUUCAAUGAUGAUAAGAAUCGAAGUUGAGGAGGAAAAAGGAAAAGAGAAUUGCAUUGCAGAAAUGGAAAUUCAUAUCUGCUUAAAAUUUAUAAUCUUAGUUUAUGCAUACAUUUGAAAGUUCCUGGGGAUUUUGGUUCCACAAUAAAUGGACUAAUAAAUUUGAAACUUAGAAGUAGAAACCUGAAUGUUGAACCAAGCUAAAAUUCACGCAUGAAAGCUCGAAAAGAAGUUAAGUUGUUAAUCAAAGAAGACACAUGAGAACAUAAACGCAAGCCAUACAGAAAACCUUGUAGAUCUUCAAACAUUGUACUAUUAAGAUUGAAGAGAUCAAAGGGAAAAGGAGAAAAAAAAAAGCAUUUACUGCUAGGAACAUGAAGAGUAAUGAUUAAUAGUAGCUAAUUUUGAUAAAAGUUCCUAGUAGAUCAAGGAACUAUUUUGUCAAUGUUUGCAAUUUUUAUUUACUUUUUAGGAAAAUUCAUUUGUCGAAGUUAGAUAAAACGAGACAAAACCCACUAUAGGCACUAUGUAGUUGAGCUGGUAGUUCUCUUUUAAUUUUACAAGAGGUCUUGGGUUCCAGUCCAAGAGAGAGGAGCGUAUUGAGUGAAUUUUCUACAAUGACAAAUUAAAUGCUAUUUUUCUUGGCCUGAUAAUGAUAGAUAAUCUCAAUUCACAAUAACCUUCACAACGCUUCAAUAUUUCUAUGCAUAAAAUUAGGAGAAACUCUUAUCAAUCAAUUGAUGUGUAAUAAUACAAUCUCCAAUUCUGGAUAAAUCGAGUACUUAUAUUGGGUUUCAACUGAUAAAUUUCUCUCUGGGUUGUAGGCAUAAGCUUGCACAAUUUUCCUGAGGGAAUGGCCGUAUUUCUUGGAUCAAUGAAGGUAGCCUUCACUGUUUAUAUUUUGGUAACAAUUUAUCAUGUUAAUGAUAGGUUAAUUCACUAUGCAGUCAUAUUAAUGAAUAGACUUGUGGCAGCCCAUUGCAGUGUUUAAGUUAACAUCAUAGUUGUAAUAAAUUACAUAGGAAACCAAAACAAACCAAUUUCAUUUUAUAUGGAUGAUCCUGCUUUGGCAUAGGCCAAUAUUGAAUAAUGACCUGUACUUUUAUUCUGUUAUUUCGCUUGACAUAACCAACUCAAUAUGCUAAACAGAAAUUCGGAAACUAUGUGCUCCAUGAGUUAUGAUACCCCUUUUGGCGUACCAUGUGGGACUGGAUAAGCUCAUAAGAUAGAAUAAUAUUUUAUCUUAUAUUUGGUGUAGGGUUGAGUAAACUGAUCUAAUUUUGAAAACCAUAAAAUGAAUAUGAUGAAAAAAGGAAAAUAAAAGAAAAAAAAAAUUUCGUUAAUGAAAUGUUCAUUAUACAUAAUGUUAUUGUCAUAUGAGUUUGAUUUGGUUGAAUGCUGAUAUUUCUUAUUUUAGUUGCAAGUUAACCUACUAAUGGGUCUACAAGCAUAAGGAAUUGAUGCCAUAUUGUUCAACUGAUACACAAAAUUCUAAAUGAAUAUUCCAUUAAUGGUAUUGGAUUAGUGAUAUGGUAUCACAAGAGCUUGUGCUGAUAAUUCCAGUUUGUUUGCCACUUGCUUCUCAUGUAGGGCCUUCGUGUUGGCCUUAAUUUGGCAGUUGCCAUUGCUUUGCACAACAUCCCUGAGGUAUAUAUUCUGAGAUCUCGUACUAUGGAAUUUUUAGUUUUCUUCGUUCAUUGCUUUACAAUAUGUCACAGGUUAUUCAACUACAUUACUUUCUACUGUAGCUGUAUUUACAUAUACUUGGCUGAAUCAUUAAUUAUAAAUGAUAAAAGUCAAGCCAAGUUUAAAAUCAUUGCUAUAUCUCUCUUUUUUUUUUUUUUUUUUUUUAUGUGAAUCAGUUUGGUCCAUGAAAGCAAAUAUCAUAAUAUUGGAGAAGAGAAUUUGCCAUCUUAAUUUCUUAUUAAAGUCAUGCCAGAUUGCUAGCUUUUCGUAGCUUCAUAAUCAACAUCAUUUCUUGUCUCUUUCUGGAUACUAAAUUAAUUGAAUUUGAUCACAUGUCAGAAAAUUAUUUACUAUGGUGACCAAGCUUUUUGAAAAUUAAAAAUUAUGAGAAAGUGAUAUUUCAGUAAAGGGAUACUAUUUAUUUUAAGGAAUACAAGUCAUCUAUUGAUAUAUUAAUGAUGUUGAGCAAUAAUGAAUAUCCUUUUAUGUUGGCAUUCAUUCUAGUUUUUCUUAUUCAGGGUGUUGCUGUUGCUCUUCCUGUUUAUUUUGCAACACAGAGGUAAGAAUCCCCAAGGCACUAUUUAGCACAGCAUUUUCAAAGCACUUAAUGGAACAAGAAUAAGAAAAUAAUAGGAGAAAGAUUUAUGCAUUUAUCACAUUUUCGACAUGAUUGAAUUUGAUUUUUAUUACUCUCUGCUCAAUAUGGGUUUUCUCAACCUGAUCUAAUUUUGGCAUUGGAAGGUCUACCCAACUUAACACACUUUUUUGGCUCUUGCUGAAUAUUAUUGCUUGUUCCAAGAUAAUCGGAAUACGUGCUUAAGAUGCUAGCUUGAACAAAACAACAUUUAAUCAUAGUUUUAUCAUGCAUUGUGUGUGUGCAUGCGUGUAUGCCCCAAUUACCUCCUAACUGUAAUUUUUUAAGUAUUGCUAGUUGUUAUUGUGAUACCAUGUGAUGCAAAUAAAAUUCAUUUAUAGGAUUACUAUUAACUUUUCAUUGUAUUUACAUGUCUUAGCAAGUGGCAGGCAUUCAAAUUGGCUACUCUUUCUGGUUUUGCGGAGCCUCUUGGAGUUAUAAUUGUGGGUAUGUUUACUAUCCUUGCGGAGCAGGUGAUAUCUGAUAAAAAGGGGAAAAAAUUAAUUUGUCCUAAUUUUUGGCUCUUUUGUCUUGUUAGUUUGUAAAGAGUAAAUGAGUAGUGGGGUGUCAUUAUUUACACAACUUGGCUAAAUAUUCUGCUUUGCUGGUAAAUGGUUGCGAGGUAGUUGUUACUCGAGUAGACUGUUAGACCAAUGAAAACUUAUGUUAGGCGCAAAUAUAAAGAGGCAGAGGCAGUUUAGUAAUUUUAAGGGCGGGGGCAAUUUUAUUAUUAAUUAGGGUUCAGGUAUAAAUAAGAGGUUAUGGAGUCAUUUAGGGUUUAUGUUGAAUUUUGUCUAGUAUUAGGAACCAUUAGGAGUUUUGGGAGAGAUUGACCUACCUCUCGAAUUGUAGGUGAGGAUUGAUUGUUUGUUUUCUUUUGAUUUAAUCAAUAAAAGUCAGCCCUAAUUUAGCCCUAAGUCCUAUCAUAGACAAGUGUUAGAAGGUGCAGUAAAAUACAUUAAGGAGCAGUUUAGCUUAUUAAUUAUGAUAAAUUUCUGACAAAGUCCUCUGUUGAAUAUUAUUGAUAACUUUUAUGAAUAUUAUAGAAAUGUUUAACUUCACAGAUAUAUGUAUGCCGCAAAGUGUCUAUUUCAAUACUGUAAUUUGUGAAAUAUUAGUACUUGUCAGUAGAAGUAUUAUAAUUAUGUGUUUUUUGUAAGAACAAGUUUUAACAGUAUAUAUGAUGUCUUUAUAUUGAAUCUUAGUCUCUUUGCUUGCAAGAAUUUGUUUUAACUGUUGAUGAAGUGUAUUUGAACUGCUUACAAUGGAUGCCUUUUCUUUUGUUUAUCAGCCUACUUAUUUCCAAGCAGUUUAAGUCCUGAAAUUCUCGAGGGUUUGCUAGGAUCAGGUUUGAUUUAUUGUCAAUUGUUUGACAUCUCUAGUUAAUAGAAAAUUAUGUUGAGUUACAACGACUUUCCCAGCAAUUCUAUUUUUAUGAUUGCAGUUGGGGGAGUGAUGGCCUUCCUAACUUUGCAUGAAAUGCUGCCGUUGGCCUUUGAUUAUGCGGGUCAGAAGCAAGCCGUGAAAGCUGUAUUCGUUGGGAUGGCUUUCAUGUCUGCAAGGUAAUUAAAUUUAUGACUAAGAAACUCUGUUUUGGUUGCUACAUCCGAAGCACUCUCUCUAGUUAGGAGGAUAAAUCAGGCUGCAGAAUCUUGCAGUUACAUGUCUACUUUGAUUACGGAAAAAUGUUAUAAGAAAAUAUCUUUGUUUUGCAAGUUUAUGAUUAUAUAUAUGAGCACAAAGUCAUCAGACUAGGCCAAUUAUUUUGGCAAGAGAACGCUUGAUAUCCAUUGCUGAGUCAAUGUCUUGGCUCAAUCCUAUCUUCCCACCUGUAGAGGGAGGAGGAAAAAGAUGGCAUUUGCCUUUGCAUUUGUUUGGGCAUUAGCUUGGAUUAUGGUUUAUUCACCUUCAGCCAAGCUUGUUAAGUUGGUGCGGUCAAUUCGGCUGAUACACGAGGUCUAAUGAUCAGUUUCACUCUCACCAAAUGAGUAAACAAAGAACAAUGAUAGAACUUCUUUAUUUGUUAGAGAGAAUGCAAAGUAGUCAUCUUCCAAUUGACAUGAAUAAUAAGCACACAAGUAUUUCAGACUGUCCUCACUUGAGUUGUAUUCUGCUGUAAAAGCCCUUAUAAUACAGACCAAGUCUUCAUCAGUUUGCUUAAAUUUUUUCUUUGUAAGGAUAUUCUUACAUGAAUCAUUUCUGCUUUUGCAGCUUAUAUUUUCUUGAAAUCAGCUUGCCGGCAGAGAUGAGCUUGUAGCUGCCACAUGUCAUGACAUUUGUACAUUCCUGAACUGCCUCGAUGGUUUCUAUCAUAAGGUUGCUGCCUGCCUUACUGUUCUUUAGCCAAAAAGCCAACCUGUGGAGCUGCUAUGAAAAAUAGUAAUUCUUAUGAUUCAACUCAAAAUUGUACGCUCAAAUGGAAAAUGUAUGUGACAAGAAAAAGACCCCAAAGGCUUGUGUAUUUUUUAUUAUUGUCUUUCCUCCCUAAGCUUCUUCGAUAUUACGCUGAUCGAUCCAUUUAUUUUCUUGCCUUUGAUUUUACUUUUUAUCUUUUUAAAGGUUCAGCCGGAGAUGAGAGUCCUCACCCAUUAAAUACCAAUAUUUAUCCUCGGUUAUUACUCGAACUCGAAUGAUAAUUUGUGUGCAAAGCGCAGUGUUGAGCUCCCCUAACGGGCAAGCCAUUGAUUUUACUUUAUUUGCUGAUUCAAAAUGGUUCCGUUGAAUUUUCACACUCAUCUCUUGUUCAAAUCUAGCCCACUGACUUCAAAUGAUUUUGGUCAGGGCUUCCCCCAGCUUGGGUGAUAAAGUUUUUGGGUGUGCAUUCAGGUUCUGCAGAAGACAAAACGGAACCACUCAUUUCGGCUUUUCAUUCUGUUUUUAUGAGUUACUGCUACUGCAACAGUUUUAUGACAUUUAAUUUGUUGUCUUCCUAAAGAACAAGAUCUCUUAAGUACAUAUUCCUUCAAACCUUUCAUUUUCCUACAAGCUCCUCAGAAACUUCACACAUAAUGCCUAAUAAUAUUCUAAACGCAAUGCCCCGACUUGAUCAUUCCGUAUAAAGAGGUGGGUUGGGUGACAAUAACCAGUACAAGAUUAAUUGAAUAUUUUGUUGUCAAUUGUCAUACACACUUAUGUGGGUCCUCAGAUUAAGAGAUACUCUUAAGUCUUAAUCAACUCAAUAUUAUUCGGCCUUUAUUAAAGAUAUUGGAGGUGGCUUUUUCUCAUUAGGAAGUAAACGAUGUCCAUUUAUAUGUAUAUGUUCAUCCAAUUGAGGAUAGAGCUGCAGCACAACUAUUGUCAAAUAAAACGUUCAUCUACUCUUCUCUAUUGCAAAUUCUAAAUUCCUGGUUAGAGCCUCAAGUCACAAUCCUCAAAUUUUGGGAAAUUUACGCAACUAACUAUAAAAUUUUAUGCCGUUUCCAUUUUAACCCCACAAACUAAUUUCUAUCAACAUUAGCAAAAAAAGAACGUUUUAGACCAAAAUGCCCCUCUCACAUCUCUCCCCCAACAAUCUUUCUUUCACGUAAUCUCUCCCAAAGCCAAGAAACACCCAUAGUCGGCGGCAACUUCAACCCUCGUCGGCGGCGGCUCCACCCAUCAUCGGCGUCAGAUCUACCUUCUACGGCCUUCAACAAAACCUAGGUUAGUCAUUUUAUUUAUAUUUCAUUAAUUUAAAAUGAAAUUUUAAAAUAAUAGUGGUGGUGGUGCUUGUAGUGGGGGUUGUUAUUUUGGGAGUGUGUUAUUUUGGGCGUGAUUUGUCAUUUUGUUGUUUUGGGGAGAAUGGUGCUUGCGGGAAGUGCUGCCCAGCGACGGGCGCUAGAGCGUGCGUCGCUGGGCAGCAACAUGCGCGCUCGAGCUGACAGCAAGGUGCGCGCUCGCUCGCGCGCGCGCCUGUCGCACUAAGUUUGGUGCGACAGGCAGUACAGUUUUAUUUUUUGUUUUACCAAAAAUUAAUUUCCUUGUUAUUGUAUUAUAAAUGCAAUCUAAUAAUGUUAAAAAUAUUAUAGAUACAUGGCAAAAUUAGAAGUGUCAAGAAACGAAUUAGGCAAGAUGAUAUUUGCUUAUGUCGAUCACUUCCCGGGGCGAAUUUCGAGUAUGUGUAACUUAUCUCCGGUCGAAAAGUCAUCGAGCGAAAAUUAACAAAACGGCAACCGCAUCUAUUCAAAAAAGACAUAUUUGGGCAUUUUUUGGAGUGCCAAAGUUUUCCGUUUAGUGAUGUAAUUUUGCACAAUACUUUGCUUAGGCAAGUGGCUCAUGGAGAAUACGAGCGAGAUGAUCAAUCAUGGUUUCAAAUUGGUGAGCAUUUGAUACGCUUGUCAAUUGGAGAAUGGUGCCUAGUUAUUUGACUUUCCUAUGGCGCAGAUACCACACUGGGAAAUAAUAAAUCGGGCCAUAGGUUACUGAAAACGUAUUUUGGUGCUGAUUUAUUUUGCAACAUCACUGUUAAGCAAUUCGAUGUAUUAUUUGAGAAGUUGAAUUUUUAGGCUAUGGACGACAUUGACACAUUAAAGAUCACGCUCUUUUAUUUUGUGGAUAGAGUUUUAAAUGGAAGAAAGGGCCACUGUCAAAUCAAUUUCGAUUGGCUGAACGAAGUUGAUGAUAUAAAUUACUUCUGAAAUCGUCCAUGGGGUUGUUUAUCAUAGGAAACGAUAUACGAGAGUCUUGACAAUGCACUGUAUGAGAAAGACGAAAAAUUUAAGACGACUUAGUUGGAAAAUCCAUAUCAUAAGAUAGAAAAGUACAAUCUAUACAGCUUUACGUCUAUGGUUUAGGUGCGUUGUUUUUUUUAGUAAUAAGUUCUGUAACAUUAAAUAUUUAAUGAUAGUUUUAAUAGCUUUUUCACUUUGGUUGUUACAGGCUUGGAUUUACGAAGCGAUUGGAGGUUUGUCGUCAGCAUGGGUCGUGAAAACGAAGAAGAAGAUUCCCCGCAUCGUGCAAUUGAUGCCCAUGGCUUCUUUGAAAAUCAACUUUGCUGAGGUUUAUUCAUUCUUCAAUGACGACCAGCUUACGGUUAUGUCUAUCUCAUUCGACUCGACGCAAUGAGAUUCUUACAUCGCUUACGGUUAUGUCUCGGCUCAUUACAUUACCCACAUCUAACAGUCCGCCGGUUAAUGUCCUCACCAGCCGAGGGUAUUAUGAGCUCUUUACGACGACCAGGUGGUGGUGCCUCAACUGGUGGAUAUACGUGCAUCUCUUGAAUUUCGUUUGGAACUUCCGAAUCAUCCACGUCGCCAACCAGCUCCACUGGUUGUGCAUAAACUAUCGCCAAUGAUUCUAUGGUGUAAAAGUCCGAACAAAUGUUAAUGAAAUCCACUCGGACAAUUAGACACGCCGCAAUUGCAUGAGCGCAUACAAGUUGAUCAAGCUGAAAUACUCUGCAGGAGCAAGUUUUCUUUUGUAGGUCAAGUAAAUAUUCCUUAAUCUUAUCACCUACAACUUGAAAUCGAUGCGAAGACACCGGCCGAACGAUCAUUCUUUCAGCUAUAGUUUUUCUCUCAGUGACAAUUUCAUCCGCCCAUGUUGUUAGCUGAAUACUCAUUAAUUUAACUAUAAUUUUUCUAUCAUAAAACCAUUACGGUAAUAUUUUCCUAAAAUAAUCAACAAGAUGAGUAACAUGAAAUCUUCGCGAAUCCCUCAUGAAAGAAUUAACACUCUCCGCGAUAUUGGUGGUAAGUAUGUUGUACCUCCUACCUUCAAACUGAGACCUUGCCCAUUUACACGUACCCACAUUAUUUUCUAAAUAAUCAGCCGCACCCGAGUGGAUCAUCCACAACCCUUCAAGUCGUCUUUUAAAUUUCUCGUGUCCAUAUGUUUUUGCUGCAUUAAUAAAGGCAUGCUCAAAUUCAUCCCAAAAAGCUUUGGACAUCUUAAAUUUUGACUUAAUGUUACCUUUCACAUGGUAAAAACAAACGACAUGAGUUGCAUUGUGAAAUACUUUCAGAACGGCUCUCCUUAUGACAGUGCAUCGAUCAAAGAUAAUUACCAACUCAGGUCUAUCGUCAAUCACUCAGUGUAACUUCAUCAUAAACCAUUCCCAAGCAUCAUUAUUUUCUGAAUCCAUGACCCUAAUGGCUAACGGAUACAAUUGAUUAUUACCAUUUAGACAUGUUGCUACGAACAUGCUUCCACAAUAUAGCCCCUUUAGAUGAGUACUAUCUACAGUAAUGACAGGCCGAAUGUACUGCAUAAAACCCUUGAUGAAAGAUCCAAGUGCUACAAAGUAGUACAAGAAAUUACCAUCUCCAUCCCGCUCGAGGUGAGUGACUGUACCCUCAUUCGCUUUAGUCAGUACGUGAGAGUAUUUAGGGAGCAAGUUGUAUGACUCUGCAGGGUUGCCUCAAAUUAUUUCAAGAUCAACUUCUCUGACCCAAUAUGCCUGCUAGUAUGUUAACUGAACAUCGUAUUCCUGCUGCAUAACUACUCUGAUGUUAUUCAGAGUAUAAAUCCUCUUUUUUUGAAUAUAUUUAUAUGUGAUAAUAUGACCGACAACUCGGCUUCUUACUUGAUGACGACCAUCAACCAAUACCUCGUUAUGAUAAGUGUGUACAUUGUCAAUUCUACUAAUCACCCAAGGCACAUUUUGCUCGUUCGAACUUCUCAUUACUCAAAUACGCCAUUUACAUGAUUCCGAACAACAGUGAGCCUCGAAACGUGUCGUUGUAAACCGUGCAAUCUUGAAAUCAAACUUAUCCCUAAAGGCAACCUUGCGCAGUUGUAAUAUUAACUCAUUCUUCUCAGCAAAUAACUUACCCACACUGAUAUCAUUUGAGUCAUAACUACUAAGAAAGCUUGGAGCAACCAUGUUUGAAGGCAAAAUUGGAGCAAGACUUAUGAGGGAGUCAAUCCUCCUUCUCGAUCGAAUCAUUGGAGGAAUAGAUCUAUUGUCUCUGUUAUUCACAGGAAUAUUGUCUUCACACUCAUCCUCAUGCUGAAACGACAGAAUAUUGGAAGGACCGGCUUCUCCAUCAUCACCAGCAUUAUUGAAAUGAGUGCCCCUCAUGCUAUUAGAAGGUUCUGCAUAAACAUUAUCCCCAUCUGUCUCAUCAUGAAGAUCAUCAUUGUCCCGAAAAUUAUUAUUGUGAUACGGAGAAUAUCAUUGCUCCAACGACGUCGUUAGUGGUAAUACAUUUUCUCUAACAUCCUCUAACGUAAUGUCAUUGUCAUUAAUGUUGUCAUAAUUAUCGCGGAUUGGAGAGUAAUAUUACUGCAGCAAUAUUUUCCUUAGCAACACCUCUUCUUCAUUAUCGAGGCUAGACAUAUUUGCUCUAAAGGAAGUUUCUGUUUCGAUAUGUGGCUCAAUAUCUUCGCUCGGAACUCGAGGUGAUGUGGUAACGAGUAUAGGAAUGCAUCCAUAGUUGGCCACAUUGGAUGCCAUAUGCAACACAACCCUCAUCAUUUCAUCAUCAAAUAUAUCUAUGGGCAGUAUACAUAUAUAAUAUAAUGUGUUACUAGACCUCAAAGUUGUCUUCAUUGUGAUACUAUAUUCAUUAGGAUUUAUUUGUAACACCUCGUAUACUCUUGCCAAAAAUUGAUAAAAAAGACAAUUUUUUUCCAACCAAAAAAGCUCUAUUUUUACCAUUCACAUACUCCAUACGGCCAUCCUCUAACGUCUCCCACCAACCAUCAUAACACAAUUCAAGCACAACUGAAUCCAUUAACCCUGAAAUUAUAUAAAAAAAAUUAAUUGCACACUAUCAAAUUAACAAAGAGUCAGUUGCAAUGAAUAUGCCUUUUGGUGCGACAGGCUGCUUGUCGCACCAAAAGGCAGAGUCGGUGAAUCUGUCUCUUGGUGCGAUAGGCUAGCUUCGUGCGACAGGGUGCCUAUUGCACAAAAAAGGCAGAUUGUCCACGAAGCCUGUCACAAGAAAUUUGUGCGACAGGUGCAUGUCGCACCAAGCAAUCGCACUGAAACUCUCUCGUAAGUUCAGAAAAUAACUCAUACCACUCAGUGAUGUGGAUUAGUGUUGGAUUCGGAUGGAUUAUGAUCGGAUUUCACUUUUACCGUUCGCCGCCAGCGUCUGCUGUUGCCUUUUGUCGUCGUCGGUGAUGAUUCAAGAGUGCAAAGCUGCGUUUGGUUUAAUAAAAGAAGAGAAAGAAAGUUGUUUUGAUUUGUAAACAAGGAUAAUUUAGGGAGAAAAACUUGUGUUUGGCUAAUGUUGAUAGAAAAACGUUUAGAGGGUUAAUUGUAAAAAUAACAAAAAUUUAGAGAAUUAAUUAUAAAAAUAAUAAAAGUUUUAUGGUUAUUUUUAUAAAUUUCCCUCAAAUUUUCGUGUAGUAUAUAUCGUAUAUCAUUCCAAAUGCACUAGUACCACUAUAAAGAAAAAAUUUGGACGUGCAAUGAAGAAUUUCUCUUCAAUUAAAAAGUAUUGUCUUAAUUAAUUUUCUGUAGAGAGUGCAAAUAUGAACGAGUGAUAUGGGGAAAUAAAAAUCUUAUCAAAAGAUCCAUUCAUGGGACUAAAGCUGUCUAGUCCUAUCUUUCGUUAUUACACAGAAAUAGGGAGCUUUUGAUUAGAUUUGUGAAAGUUGACGUGAAAGAAAGGGGAAUGAAUCAAGUGAUACAGCUAGAGGGAGACAAAAGAGACCCGUAUUUUCUUAAAGCAAAAGAGAAGAAAAGUUAUUUCAUCAACCAAUGAGGAAAUUAAUAAGAAAUAAAAACAAGGCCUCUUUCAAAUUCUCUAUUGGAAAGAGAAGAUCAAACUUGUUAGUUGUUAGAUGUACGCAUGGACUGAUUGAAGGAACAUAUAUUUGAUAAUUUGAAAGCUUGAAUGCGUACAUGCAUGAUGUCCUUAUUGCAAGAAAAAAAAUAAUAAUAAUAUAAAUGUACUUAACAAUAUAGUAUUCCGACAAUAAAUUUGUUUCUUUCAAGAAUUUACAUGGUUUAAUUUUUUUUUUUUAGAAGAAAGUAAACCUUUCCAAUUAAAACAACACUAAACCAGAACAUUCAUCACCUCUGCUGGAAUAUAAUCUAUCCAGACAGCAGACAUAUUUGCUCCCACAACAAAUUUUGCUAGGGAAUGAGCACAAACAUUACAGGUUCUAGGGAUAUGAUUGACAGUUACAUUACAUGGUUUAAUUAGCUUAAGGAAUAUGUGUUUUCUACUUUAUUAUAUCUUUAUUUUGUUUUUUUUUUCAAAAAUUAAAUAUGGCUUUUUAUAUAUCUUCACUUUAAAUAAAGGUGAUUCGUGGGUCAAGAUUAGUGUUACCUUUUGUCGCUUCUCUUGGUUAUAGCAAUCACUGGAGCAAAUUAAUUAAAGUUACUUUCGUCACUCCGAAAAUACAAACAGCCUUAUAUUUUUCAGUAGGUAGAUCUUUUCAUGGAUUUAGAUACAAGGAUUUUGCUCGUCCAAGACAUCGUUCUGCUUGUAGAUUUUGAAGUUUCUAAGCUUCAAAUUUGACGAGAAAUACCAAGUAUAAAUCGGUUCUUAUAGAAGAUCUAGAACUCCCAUUAGUUGUUAAGAGGAGAUUCUUAAAAAGAAUGUUAUUAAGGACUAUUCCAGGCGGUGCCCUGAUAUAUUAUUUGCCUAGUUAGUGGGGAUAUCCGUUAUUUAUAUCUAGUGCUCUAGUUUCGAUCCUCCCAAUUUAACAGUAAUCAAUUAAUAGUUCAGUCAAUUUGUUUAUCAUAAUAGAUGAUGUGUAUAUGUAUUGAUAUAAAUAUAUAUAAUAAACCUCUUUAUACUGUUAUCUUUUAUGAUAGAAUGUAAUUUUUAUUUACUUUAGGGUGCAUUUGAUAACUUGUAUUAUAUUAUAUUAUAUUGCAUUAAAAUAUUAUUUCUUAUGUAAACCCAUCUUUGGCCAUAACUUUUAAUUGCAUUGCACUGCAUUAAAAAGGUGGUUAGAAUAAUGAAAGGAACAAAAUCAUGGCGAGUAGGGUUUAUGCUGGCUGUAUUGUGUUAAUACUAUUCAUAUUUUAAACGUAAUCUUUUACUUUCUUUACUCAAUAAUUUAUAAUAAAUAUAAAUUUUGUUAAAAAUUAAUUUAUAUUUAUAGUCAAAUAAAAUUUAAUUUAAAUAAAAACAUAAAAUAGUAAUAAACCUAAAUAUUUAAUAAAUAAAUAAAUGAUAAUGCAUUAUUUUUACUUUUAUUAAUAAAAUCACUUUAAUUAUUUUACUUUAAAUAUGUAAAAAGUAUUUUAAUUAUUGAAACAUUUAUUAUUUACCAAAAUAUUAAAUUUAAAAAUAAAUUUAAAUUAAAUAACUGCUGUCAAAAUUUAUCAAUAAAAAAUUAAUUUAUAAUUAAACUGAAAAUUUAAUAUAACUGCUGUACCGUACAUCCGCCUUGGCCGUACAGCAGAAAAUAAAAUAGAUUAAAAAAUAAGUGUUCGUAGGGUUUUUUUUUUGAUAAUAUAAUGUAAUUUAUAUUAUAUAAUUAUAUCAUAUUGUAAUUCAAUAUAAUAUUAAAUUAUAAACUUCAUUUAUAUAAUGAUAACUAAUUUAUAAAAAUAAAUUAUAUUAUGGUAUAACAUUGUAAUAAUAUACUAUAGUAUUUUAUUAAUUGAUAAUAUUAUAUUUUUAAUUUAUUUUUAAUUUUUAGUGUUAUUAAAAUUCCUAUAUAAAAAUAAUUGUUCAGUAAUUAAUUUAGAAAAUUGAUAUUAUAACACAAAAAUAUUAAUAAAAUUAACAAUACUAAUUUAAUUUUAAUAUCAAUAAAAAAUAAUGUCACUAAAUAAUCUUAUAUAUAAUAGAAUCCAUACUACAUAAGAUAUUGUACUGCAUUAGAGCUUAUUACAAUAUAUCCUAAUAUAAUACAUCAUAAUACAAUAACAGUUAAUAUAAUAUAAUACAACACGGGAUGCUAAAUGUACUCUUAUCAAAAUAAAAUUACAAUACCAUCCACUAAACCAAACGUGGUAUAGGGUCAUUUGAAAACCAUACAGUAAUACAAUAUCCAUCCUGUGUACUACAGUUAAGUGGCAGGCUUAAACUUUUAAAGGUCAUGAGUAUCAAAGAAGAUGAUGAUAUGAUGAUGAUGAUGAAUUGGUGUGACAAUUCACUACUGUGCUGUGAAAAAGAAAACGGAGAGCAAGAAAAGAAUCACCUAUACAUAAAUUUAACUGUAGAUCUUUUUGUACACAGAAACACACCAAUAACUAUCAAAGCACUGCCAAAACUUACCUCUCUAUAAAGUGGACCUGCAUGAACAGCAACAGCUCCGAGAUAAUUAGAUAAAGACAUGAAAACGUGGAGCCCCAGCUGUGGGGCUCUGUUGGCUGGGGCUCUUUCCGAAGCAACGUAACAGUACAUGCACAUACUCUGAGUUAUAUUGUAGCUUGAGAUGACACUUCGAUGGCUUCUUUUACUUUCCUUGAGUCUUUUCUCUCUCUCUAGUCACACCAAUUCUCUCUCAGAAAAAGCUGUCGCCAAGAUCCAUUCCUUUCCAAAUUUUUUUUUUAACAUUUUCCUGCGAGAGUUUAAGUGCUAUAAUAAAGUGGGGGUUAAUGACAUUAGGAUCUCGGAAUUUUUUUAAUUGUAUAAAUUGCUGUAUAGGUUAUAGAUUUUAACAAAUAGGUCCACAACGAGUCACUGUUGCAAACUUGCAUUUUGACUAUCAAUUUGAAAAAAGAAAAAAAAAACAAUAUAGUGGCAUAGUUUCUCAACUCCCUCCCCUUCUAUGAGGCAAUGUAGUUAAUUUUUCUCAUGAAUAAGUAGAAGGUGUUUUUCUAAAAUGCUAUACAAAGCAUCUCAUCAUAAAUACUAGAUAAAAUCUUUAUUUUUUCUUGUAAAGAGCAUUCUAGAUAUUUUAACAGUAAUUACUAAUUAUCAAUAGGCCUUUGGUCCAGUAGGAGAACCCUUACACUUAGAAUAAUAAGUGCAAGGGUUCGAGCCUCUAUAAAAGUAUUUAUAGGGCUUAUUUACAAUCCUUCCUCAAUUAUCCAAUAAUUGAAUGAAACCAAUAUAUUCCUCACGAAAUGUGAGUAGAGUGGACAACCCUUGAAUAUUUGAGAGGGUUUGAAGAAUUUGAGCAGCGCUUCAGAGGAGUACAUGCCACGAAGAAGGUCUCAAUUAUAGAAUCUGUUUGUAAAUAUUAAUUGUAAUACCUACAGUCCUGUAUAACAGUACUAAAAAAAACAAUAAUUACUAAUUGAGGACCUAUUUGUUAUAAAUUGAAAGCUAUGUCUUUAUUUGAAAAUUACUAGCAACUGAUUGAUCCAAAUUAUUUAUUUGAAAUAUGCCAAGCUAGAUAUCUUCCACAAAGAGAGAAAGAGGGAGAGGCUAAUCAUUUGAUUUUAUUUGAUUUUUUUUUUCUCAUAAACAUAGUAUAUGUUCUGUCCAUAGUAUAUGUUCUGUCCAUCAACUGAAAACACACUCCCUACCACACGGUAAGAGGGGAAAGAAUGGCAUUAAGUGCAAUACGUACAAAAAGGCCAAAGCCGAAGCAUUAAAUUUACAGGUUGAAAAAUCAUCUAAAACUGAAAUCUGUUAGCCAGCUCCUCAAAGUGAAAAUGCUCACCUAUAUCUCAUUACUUAUUGUCUUUAAUUUUAUUCAUCCAAGAGGAUCCAAGCUAGCUAGCUAGGCAGCCUAUAUGCUACCUAGUAAAUGCUAAAUGCUAAAUGCUAAAUGCUAAAUUGCUAAUAGCAUACCAACCCUUCAAUUGUCCAUUUGCUUUGGACCUUACAAAAGGUUUUUAUCUGCUGAUGAUCAUGACAAGAAGUUGACAAUACCCAAAUGGAUAGUAAAUGCCCUUGCAUUAACUAUUACCUCUAGCUAAUUCAAAGCGGUAGUGCUGACCUUUCUCUUCCAGUUCGUCAGGAGGUAGCAUUCUCUUACAAACAUCUUUCAAGUUGUUACCUCCUACUUGUACAGCAUUUAAAGAAGGGGUGUGUCUGUAAUACAGCCAUAUAUCACAUCUGAGAAAAAAAAAUGUUAUAAUAAAAGUAGAUGAUAUAAAUUACUUGAUAAUAAUUAUCUUGAACAUUUACGAGUUUCUGGGUUCGUCAUAUCCCUUUUGCCUAAAAAAUUAACUCUCUCAACUAUGGAUGUCUGUAAUUUAAGAAAAUAUGGGCGAACAACUCUUCAUAAAAGAAAAAACUUUCUAACUUCUUACAUAGAGAAUUAGAAUAUGAAUGCAUUGAAAUUGAUCAUGAUUACCUAUAUCAAUUCUUUAAAUAGAGGGUGCAUUUUGAGAAAGUGCAAACUAACGUAUCACACAUGAGAAAUAGGGUGCAUUUUGAGAAAGUGCAAACUAACAUAUCACACAUGAGAAAUGUUCACUUACAUAAAAUUAGAGAGAAAGAUUGAGUGCACAUAAUAUUAGAAGAUAUGGAGUGUAAUUGACAUUGAUCUAUUAAAGUUUUAAAAAUAAUAAAAGACAUCUAAAGUACAACAGAAAGCAAAAGGGGAAGAGGAAGGGGCCGGAUAUAGAUCAUAGAAAGCAAGAAGAAACACAAAAACAAAAAAGAAAAGAAAAGAACUACAAAUGGCUCUCAAAAUACUUUUUUUGCUUAGUAUAAGUUUUACUUCUAGAGCCAUGAAGAGUACUGAAACUCAGUGUUAACAAAAGGAUCUAGAGAAAGGCCUUAUUUUAAUCUAUGUCCCGAGAUGAUUCAUUAUUAUCUUGCUCAAUUUCAGAGGCUGGCUCGUCAUCUUCAAAAGUAUCUAUGCCACAAGAUGCAUGGCCAUUCCCAAAUGCCUUGAUAUGAUCUUUGAGUGACCUUUUGUGCUUGAAAUCAGAGCCACAAGUGCAAUACCAAAGCUUGCCGCAAUUCUUCUCAUGGGUUCUCCAGUCGCCUCUUACAGCAAAGGCCUUGCUACAUUUUCUGCACAUGAAAGGCUUGAUUCCAUGCUUUCUCUUGUAAUGAGUUUGUAGGGUUCUAAAAUCUUUGAGAGGCUUUGAUCUUGGAUGGUCAAUGUUGUUUCUGCAACCUGGAGCACAGCAAUAACAUGGAAGCCUAAGCAUUGCUGUUGGUUGUGAUCCCCUUAAAGAUUCUGGCCCUUUUCUGUAUUGAGAUCCAUGCCCCCACAUAUGCAUCUACAUGUAUUCAUAAAUUUAAGCGAUAUUACCCAUUAUUAGGGUUAGAAAAAACCCAAAAAAAAAAAACAAAGAUUAAAUCUAGUGUAGGCAAAAGGAAAAGUACGCAAAAAAUAAUGAUAAUAAUUACCCAUUAAUUAAUAAUACACAGAAUCGAGUUUAAGGACCUUCACAAGUUAAAGAAAGAAAAAGCAAACAAAUGUAUCGAUUGAAUUAACCAAGGAAUUAUGGUAUAUGGGUUGGGGUCUAUGCAUUGUCUCAAAAUAAGAGGUAUAUUUGAGACUUAUCUAAAUUUAAAAAAAAAAAAACAUUUGGACCAUUUGUGGAUUAAGGGUGCCUUUAAAGAGAAAAACACAGCAGAAAUUAGGGGUUUUAUGUGCAUAUAUAUUGCAUGAACAUUUUAGUAACGGCUCUUCUAACAAGUUUCCUUAAUUAUAAUUAAUAGCAUUAGAAAUUUUGUUGGCCUUUUCCAUGUGAAUAUAAACAAUUUUGUAAGCCUAGAAGAGAAAGGGUGUAUCGAUAAUCGUUCUUUGCCCUUUAAUUUGCAUGCAUUUUCUCUUCACACAAAAACAAAUGGAAAACAAACAGACAUGUGUUAUUUAACUUCACAAACUAAAAGUUUCAAAAAAUUUGUUUCUAUUUAUUGAACAUAAAUCUAUAAACAAUUUUUUUAUGGAGCCAGGGAAAAUUGGGUGGUUUCAUCCUUGUUCAUCAGAAGAGCAUUAAUUGAUGAACAGAACUCCGAUACACUCAGUUUUCAAGCCUGACAAUACAAAAACACAAACUUCAAGGUAAUACAAGAACCUAUUGGCUGAGUAGUUCAAUCACAUAAACAGAGAGACUGACUGAUCUUAUUCUCCGUUUGGACCAUGUUGAUUUAUUUUUAUUUUUCAAAUCCCAAGACCCAAAAUCAUGCAAAAGAAAAGGGUGCAUAGGCUUUGAAUUUUUUUUAAUAAAAAAAGGAGAAAUGGAAUUAAAGUCCAAUAAAGGAAAAGGGGAAACCCUAAGGUCCCAUAUACUCCUCAUUUUCAAAUCAGUCCAGCUUGUAGUAAAAGUGAAAGAUUGAAAUCAAGCUAGAAAAUUAAUAAAGGAUAUAUAGGAAUGAGAUUAAUUUUUUCGUUUUUGCAAAAAUCAAAAAGGGAGAAAAAAAAAGAAAAAAAGAGAAAGGGAUAGAUGGAGUUAUCUAAAGGAACCCUUUAUAGAUCAAAGGAGGUAUUAUAUCAAGUAAUUAAUUAAAUUACCUGCAUGUUGUUGUAUCUGUUGAAGGUUUUGAAGCAAAGAGGACAUGAAAAUUGUGUAGGACCAAUCAAUAUUUGAGCUGGUGUAGGGAUCCAAUAUUGGCCUUUGUUGAGGCUGCAGCCACCACCACGACCAGAAGCAAUAGUUACUACUUCUUCUUUAUUAUUGUUAUCAUUAUUAUAAUCUGAGAUCAAAUCAGCAGAACUUGAUUCGGCGAGCCCCAAAUGAAGAGACACUGUCAGAGAAGCGCUUUCAUGAUGAUCAUCACAAUAAGCAGCAGAGCUUUCUUCGGUGUCCAUGACACUGCAUGAGGAUUCAUCAGCUUUUACUAUUCCGUCAUGCCUUGCUGGGCUCAAACUGAGGAGGGGAAGUGCUUCUUUGAGAGGGGGAGAUGGAGGUGAUGAAUAUUGAUGGUAGUGAGUGCAAAAAUUGUUAUUGUUAUUGUUACUUGAGUAGAUAUUGAAGGCAAAAGGUGUAUAGUAAUUAGAAGAAGAAUUAUUAGAAGAAGAUGAAUGUUGAAGAGCGGCAAAGUUUAACCAUCCAUUGAAGUAAUUUGAGUAGGGAUCAGCCAUGAUUGAUGGAAAGGAAAGAGAGAAGAGAAAGUUUUGGUAGAUGGGGUAAGUUAUAACAUAUUUGGGGAGAGAGAAAGAGCGUGUGAAGGGUGAAAGUGAGAAAAGAAAAUUUUAAACAAGAUCAAGGGUUGAUAAAGUAGAGAUCCAAUAUUGAGUAAAAAAGGAGGGACAAGAUGUAUGUAUAUCACUUAUGAAAUGUGACUAAACGAUAGAGGGAAAAAAAUAAAAAUAUUAUGCUAAAGCAAAGGAAGAGAAGAUGAUAAUAAUCUUAUCGGGACUUGAAAAAACAAGUUAUUUAUUGAAUAGUGUGUGUGAAAAGAUUGAUAACAUCAAUAUAUGAAAACUAAAUAUUAUAAAAAAAAAAUUAGGGCAAAGACAAAGCUUGUAAUUAGGGCUUUGGGGAUUUGUCUGUUACAAGAUGAAUCCCAUUAUCCAGCAGGACAAGACUAGAACAAGUGCAAUAUUACAUAGAGGGGAGCAAAGGGUAUGUGUUGGAUUUAUUAGAAAGCUCUUGUUCACAUAUUCAUGAGCAUAAUUUUCUCUUCAUUGGGAAAUAAAUAGAUGCAAUGACACCCAGCAGUUGCUUUGGUGGGCGCGCCUUGGUCGGCUUGGCUCAGUACCACAGCUCAUGAGACUGAGACUGUUGUUGUUGUGUGUGUUGUGUGUUGUAUGAACAAGUAACAACAGCAGUGUCUGUCGAGUACUCACUUACUACGCUUAUCUUUCUCUUUUCUGUUGCUUUGCUCACCCUUUCAAUCUGCUGAGCCGUCACAUGGCUUCCAUUCAUUGCUUCUGCGAGUGUUGUGAGGUCUCUAGUGUCAAUAUAUGGAGGCAACAGACUUGUAAGUUCAUAUCAUUCUUAAUUUUAUCAUAAAAUUCUUAUGGUACAAACUUGUAUCUAGUGUGACCCAAACAAAUUGAUUGUAAAAGAAAAUCGUUUCAUAAUUCCAACCAGAUUUCUAGUUCCCUCAUAAUAUUUUUUUUUUAAUUUUGUGAACAUCCGGCUUUGGAUGAAAUAUUAAAAAAAUCCAAAUGAGUUUGGAUCCAAUAUUGAUCUUUUAAAAGUACGAUCAAAAUUUAAUUACAUAUACUUUUGCAAUAAAAGUUUGACUUUGUAUAGAAGGAUAAAUUUCAUAAGUCGAAAAUAAAGAGUUAAUUUCGGAUGAUGGAGAAUCCCAAGGAUAUAAUAAGGAAAAUCAAGAUUAACAAUUUAACGAUUCAACAGCAUAUGACUUUCUUGAAAAGUGAUUAUGUUAGUUGUAAUAUAAGGAUAGUAAAUUAUUAGUAUUCGGUUGAAGUCUUAACACCUAUAGUUUUGAUGAUUAACCGCUAUCAUUAUUUGAAAAAGGUUAUUGUUUUAUGACUAAUUAAUGAUUUCUAUUAGCUUUUGGUGGGUCAUAAUUUGACUAGCAAUUUUUAGUAAAUUAUGAUUAAAGAUCUCACAAGUCAUUAAGAUACAAAUUAUUGCAUUCGGUACAUGUGGUUCAAUACCAUGAAAUAUAACAAAUUAUUACCAUUACAUUUUAACUUCUUUCUUUUGCACCUUAAUUAUGAUAAAGAGGGAGAGGGAUGUCUUAUUCUUGUUGCAUGUGUACAGAUCGAAAAUAAAUUGCGAUGGGGUCCUCCAAUUUGGAGAAGAAGCCAUGAGAUUUAUGACAAUAUGUGUUAGCUAUACUAGUUUUAAUUUCAGGAGACAAAUUGGAGGGUUGGGAAAUAUUUAUAAGUUGGCCAAAACAACAAUGGUACCAUAAAAUUAGGCUUUACUCAGCUUUAUAAAGUUGAUCACCUGCAAUGUGUACAAAACAUUCAAUAGUUGUGCUAAUAAUCAUGUGUAGGGGUCCUAGGGGAGAUGGAAGCCAGAAAUUUUUGCUGUGGGGCUAAUCCAUCUUGAAAAUAAAAAUAAUCAUUAUAAGAAUAUAACAUUGAUAGUUUUUCUUCAUUAGAAUACUUAAUUUCUUCCUUGAUGUAAUUUUCUUUUCAAAGAUUUGUGUGAUAACUUUAUUAGUAUUAAUACAUUUAACUCAUUGGUAACACACAUGCUUUUGAAAAAGUAAGUAUUAGACAGGCUUAUUUCCUCUCCUAAUUUAAGUCCCAUUUGGAUUUGAGGUUAAAACCCAACAAACUGCUUAUUUCAUAAUUUUUGAAAAAAAAAAUAUUUAGUAAAUUUUAGAAAAGCAGUUUAUUUUAUAAUUUUUCCUAUUUUGAUAACAGCUUUUAAAGGCAAGUGGGGUUGCUUUCCAUAGGCAACAUAUUAAACAAGUCACUACAUCUUUUUAAAGUUUAUAUUAUAAUCUUAGUAUUUUAACAAAAAGAUAAUUAUAUCUUACUUUUACAUAAUCCCUGAUAUAUAUACACCAUUAGAUAUCAUAUUACUACCGCAAUCAAACUACCGCCACAAUUAUUGUAUAUUCUUUCUAGUAUCAAUGUAAUGAAAAUGUAAUAUAUAUUACUUUUUAUUUUAUUUGGAUUAUGUACAAGUAUGAAUUUUUAUCAUAUGUUAUGUAACAAUAUGUAACAAAUUAUGAAAUUCAUUAGAUUUUAUUUAAUUGAGUUUUUUUUCACUUUAUGUAAUUUUACGUAUUUAAAGAAAAUGUAUGUCUAAACAAUUUUUUAAACAUACUCUAAAAGACAAAAGAUAAUUUGAGCUUAUGUCUAUUUGUUCAUUGUAUAAUAAAACAACACUUUCAUAAUAAAAUUUACCAAAUAUAUGUACUAUACUUUUCAAACUCACAGCAAUCGCAAUAACACAGUUUAUCAAACACCAAACUGUUUUUUUAAUCUGCAUCUUAUUUAAUCAGCCACCAUAAUAUCAAAUUGGCCCUUAAUUGGGUAGAGAUAGAUAUCUCCUCUACCAUUGUGUAAGAUAUCCCUCCAAUAUUAAGUGAGGAUAGAAAUCUGAAUUAUGUCAUAAUAGACUUGAUCCAAUCUAGUUCUAAAAUAUAUGUAAGUAUUUUAGUCAUUCAAACCUAGGGAUGACAAUAAACUCCGGAUCCGCAAAGAUUCAAAAUAUCUGGAUCUACAUGUUAAAAAAUACGGAUCCAAUUCUUAAAAACCAAGAUCCGUGCGGAUCCGGAUCCGAAUCUGCAUUCUUUUAUAAUUAAAUUAUUUAUUUAUUGAAUUUCAAUUGAAAUAUAUAAAUUAAAUUAUUUACUUAAUAUGUAUAAGCAUAAUUUACUCUAUAAUCUUCAUUGACUAUGAAAAAUAUGUUAGAAACCAAUAAUAAUAAUAUUGUAAUGAAUCAGUUUACCUUAGAUUUUUUUUUAUGUUUGAUUUAUGUUGUGAAAUUAUCGUUUGUGAAUUUAUGGUGUUGUACGUUAUUUAUGUUGAAUUGUUGAUUGUUAAAUUAUAAUAGAAUUUUUUUUAUAUUAUUUGGUAAAUUAUUAAAUUUAAAAUUAAAAUUAAAACUAUUAUUAUGUGAAUUCAGAUAUUCAGAAAAUCCACCCGCAAUCCGUGCGGAUAUUACCUGCAUUUGGAUAUGCAAAAAAGUACGUGGAUCCAGAUGCCAAAUGUUCAAUGCGGAUGCAGAUUCGGAUGCCAAAUGUUCAAUGCAGAUCUGGAUCCGAAUGCACCUACAUCUAGAUCUGGAUUUGAAUUUUACCAUCCCUAUUCAAACCUCAAUAUACUAAAUUAAGAUCAAUCAUCUAUUGAUCUAAGCUUAAUAAUUGUCUUCUUCUUUUUUUUGUUAACUCUUUGAUCAUAUGAUGGUUCAAAUUCUAAUUAAAAGAAAAUCACGGAUUGAAAUACUAGCAUCAAGAACGAUCUAAUCAAAUAAAUCAAUUAAUACCCAAGAAACAAUUACUUAAUCUAAUAAAGUGACACUUGCUAGUGUGAAUUGUGGAAUUAGUUAUAUAUACUCAGUAAAUCUUUCUUUUCUUUUCAUAUUGUUUAAUAGGAGAGAGCAUAGAGGCAAAAGGAUGGUAAGUUGGACCGAUAGAAGGAAUAAGAGGUGAACUGGUGAAAAGGGUAGGUCUCUGUUUUUCAGAUUCAAUCUGAGCAAGUUCAGCUUUUAAUCGCCUGAUUUCCCUUUCUUUUUGGUCAAAUUCGGGACCAUUGUAUCUGUGGGCUAGCAUGGCUCGUAACUCUGAAUCGAGUUGGCCAAUUCGGGAGUGAAGAUUUUGGUGGAUCUGCUGCAUCUGUGCAGAGAUGGAGUCAACCUUUGUCUCAAGCUGUUCAGUUCGUAAACUGAUUUUCUCAACUUUGGAAUUGAUAUUGACCAAAGUAUCAUUCUGUGCUCUAGCAUUUUGGGUUUGCCAGUUGAGGACUGAUUCAAAAGGUUUGGGAGGUUCUAGGUGGCCAGUGGAGGUAAUAGGUGAAGGGAUAAAGGGUUUGGACACAACAUUUCGUUGAGAAUCUGUAUGGGGUUCCAAAGGAGGAAAGGAAGAAGAGUAAUCUGAAGAAGUAGAGGAAAACAUCAUACAAGCCAGUGGUUGGACGAUAGGUGUUGGGUGUGAGAGUGGUGAUGGAAUCGCAGAUUUGCAAUGUUUGGCAAUCCAUGUGAGUUCUUUUCGGUAGAUGGGUAAUGGAGCCGGUGGAGGUGGAGGAUCUGAUGGUGGUUUAGGGUCACAAUGUACGGUACAGCAGGAGGUUUGGAUGAAAAUUCUGGAGUUUUGAAUUUCCGAAAAUGCCGUUUUUUCUUUGAACUGCAAUCGCAAUCCUUUUUCUUGUGGCAUUUGAUCUGUAAAUAAGGCUUUUUGCAAGCACUGCGGAAAGGUUCUUUGUCUUUCAACAGUUCUUUGAAAAACUGUUUUUGCUCGCAAAGUUUGUCAAGACAGGUUUUGGCAAGCUGGAAGAUUUUGCCAAGGGAGAUGUUGUCUAGGGAAAGAUUGGAUGCUGUAAGUUGUCUCUGGAUGUCAGGUUGGAGUUCUUCGGGGAGGGAAGCCAGAAAGACAUGCUUUAAUGUCGGCUCAUUGAAUCCAUUANNNNNNNNNNNNNNNNNNNNNNNNNNNNNNNNNNNNNNNNNNNNNNNNNNNNNNNNNNNNNNNNNNNNNNNNNNNNNNNNNNNNNNNNNNNNNNNNNNNNNNNNNNNNNNNNNNNNNNNNNNNNNNNNNNNNNNNNNNNNNNNNNNNNNNNNNNNNNNNNNNNNNNNNNNNNNNNNNNNNNNNNNNNNNNNNNNUAGUACUAUAUUUAUUUAAUAAUAAUAAUAAAUACUUUAUUCUAAGAAAAUAUUAAUUUUGUACUAAAUAAUAUUAUAUUAUUAUUUUAUAUAAUAAUAAAUUUAAUAUAAUUAUAUUAAAUAAAAUAAAAUAACAUUUCAUUUUAUAUUAAAAUUACAAUUAAUAAUUUAUUGUUCAUAAUUAAGAAUAUUAAUAAUUAUAAAAAAUUUACAAAUAUAACUGCUGUACGGCCAAGGCGGAUGUACGGGAAGAGCACACUGAUCCAGGCGGGAAGACUGGAUGUAUUCUUUAGGGUGAGGGCGUCUGGUAGAGAUAAGGGUGCGGAUACUGCGGGUAAAGGAGCUAGGUCGUCUAUACAACUGAUAAGGGCUGAGGAGAGGGUAAGAAGAUUCACUGAUUUGGGCGGAUUCAGGGAUGUAGGAGUAUUCUACAAGAUUUUCAAUUUUAUUAGUAGUAUGAGAAGUGCAAGAUUUCGGUAAAGAAAGAGUGGAAGAAAGAGUAACAGGAGGUGAAGAGGAAGUGGAUGCCAUGAAGGAGAAGUUCUCUCUGCGCCUGAAGUUCUAGAGAUUUCGGUAAAGACAAUAGUGUAGAAAUGAUACAUUUUGUAAACAUUAGGUGGAAUUGUUAUAAAAAAAAAGUGGUCGUGUAUUUUUUAUAAAGUCUAAAACAUCAAGUGAUUAGAGAAUAUUUGUGCUCAAGUAUUUCAUUCAAAAUAAUUUCCACUCCUAUGAAGAGGAAGUGGAUGCCAUGAAGGAGAAGUUCUCUCUGCGCCUGAAGUUCUAAAGAUCAAACCUCUCACUAGAUGAUCCAAACCUACCCACUACUCUGAAGGUUCAAAUCCAGAUCCAAGGUGCUAAACAAAUAGUCUCUUCAGUUGGUAUACCACUUACAAAAUCAUGCCCUUGAUCUUUCCACACCUCAAACCACAUCAGAUGCACUAAUGAUUCUUGCAGAUUCCUCAGAAAGCAUACUUUCCAUAGUCCAAAUCCUAAGACAAAUACAAAAGCAAGAGCUUCUUAAGCUCAUGCCCCUGUAAUGGCUUUUCAAUUAUGAGAAAUUCCAUCAAAACUCCCAGCUGGCCCAAACUACUAAUGCUCAUUUUGAAAAAAGAAUAGAUGGAACUGUAAAGUUGACUUUCUCAUCCACCCUCUGAACAAUCAACACCUAGAAACUCCUUUUUAUACUCCUCCAUGAUCCCAGUCAUAUCUACGGCACAAGAAAAAAUCCCCAUCCACGGAUUUGCCUCAGAUGGCUAUCCGAUCUACCCGGACAAAAUCAAUGGUCAUUUUUUAUAGGAUGUUCUAGGUUCCCAUAUGUGUGAUCCCAACUGUCCUUGCCUCGAAGAAGAGGAAAACAAUGAUAAUUUCAAUAGGCGUCCUAAGAGUUGUAAAACGGAAAGUCACAAAUUAGAUCCAUGUAACAAAAAACCUCCUCUGCCUCCAGAUGAUCCAGACAGUCUAAUGCCUUUACCUAUUUAUAGGAAAGGUUUAAGGCUCACACAAAAGGACUAUAAACAAAGAUCAUGCAAACAAGAGACAUCCUUGUUCUCAUCUCCUGCUAUGUCUGUCCAACCUUGCAUGAUGUUCUCAUCAAGCUCUUUUCAAGAGCAGAUCCAUAGACAAAUGUCACCACCAAACCUUUUGUCCACUCUCCUGUUACACCAAAUGGUCAGUUGGAAGAACCAAAACCUUUUGAAGCUGUUCUAAACUGGCAAACCCAAAAUACCAGGGCUCAGAACUCAGCUUUCAGAUCUCUUGACAAGAAAAUUGAGAAAGUAGAAGUUCAAGUCAAACAGACGGACACAAAGGUAGAUAAGAUCACAUUUCAGCUUGAAUAGAUACAUGCAAAAUCGAGUUACCCAACUUGAUUCAGAUCUGUGGUUUAUGAUCCAAAACAGAUAUUGGGGUCCACAAUUUAACCAAAAAGAAGCAGAGAUUAGGCAGUUAAAAGCUGAACUUGCUAGGAUUGAUGCUGACAAACAACAACCUUCAUUGUUUGCAAAAUUCCCUGCUCUACCCUUACACACACCAACUUUCAGCACUCACCAGCCUUUCUACACACCAUCUACCUCACAACAACCUGUAGACUAUGCCAAAUUCUUUGGCCUAUCUCAUCUCAAAUAUGCUCCAACUACUGCUCCUCUAAAACCACGGUCCAGACCUCCUAAGCCUGAACUACCUCCAACUUAAUCUACUCAGAAGAACAAAGAACCUAUGCACCAAUACUCAUCUCAGGUCCUGCCUCACCUUUUAGAAUCAGAAAAAAUCUUCAGAAUCCUAUUCUACCUCCUCCAACUUUGAAAAAAGCUGCACUAAUAUCUCUAAGCGUCUGAUGGUCCAGCCAUCAACUGGGUCGAAUGAUCCUUCUCCCUCUUCGCCUCUUCAAACACCUAUAGUUGAGGAAGCAGAUUUUGAUACCAAUCCUACACCUCAUCAAGAAAAUUCCUCUUCUAAACCUUCUAAUGGCCCAUGGUUUACUUUUGAUGACAUUCCAAGAGUAAACUGGCCAACCAGAUUUCAAGAAUUUUUUGCCUAGAUUGAUGUACAAAUGCUCAGACCUGGAGCAGCAACUCAAACCGUCCUUAAGGAGUUCAGUUCUCAUUUUACUAGAUCUUUAAGAGAUUGGUUUGAAAGUCUAGGUCUAUACAGACAGCUCCAGGUAAUUCAAGCCCAGAUUUCAGAGGUCCUAGGAAUAAUUUAUGAGCAGUUCCUUGGAGAAGCUACAGUUACUAAUGAACAAACAAGAAGAGAGUUCAAUCUAAUGAAGUGUUGUUCUCUCCACUACAAGAGAAUGUCCACAAUGUAUUACAAGCUCAAUGGUUUUAAUGAUCCCUCAUUAAAACAUGUCUUUGUAGCAUCUCUUCCAGAGGAGAUCCAACCAGAACUUCAGAGACAAUUCACAAUCCACUAGCUGGACAUAGCCAACUUCUCCUUGGGGAAAAUCUACCAGUUAGCAAUCAACUAUCUUAAAAGACUUUGUGAACAGAAGGAAUUCUUCAAAGACCUUAUAGAAAACAAACAGCCUUUCAAAAGUGCUUGUAAAAAACCCCAUCUUUCCAUUAAGUGCAAAAGUGAGAAGGAUUGCACUUGCUCAACCAAAAAGAAAUCCCACUUCUGAAAAUUCUGAAAUUCAAAAAAGAAAAGCCAAACACCUUCCAAUCCAAAAAACCUUAUCGAUUUUUCAGAAAAAAGAACCCUGACCAGUCCUCUAAAUCCAAAAGCAGCCGUUGUUUUAUUUGUAAAAAGAAAGGACAUUUUGCAAGGAAUUGUCCAAACAGACCUACAAAAUCAGUUCGGCUUAUUGAGCAUCUCUAGGAUUCCAUGUUACUUUCAGAAAGUGAUGAUGUUGAAUCAUUCUUCUCUUAACAAGAUGAAUAUGAUGAACAAAUAACCUUUGUCCUUGCUGAAACAGAAGAUCAUUCUGAGUCUGAGAAUGUUUCUGUAAUUCAAACUGUACAGCAAAUUUAGAAAGUCCAAUCAGCCGUUCCUAUCCCUUCAAUUAAAAUACACCUCCUCUCCGGAAGAUUUGAUAAACCAGUUCCCAUCAUUGGUUUUGUUGAUACUGGAGCUCAGAAGAGUAUGCUUAAUCCUUCAAACCUUCCUCCCCAUUUAUGGGAAAAGCAUACAGAAUAUUUCAAAGCUGCUAAUGGAGAAUUGUUUCAUACAGAUUUGAUUACUAGAAAACCCAUUGGUAUUCAAUUCUUUCCAGGAUGUAUCCUUUGGACCAAGCUUGUUGGAUCCAAUCUUCCUGACAAAGAUCUUUUAAUCGGAUUUGAUGUCCUUCACCUAGUUAAAAAGCUCCAUAUAACAGUUUUUGUAAUCCGUUAUAAAUAGAUGUUUAAGCCUUAUAUGAAUUCCCUGAAAUUGUUCUCUAUCUCAAGCUCACCUCCUUCAUAUGAUCCUCUCAAAUCCCGUUUUCUUCUUCACUGUCCAGAAAGUCACAGUCAAUUUCUUCAUCCUACCCCUCUAUGGAAAAAUGAAAACUUCUUCAUUAAGCUCCCUUUCAAGCUUAACAAAGACAUUAACCCAACUAAGGCUACCCAUCUAGGAAUGACUCCGUCCGACCUGAAACUAGCCCAAGAAGAGUGCUCUCAGUUGCUAAAACAAGGCCUUAUUGAGCCCAUAGAUUCAGAAUGGGCUUGUCAAGUUUUUUAUGUGGAAAAAUGUAUGAAAUAGUUAGAGGCAAAAAACGUCUUGUUAUCGAUUACCAGCCUCUCAACUAUUUUCUUAGAGAUGAUAAGUCCCCCUUGCCAAAAAUCCAAUCCUUAUUUGUUCAUAUCCAAAAUGCUAAGGUCUUCUCAAAAUUUGACCUUAAGGUAGGUUUCUAGCAAUUAGGAAUCCACCCUGAUGACAGACCUAAAAUAGCCUUUUUCAUACCAAAUGCCCACUACCAAUGGAAAGUAAUGUCAUUUGGCCUUAAGAUAGCCCCCUCACUUUUCCAAAAGGCCAUGAUCAAGAUCUUUGAACCAAUAGAUGACGUGCUAUUAUUCUCUAAAGAUCAUGAUUCCCACCAACAAUUACUUUCCCACUUUCUUGAGAUAGUGGAAACAUAUGGCAUACUGUUGUCUGACAAAAAGAGUAUCCUAGGCCAAAACACUGUUACCUUUCUUGGAAUGACUCUAAAAGAUGGAUACUAUGGUCCUGGACCACACAUAGCCCAGGAACUCAUUCAUAUCCCAGAUGAACAUUUGUCAAAAAAGAAUAUCCAAAAAUUCCUUGGUAUUAUCAAUUACUUUCGGGAAUUUUUUCCACAUGUAGUAGUUCAUACUAGUCAGCUUUCAAAAAUGCUCAAAAAAUCAGCCCCACCAUGGUGCCCCUCUCAGACUGCUGCUAUCCAACAUCUCAAAAACAUCGCCCAGCAUCCACCUCCUUUGAGAAUCCCUACUGAUGGUCAACGUAUUCUGCAGACUGAUGCGAGUGACGAAUAUUGGGGGACCAUCCUUUUAGAAAAACAUGAUGGUAAGGAAUCUUACUAUGCCCAUGCUAGUGGACAAUUCAAGGAGUCAGAAAAACACUACCAUGUGAUCUACAAAGAAAUCAUUGCCGUUAAAUAUGGAAUUCAAAAAUUUGAAUUUCAUCUUAUUGGCCAUAAUUUCCUUGUCAUAUUAGAUAAUUCCUCAUUUCCAAACAUCCUUGAAUUCAAAAAUAAGGUUCGCCCGAACAAGCACCUCCUCCGUCUUAAAACUUGGUUCUCAAAAUAUGAAUUCACGGUCCAACAUAUAAAAGGAGACCAAAACCUUAUCCCUGAUCUCUUGUCCCGACCUUCAUCUUCAUCCCUAAGAGUCUCUUUUGCCUCAGUUCCAGUCAUCUUCAUGGCUCAUACUCUUCCCAAUACAGCCUUGACAAAAAAGCCUUUUCCUUGCAAUCUCACUUUCUCNNNNNNNNNNNNNNNNNNNNNNNNNNNNNNNNNNNNNNNNNNNNNNNNNNNNNNNNNNNNNNNNNNNNNNNNNNNNNNNNNNNNNNNNNNNNNNNNNNNNNNNNNNNNNNNNNNNNNNNNNNNNNNNNNNNNNNNNNNNNNNNNNNNNNNNNNNNNNNNNNNNNNNNNNNNNNNNNNNNNNNNNNNNNNNNNNNNNNNNNNNNNNNNNNNNNNNNNNNNNNNNNNNNNNNNNNNNNNNNNNNNNNNNNNNNNNNNNNNNNNNNNNNNNNNNNNNNNNNNNNNNNNNNNNNNNNNNNNNNNNNNNNNNNNNNNNNNNNNNNNNNNNNNNNNNNNNNNNNNNNNNNNNNNNNNNNNNNNNNNNNNNNNNNNNNNNNNNNNNNNNNNNNNNNNNNNNNNNNNNNNNNNNNNNNNNNNNNNNNNNNNNNNNNNNNNNNNNNNNNNNNNNNNNNNNNNNNNNNNNNNNNNNNNNNNNNNNNNNNNNNNNNNNNNNNNNNNNNNNNNNNNNNNNNNNNNNNNNNNNNNNNNNNNNNNNNNNNNGCUAGUGGACAUUUUUCUGACACACAGAAGCACUACCAUAGCGUGUUCAAAGAAAUCUGAUACCAGUUAUGAGUGUACGUGGCGUUGUUAUACCAGAACUACAACAGUUAAAACUGUUCUUUGGACCAGUAGUCCGCAAGCUCGGGUUUCCAGCCGAUAUACCUCUGUAAUCAAAAACCUUUAAAACAUUUUUCUCAGGUUAUACAACCCAAAACAGACUUUCCUUUAGUCUAAAACAGGGUACCAAACCAGAUAAAAAAAUGUUUUAAAGGUUUUUGAUUACAGAGGUAUAUCGGCUGGAAACCCGAGCUUGCGGACUACUGGUCCAAAGAACAGUUUUAACUGUUGUAGUUCUGGUAUAACAACGCCACGUACUUCACCAUAAUUGUUAAAAGUGUUGUAAAUUUUUUCCUUGUACACAAUAGGUUGAACAACUUGGUAAUUGGUUAUGCAUUAAGGUUUGUCUUUUGUUUCCUAGAGACUACAAGUAGCUUGCUUUAGAAGUUGUUUGUAAAAGCAAGAGGGACUGAAUGUAAUAAUUCUUAUGUCAUUCCUUUGAGUGUAUUUGAUAUUUCUUGAUCACUUUUUGAGCUAAAAUACAGUAAAAUCUCCAAGAAUGCUUAAUCAGUUGGGUUUAUAUGAUUCUUUGUUUAUCAAAACUCAAAGCAAAUAGAAUAAUUUAUUGCUAUUUACAAUUUAUGUAUGUAAUAUGUGAGUCUUAUGUGGAUUCCCCACAAACAAUUUAUUGUUCUUCAUCUAGAUUAGGUACAUAAUUUCUCCAAUGAUGGAUUUUAACAUAAAAAUAAGAGUUAAGACCUUACACAAGAGCAAUCAGAUAAAUAAGAAACAAUUUAUCUUGUCCAUUCUCCUCUCUCCCUUCUUUAAUAAGACAGGUAUAUACUUUAUCAGCCAAGUCAAAGAGGGCAAAGCAAUUGAUUUCAUGUUAGCAAAACUUUUCUAACUUGAUACCCCUGCUCAUAAAAUGCUUUUAUAUUUCUGGUCAUUAUGUGGCAAGAUACAAUCAAUAUCAUGACCCCUAACAGAAAAUAAUGAAAAUAUAGGCCAUGUCAAAGUCACGCUUUUCCAGAAACGCAUCAGUAAACUUAAAAAUGUUUAAUUGAGAUUUCAAUGUAUCAGCACGACACUGAUACUUGGAUAACAUAGGUGUGCAUAUGAGAUUAUGCCAAUAAAUGCCCGAAAGCAAUGCAACUAAUUUUUCGUCGAUGAAUAAAUCAAGAUGCCGCUAGGUGUUCAUCACUUCAGCAGUGGUUUUAUGAAAAUGAAGUUAAAAGAUACUAUUUCACCAGAAACUGUACACGUCCCCAACAGCACAAUAAAGUUGGUUAAACAAGUAUAACUAACAUCUAGAACUGAAAAUAAUCAUGCAAAAAAGACUUUAGUUCGGAUGACCAACCCCAAAGUGAAAUCUCCUUGUCUGCCUGUCAUUAAAUGCAUACUCAAGUCCCAAAGGUCCCAGAGGAGAAUCAACACGGAUGCCAAACCCAUGUCCAUACCCACUUCCAGGCUUCAACCUUGCUCCAGCAGGAUCACCUGAUGAAGUUGAAAAAAGAAAGAAAGAAAAAAAGGGGACAAGAUAAGGCCAGCCAGAUUUAAAUAAAAAAACAUUUUGAAAAUAAGUCCUUUCACUCAUUAAACUGCAAACAUAGAAAACAAGGGGCCCAAUCAUUAAGAAACCUACCGGGCGGGCACAGUAGGGCCUGAUCCAAGUUCUGUUCCAUGGUCAGAAAAGAUAACUCCUUCUGCUGGCCCCAACUGCAAAACAGGAAGAAACAUUAGAGGAGCAAUGUGCAAAAUACAUUUUUUUUCCCCCAGCAUAAGAAACAUGAGCACAUUGACAGGGGAACAUGUAGUCUCAAAUUCGUAGAGUGAUCAUCAUCAAUCCCUUUUGAUCACAUCUACAUGCGUUCUCCAAGUGCUUCUUCACAUUCCUCUUGUAGAAGUCUUCAAUUUAGAGUAGCUCAGUAAUAAUUGUUGCUACCAGUGAGGAAAGUAGAGUGGGCCCAUAUAAGGGGGGAGACAAUGGCCCCGCCCUAGAAUAGAGAACUUUUGCGUCUAUAUUUGCAGAUAGGCUCCUCAGAAGUCUAUUAAUAUGUCAGGUCCUCCAAGAAUUUUUCAAAGUAUUUUGAAGACUCUGUCAUAAACAAAUAUAUUACAUAGUCCUCAAGUUGCCCCAUUUAUUCAAAACUGUUUGUGACUGUGCUUGUUUCAACAAGUACCUUGCCCUCAAACAAUGUUACCUUUAACUUCUAACAAAUGUGUACUUUUAUUGCCUUAUUCUUUCUUCGUCUAAUCACCCAUUUUUCCCCCCAAAAUUCUCAUUUCAGCAAACUGAAUACCGUAAAAGAAAUUGUUGGCCGCCCACUGCUCAAACUGAGAGCAUCAAGGCCUUGACUAGAUCAUGUGAAAGUGUCCUUGUAACUUAACUAGAUCAACACCAGCCGAAUCAUUUUCCCACAACUGUAAUCACCACUUCAACUUUUCCAAUUAAAAAUGAAUAAUCAAGAAAAUGGAAAAAAAUCUUCUUUGUCAACAAUUCUCAUUUUUGGAGCUGUAAACUUGCAGCAAAAGUUGUUUUUCUGAGCACUAAUAUUACUUUUUGUAAUAUAAUCUUCGUUCAUUUCUCUAAAUAUAUUCAUAAUGUUUAAGUCACAGAUUAGGUGUGAUCUGCCUGUCUCUGUAUUUGCCGGACUCUCUACCCAGCCUUUAUCUGGAGUUAUAAUAUCUGUCUUGCCUUCACACAAUUCCCCUUGAAUCUAUGAGGCACAGUUGCAAGCAGACUUAAGCAUCAUGAACAAGCAGUGUUAAGCUUCAAAAUAUUAUUCUCAGCUUUUUAUCUAGAUAAGACAAAAAGAUUGGGUUGUCAUCACAUACCAUCGGAAAAGUGAUCUCGCCAGAGCCAACCACGUAAGAUCGACCAGAGCCCACUGCACCUUCUUCAUAACCUCUCACACUAUUUGUUCCGCCAAUGGCAAAUGCUUCAUGAGGAUAGAAAUUACCUAUUACAUGUCCACCAGACAAACUAGCCAUAAGAAACAGUGCGCAUUAGCAAACUGAUCCAAAAAAUCACUUGUUUGGUUAUCAUAAAUGGCAACUUAAGCAUGGAAGAAACUUUCAACAUGCUAAUCAUCGUCUAUAUUAUGCAUUUCGAAACAUGUUUGAAUUCCACUUUUGCACAAUAAAUAAAUAAAAGAGAGGAAAUGGUAGCUUACUUUAAACGAAGGCGAGCAUGACUUAUAUCUACACCCUUUCUGGCAUGAGCAUUCACUCUAUUGAAGAACAACCACUUUGGCAAAACAGGAAGCCCUUGUUCCAUGUCGAAUACAAACUGCAGGGACAGCAAGAAUGAGGGUCCAAGAAGCCAGUAGAUAAAAGAAAAUACAAAAGGCUAAAUGACUAACCAUUGAAGAACCGUGAUUGCCAGAACCAGUAUAUACACUCUCAAAUUUAGCAAUUAACACAUCAUCAUGGGUCUUUCCACUGCCGAACAGAAAAAUUGAACAAGCACAAUAUCAAAAACAUGCACAAUGGACAUUGAAUAAUUGAAACCAAUAACAAAUAGAAAGCAAAAUAAUGAAGUUCAUCAUCUACUUUCAGGAAAGCAUACCUUCCUGUAAAGAGGACUGCUAUAGAAAUCCUUGAUAAUAGGAUUUCCUUUUUCAUCAUGAGAACCAGCACGCUGGUAAAAAGAAAAUAUAAUCACAGGAAUUCACAGCUUACUAUAAGACAAAGCAAUAACUCCUCGUAAAUAAAUUGUCAAAGAAGCUUAUUCAAAAUACCUACAAAGUUUUGCUUUAUUGUUUAAUUGACUGACCACAAUAUUCAUAUGACAACAAACUCCCAGUUAUAAAUAACAGACCAGCAGUUAAAAAAUAAAUAAAAAUAGGUGAAAACAAUCUACAUUUUGCCAAUUCAGGUCUCGAUAGAAAAAAUAUUUCAUCCAGAAAAGAUGUCUCAAGCUCAUAUUCAUUGCCUGACCAAUUCUGCUUGGUGCCAAAGGUCAGACAACUGGUAAAGAAAAGAAUGGUUCUGCCGAAGCACCUGAAAAAUAAUCAUGCCGUCCCACUCCAUUUUGGCCUGAUUGGUCGACUGAAUUCUAUACUGGCUGUCACACGUCCAAUGGUCUGACUACUGUUGUCAGGUUGGUUCCUAUGAACAAGCGGUCCAGGGGUUCUUGAAUUCUAGUUAAAACAGCAUACAAACAGCAUCAGUUCAAGCAAUUAUCAGUUGGCACCACCAAGAAAGUAAUUGUUCUUGAUAAAGCAAAAACCAUAGCACACCUGAACCAUCAUAGUUCUUGAUGUUUGUUUGUCAUCUCCUUCAAUCCAAGGGUCAAUGUAAUUUAUGCGCAAUAUAGAAUCAAUUUGGCCCCUCUCUAAGGAAAUAUUGAGUUUUUGGUUUCUUCCAAAAACAUUCCUAUGAGAAUAAACAAAGCUGCAAUGGAAAAAUGAUAUAAUAUUAUGCAAACUGCAAACAGAAUGAUCAUGCCAUGUCACAAGAAUACCGUACAAUAAUAUAUUAUAAGAAGUGCAAGUGCAUGCCUUGCAAGAAAGAUUAGUACAACAUCCUACACAAAAAGAUCUCAUUAGCAUUAAGAAAUCCACUGUCAUUUAAUUGCAAGAGAAUCUUUUAAUCUUCAUAUGCGAGUACCUAAAAAUCCAUUUAUAUAAUAACUUGCUGAAACUAUAAGGAAUGUAAUCUUCUCAAACAAAUAAUAUUCAUUAGCAUUUAGGAACGAAGAAUUUGUUAAUUACAAGAGAACAUUACAUAAUAGAUACAGUUCUGUAUUACUAGAAAAUUAUACAUUUUUAGAAAGAAGCAUCGUAAGGUUUGAACUAACAAAAUAAUGAUCCACAGACAAUUUUUUAUCAAAUACAGCAAUGUAAUCGAUCCAACAAUAAAAAAAGAAUUAAAUGAUAGAAGAAAGACCAGAUAAUUUAAGACUGUAACCACACCUUCCAAUGAGUCCGGAUAAAGGGCCACUUGUGAUCCUGUAAAUCAAAAAACAUUUAGUUUAUAUAGUUUCCACAAAUGACUUAAUUUUGAUGUACAAGUACAACAAAAUUUGGCAACAAAAGUAACCAGUGCAUUUAAUUUAAUGUCACCUACCCACUUGAUAUACCACCACCAGCAGAAAACCCUCCACUUGGCCGCUCAACAACAUUCAAAAUCAAAUCAACCAUGCUAGUGUCUUCAAUGUUGCCAAAACAAACGAUCUUGCAAUCCAAACACCAUAAAGGAGGACAUCCACAUGCAUACAUCUUCAUGUUGCCAAAACAAACAAUAGUGCAAUUCAAACACCAUGAAGAAGAACAUCCACAAGCAUAAAACUUCCUGAAUAGAUUAUGAACAAUACUUUUUCGAAAUGUUUCCAAACGGAAGAAACUCCCCAAAGACCAAUUCUUUUGGUACACGAGCAACAUCUUCUAGAAAAUAGUCAACUUAUUUGAAAACUAACUAACUUAACAUAUCUUACCACAUAACAUGUAAACAUAAUUCAUGUCAUAAGAUGAUUCAAAUGUUGCAUCUUGCUUUACCUCCUGCAGGUUGAGGAAUAAUGCUAACAUCUUCCAUGAUUCCCAUGGUCAAUACAGUCUCCACAUCUCUUUUCCCUUGAAGCAUGCUGUAGACCUACAAAAAUUAUAUUAGACAUAUAAACUUUAACUUUAUGAGCAUAGAGGAAUGAAUAGUGGAGGAUAUCUAUAAGCCGGCACAUAGAGGAAUGAAUAUCUACAUAAAGGAAUGAAUAUAUAAGCCGGCGCAUAGAGGAAUGAAUAGUGGAGGAUCAUGUCACAUAAAAAAAUUACAUAAAACCACCGAUUCUUGUCUUAACUUUAUGAGCAAAUAAAGAAUUCAAAGAACCAAGCAAUAGGAAACAGUAAUGUUGCGAAACUAAGAAAAUUUUAAAACAUCUUCUUUCCUAAGAGAAGGCAUUAUUAUUAUUAUUAUUUUGAAAAGAAAAAGGAGGAAAAAAGGAAGAGAGGAAAAUAAGAUAAGCAAAACAAAGAAGCCAAAAUUGGAAUUCACAUUUUGCUCUGCCUCAAAAAUUAACAUCAUAGACCUAUUUUAGAUACUCGAUAAGGUGAGCAUACACCCAUCCUCAGUAUUACAACUCAGAAGUCUUUAAAAGUUUCAAAGACCAUACCUGUCCCUUCUUGGUAGUAAGUUGUCUAAGAAUUGUUUCAGGCCUCGUCUUCCCUUUAGUUGGCUCACCACUGACAAUUGCAAAUACAAUAUAUAUCAUACGAAAAUCCUAUGAUUACUGUUUCUAAAGGCAAAAAAGCUAAACUAAAUAUAGGCUUACGUCUUCCUGUCAAGGAAACGGAUGGAAAUAUUAUUGACCUCAGCUUCUGCAACUUGUAAUCUAAUUACUCCUCCAGAAAGAAUUUCAACACCAGAAACCUACAGAAGAUAUCAGAACACAUUACCUGAUUAGCAAAAGCAGCUGUGAUGACAAACCAAGGUAAACUCUACGAAACGAAACUCUAAAUCUCUAUAAAAUGGAGCAUGAAUGUGAGACAUAGACAAAGAUAAAAACACCGACCAAGCCAAAUAGACCAUGCUCCAUAUACCAGCCAUUGAUUGAAGUUAUCACUUCAUCCAAACGCCUUAUAUUGAUAAUUUUUCCUGCACAGCUUGACACCAAAAUUCAAAAUCAAUGAAUGUUCUCCGUGAACCAUUCCAAAAUGGCACACUAUAGAAAUGUUUUUUAAACAUAAUAGAUAUGCAGAAUAAGUAAGAAGUCUACCAUAACUAUUGCGAAAAGCAUGCUCUAGAAACUUUGAAGGAAGAACAUUUGCUCCUUCACAUACCAUCCCGUGAAACUCUUGAUUUGGCUCUACCUUGUGCCACAAGAAACCACAAAAAGUAAUCAUCAAAGAAAUUAAAUACAACAUAAUGUCUAAGGCAUAAUUUUACAGAAAAGUUAAUUAAUUUUUUCUUAAAAGAUUAUUUUAAAUAUAGCUGAAAUAUCAAUCUGAUGCCAUCACGCGUUGCGAUGGGCAUACACGAGCAGAAGUAACCGCCAUCGAUGAUCCUGUUAACGUCCUCUUGGACCUCGCGAACAGUCAAUGCUGAGUUGGCAUGGCAAGCUUUUAACACAGUUAACGCCUCUGUUCCGAGGUAUUUUCUCUCAAGUUCUUCACCGUCUUUAUUUCUCACCAAAACUUCACUUAUCAACACCCGCUCUUCGUCGCUUCGGCUCACCGAGUGCGGCUGCUGCUGCGCUUUCUGUUGCAGCUGAGUCGACGACACCUCGGGCAAAGCUGCCGACUCGGACGUCGUCGACUGACUCAGGGACAUCCACGCCGAGCAUAGAAGUGGUAAAUUCACUAACGUCUCGCCGGCGCCAGUUGUUGACGGGUACAUUGAACAGACGCGAGCCGAGUUUCCGUACGCGCGUUCAGCAAAUAAUUGGAGCUUCCGAGUGAGUGACUCCGGCUGAGUUAACUCAGUUGACUGAGUGGACUCAUCAGAGCGAGUUCUGAGUGAGUGAAUUUGAUGAGAGAGAGAGUUUUUGGAUUCCGUUAAUGUUUCGGCGAAGAAAGGGAGAGGAGGCUGAGGUUGAAAGCGAGGGAUUUUGAGAGGAGAUGAUGUGAACCGAGCGUCGUCGUUUUUCUGAGCCAUUGUCAGAAUCGGGCUGCCUCUGUUGCAAAAUUAAAAGCAAAAAAGGAUUGAAAUUUCGGUUAAUUGAAUGAUGAACUGAAGCUGAAUUUAGUGGAACGCAUUGGAGAAGAAGAAGCAACAGCAGAUAAACCCGUAGAGGAGAGUGACGUUUCGGCUGAGUAAUAAUAAUAUCAGAGUCCCUCAAUUCGAACAAAAUUAUAACCAAGGACAUACAUUACCAUCAUUUUUAUUUAAGUGCAUAUUUGGAUUAUGAUAAGAUUUUUAAAUAAUCACUUACAUUUAAGAAUUUAUUCUCCAAAUAAUGUUUAAUCAUCACAUGUCGAUUAAGUUUUAAAUAACAUUUCAAAUCAACUAAAUUUGAUAAAAAUAAUUUAGUAAUUUAAUUAAGUGAAAUAUAAAUAAUUAAUAUUUUUUAUGGAAUUUAUUGUGUUAUGAAAAUCAUGUGUUUUCUUUGUUUUAUCUUAAAUGUACUAAUUUAUUCACACAUUCUUUUAUUAAGUUAUUAUUAUCCAGGUAAUAUGGAUAGACAAAUUCCAAUUUACGUCAUCUUGAUUAUUAAAAAAAAAAUUCCUCUACAACAUGCUCCAAAUAUUGUUGUUUUUCUAGCACUCUUCUUUAAUUUCAUGAGUUAAAAUUAACGCUAAUGUUCCCAUUGAAGAAACUAUUAAUAAAAGGUGGCAAUAUAUUUUAAGAUAAUUAAAUAAAUUUUAAUAUAAAUAAAUAAAUAAAAUAUUAUAAAUAUAUUUUGAGAGAAUUAAAUAUACUUUGAUAUAAAUAAAUAAAUAAAAAUAUUCUAAAACUAAUAAUCUCCAACAAAUUCAUGUGAUAAAGGAAUUGAUUCAACAUGAAUUAACAUGAUUAGAGGGUUGAAAUCCGAACACAAUCAAUUAUUGAACUAAGAGUAAAGAAGAACUGGGCCUAUGUAAAUAAAUUACGAACUAUGCAUCCAUUUGUGAUUUUUCUAAAUGACAACGACACAGGUGAUAAUAACCUAAAUUCAAAUAUAUUUUUACUGGAAAAGGCAGUUGGCCACUUCGACCACUCCAAUCUAAAAAUUUUGAGCCGCCACGAGGCGGAGCUCAGACGUAUUCACACGUUACCAAAUAUUUUUCCUUUCCAUGGACUCUGAGUCUGUAAGUAUCCUCAUACGUCCCCGUUUCAUUCAUCAAAUUUAUCGAUGCUUAUUUGUGCUUGUUUAACAUCUGAUUUGGGGUGAAAGCUAGGGUUAGGGUUUAGGGAAUUUAGGGUUUUUCCAAAAGAAACAAUUUUUUGGGGAAAGAAAUUUGGGAUGUUCGUGAUUGGGUUCUGAGAUUAGCAUGUUUACAAAAAGUUUCUAUCUUUCGAUCGGUUGCUUAGAAAACAGGAAGAAGAGAACAAAAUUUUUGUGUGCUGUCCUCUGCUUUUUUUUUCUUUCUUUCUUUCUUUUUUAUUUGUUUUUUCAGCUAGUAUUUCAAAUUAGAUAUUCAUUAGACACUUUGUAUUUGGAUCCAUGUUUAUCUGUUUAUAAUUUUCUUUCUCCUAAUGAUCCGUAAGCGCACCCAGAGAACCAUGGCAUCAUUACUGUAAUCCAUUGUACAUGUUAUUGGGGGCAUUCUACACUUUCUUUGCAAACUCACUUUUUUCGUGCUAACUAACCAUGUGUUAUCCAUUUGUUAGUUUAUCUAGUUGAAACACAAAAUGUCAAAAUCUUGCAAGGGCCUUGCUAUGGAACUGGUGAAGUGUCUUAGCGAAUCUGACUGUGUUAAGGUCAAUCCUACUCUUUCCUGAUCUCUGGUUUUAUCUCAAUUAGCCUCUGUUCACUGAAAUGUUUUGUUGCCACUUAGUCAAUUGGAUGAUGACUUUUGUUGACUUUUUUUUACAAAUUGUGAUUAUAGGUGGAGAAAAGAUCUUUUAGGGAAUGUGCUGGAGAGAAGAGCCCAUGUAUACCAAGUGAAUGUGUGGGACUAAGGGAAACUUAUUUCAAUUGCAAGAGAGGCCAGGCUUGUUCUCUUUUCUCUUCUUUUCAUAUAUGUUUUCUUUUUCUUUUGACUUCCUCUGAAAACUUGUAAGGCUACAAGCUCUGAUUUAAUUGGAACGAGAUAAUCAGUGAUAGCUGGUGAAGUUAAAUUCUUCUACAUUAUAUUGUAGAAACGGAAUGAUACGUCCUGUAGAGACACCAUAAACUGUAGAAGUACAUGUGCAUCUAUGGUAUUUUUCAUAUAUAUGGUUUCUGGUUUUGUGUAUAAGCAUGACUACAUAAAUAGCAUGAAAUGGGUCUUUGCAUUCAUUUAAGUCUACCUAAGGAACUUGCCUGUUAGUAUCAAAUUUUAAAGAAACCUGGUGGAGCUGGAGGAUAGAGAAGAUAAUUUGUAUUUUGUGACAUGAAGCCAAACUCAUCUUUUUUCACCUUGAUAGUGUGAUGAAACUCAAUAGAUAAUCCAUAUCUGUGUGAGCACACAUGACUGAUUAAGGAAUAGAAUUAUGAAAAUCUAAACUCCUUUUUGUGAUAAGUUAACUAACGCAAGGAACUCAAUACAGAAAAUUGUAAUCUGUAUGAGUACGAUUGAUUAUAGGAUAGAAUUAUGAAAAUUUGAACUUUUUUUCUUGAUAUAAGUUAACUGAGGCUUUAUUACUUCAGUUUAUGUCACUUGGUUUAUCUAGAAGCCUAUAACCCUACAGGGCAGCUUGAGCACUUUAAACUAGGCAUAUCUCAUGUAUUGGAAAAACUUAAAUUUAUGCCUAUAUAUGAGGAGGGAUAUUAUGAUUUUACACUUACACUUUAUAUGCAAUUUGUAAAUUUAUUCUUGAAGACUUCUCAAAUGUUGAAGUUUUAGCUAUGUUGAACAAUGAAUACUGGUUAUCAUAUGGUCAAUUCUGUAACAUAACAAUUAGACUUUCUAUAAUAUUUGAGUCAACAAGAUCCCUUCUUUUAAUGUGUCAUUCCUUUUCUUCCCCUUUUUGGUUGGUCAGGUUGACAUGAGAGCUAGGAUACGUGGAAACAAGGGUUACUAAAAGCAACUGCAGGAUCAAGCUGUUGGCAUCAACAUUAUACUCUCAGACAAUUGAUGCUCCAAUAAUAAUCAAAAGGGGAUUACAAAGGAAAAAGUAUUCAGGCUUAAGAGACUUGAAGGAAUAUUUUGAUAUGUGAGCUUCUGGUUGCAGUUUUCUUAGGCUUUGUGUACAAACAAAAAUUUGAUUGGAUAAAAAAUGACAUUUUAAGUCAUUUGAGAUUUUUUUCCUCCAUUUGGACAAGAAUUCUUCAAAAUAAUAAUAAUAAUGAUGAUGAUAACAAUAGAUUUAGCUAAAAUAGAAGCAAAUGAAAUUAGAUGCGCAUGUAUGGUACUGAUUGUAGUUGAGCAUAUCAGUGAAAGAGCUAUUUCCACAUUAACUUGUUUGAGUUGAAGCUUGAUGCAUUCCACAAAUUUUGAUUGUGAACAGAAGAAAGUAACGUGAUAAAACCUGUAAUUGCACUUGUUUAAUUUAUAAUUUUAAUUUUAUGAAAAUUGGAAAGCAUCAAAUAUUUGUUUGCUUUGCAGCGGUGCUUAUUUGGGCAACUUGAUAUUAUGUCCCUUUCGUUACUUGCAUUAUUCGGUGUUGAAAACCAGAAUUGGAACAUCAUAUUUUUGCUUCUGCUGUCAUUUGAUGAGCACAGGUGUCAAAUUCAUAUUGUUGUUCAUGUUAUCUCAUGUAGCUCGAGAAUGCAGGAGUAUAAAGAGAUAAGACACGAGAAUGGUGGAAUCCAAAGUGGAAGCCUUAAAGGCAAAAGAUGGAAUAUUUACCUAAAAGUUAGGAAUGAUGGAGUCCUUUUUAUCUGUUUUGGAUCUUAUAAAGAAUAACACAAUGGUGGCCAUGACUCAACAUGCUAGCUUGUAUUCUUUGGAAUUCGAAGGGAUUAGCCAUAGUGGUAGUGUUUAUAUAGGCAAAAGUAUCUCAGUUGCGAAAUCUGAAACGUAACACUAUCGUUGUAUUAUAACAUUUAGGUUUUUAAGUUAUAAAUUUUGUGGUUAAGAUUACCAAAAUUAUGCACUUUAAUAAUAUUUACGCUGUAUGAUAUUUAAUUCCUCUUUAACAUCAACGGUGGAGUACGAAAAAGUGUGUGUGUGCGCCCCUUAAGAUAUGGUACACCCUUACACGGCACAUGAAUUGAGGAACAAAGUGAGCACGAAGUAGACAUUAAAUGGCAAAAAGGAUUUGAUUGCAGUUGAAAUCGAACAACUUGCUUAUUUUAGCAAACCCAUUUAUUUGGGCUAGUUAGAAAAUGAUGACCAUUUUGUUUACUCUUGUAUUCUGGGUUAAAGCGAGAAGCAAAACAUCAUUUUAGUGCUUAGGUUGUCUUCUGGAGUGAGUUUUGCUAUAGUUUUGUUCAUUUAGUAUCAAGUACCUAGCCAUGAUUUUGAUCGAGCCGGGACACAUUUAAAAUCAAACAUGACUCGUGAUAAGUCCUCAUUUGGGAAAUUGUAUUUUGGGCUCCAUAAACUCCAAAUGGGAGUUUGCUACUUGUACAAUUGUGCUCCUUAUAGAGUGCGUCUAUAUGAUUGAAACUCUAUUUAAAAUAUAAUACAUUUCUAAAAAUUUAGAUAGCAAUAUAUAACAUUACAACUAUAAUAUUCAUUGAUAAUAAAUUUACUUAUUACAAUGGUUCUCCGUGAAAAUUCAUCAAUGAGAUUUUAUGAGUUGAAAAUAAUACAUUAUCAAUAUAAGCAAAAAUAUAUUUUUCAAUAUACAAGACUAGGUUAUUACUUAAUUUACUCUUAAAAUCUUUUAAUAAUAACAAAAAUAUUCAUAUAUUGCAACACACAUAACAAAUAUGAACUGCAUGAUAAAAUUAUAAAUUUUAAAACUAGACAAAAGAUUAAUUAGAAAAUUAAAAAUUAGAAUUAGGUAGACUUACAACUUAUGGUUCAGUGUUGAAAAACUAAAUAAUUGAUUUUACUUGAAUAAAAAAUAAAAAGAUUAAAGACUGGUCCAUUAACCAUUAUACUAACAUUUUGUUAUGAUUGUUUUUUAUUUUAAUAUUUGUUCUCGUGUCUUUAAUCAAGUUUCAUGAAAAUGUUAAUAACUAAUUAAAUCAUUUAUAAUUAGAAAUUUAAACUAGGGACAGUAUGAAAUAUUUUAAAAUUAUUGGAGUCAAUUUUAAAUUUUACAAUUCAACUGGAGCAUUUUUCAUAAAUAGCAAAUAAAAUACAAUUUUUUAGUAUAAUUAUCAAAAAAAAAAUUAAAAGCCAGCUGGGGCCUGUGCCCCACCUUGUCCCAUGGUAGCUCCGUCCCUGUUUAGUAUUGCUCAUUUAAACAAAAAAAAAAAAAAGGAAGAUGAACUUUAGGUUUGUCACAGCAUGAUGAUAUUACAAAGUUUUAAAAAUAUUAGAACGUGGGUUAUUGUAUUUGAAGCAGCUGUGCGAUGGUAGAGUCCGGAUAUCUGAACUUAGAAUUGAUUAAAAUUUAUCCAAAAAUAAAAUAAAAAAAGUUAUAAAGAUGAAAAAAGUUGAUGUAAAGUUUUGCAAAGCUAUGGCUCGCUCACUUGGAAUUUUGAAAGAAUGAUGAGACAAUUGAGUAUUAGAAAGUGAAAGUCUCAACAAAUUUGUAAAAUUUGGUAGCUUUUGGUAAAUUUGAUUAAAAGAUAUGCUAAAUACUGAAUUGAAUAUAAUUAAGUGAAACAUAAUAAUUCGAUUUAUGUUUUGUUUUAUUUUUCUAGCUUUAAUAUGUUCACGUAGUGAUAUCUUGUAAAAUUUCUAAACCAACCUACCGCCGAUAAAUGAUGAAGCCAUGAUUUAUGAAUGUCUUUGCUGAUAAUAGCUAUCAUCAUUACUCAUUAUGUCAACACUUCAUGAAAAUACGUAACCAAUUACAAGUCUCCACGUAUUAAACUUGUUAUUAACUAAAAUGUUUUCAAAGAUUAAAUAAACUAAAUGACAUUCCAAGAAUCAGGCAAAAUGGUAUCAUACAUGAAAUUUCGAAAUUAGGAAUCUAUCGCCAAUAACAAAUUGAUUAUUUAUUUUAUUUAUGAACGUUUUUAGUCGACCAAAUUGGAAAAGAAACAAAAUUGCUGUCUAUAAUUUUUUAAAGAAAGACAUAAUCUAUCUAUUUGGUAUCAAAUCACGUAAGUCCUUUGCCAUAAUAUUACAAGAGUACACUUGUAAUAUAGAUUUUUGUAGUCAUAAAUUACAUGCACAAUGAAAUUUGAAACAUAAGAAUAAGAGAGAAAAUGGUCUAAAACAAUAGGGAAAAAAAGUACACAUACUUCACUGUUGUAUAUAAAUAUUGAUAUUCCAAAAUAUAAUUACCCCAGAAUAGUGGAAAGGAAAGAGAAGAAUAUUUGAUUUACAUAAGGAAAUCAAUUUUAGAGUUGUAAAAAACCCACAAGGAGGAAGUCUAAAUGCAUGAGAACAAACCUAAAUGAGGACUCACCCAAUUCAGAAGCCUCUUAUUCACACUUUUUUUUUUUUUUUUGCAUAACUUGAUCUUUAGAAUAAUGUUUUGGGCACACCUUUAUGUCUUUUUUUUUUCAAUAUUCUUUGCCAUUAUUUUGUAUCUAUGCUAUUACCAUUCGUUAUAUUCAUUGUUUUCCUUGUUUAUUUAUAAUUAUUUUACUCAUUAUUCAAACAUAUAUGUGAAUUUUUCAUACACACAACCAACAAAGAAUUAACACCCUUAAAUAUGAGUAACAUCAUAAAAUAGAAUGACAUGUAGCACUAUUUAUGUGGCACAGUGGCAGUGUGAGUCCACUCAAAUUACAACAUUUUACCAUUGUUAGAAUACAAUCUCGCAUCAUGGACCUAUUUGACGCAACUCAGAAAACUAUGAACUUAUCGGAAAAUUACAAAAAUGGUAGGGGCCAGGUGUAAUUACAAAUAAAACAAAACCAAAAAGAAAAAUAGUGGUUCGCGUCAUGCUGUCCUGGUCCUCAUUCGAAGAAAGUGGGCCCACGAACGCGUAGUCAACGGUUGUCAACACGUAAUCACCACGAUGUUUAAAAUCAAAUCAAACGGUGGUGAUUACGAUGAAACCAAAGGUGGGAAAGAGAUCAAAGACGUUAAGGAUUCAAAAAUUUAAAAAGAUGUUAAAAUAAUACAAACAAAAAAAACUCAACUGUAUACAUACACCACCAAGGAUUCUCGCGCACUCUGGACUCUCUCUCUCUCUCAUUCCUCCGCCUCUUUCUCUUUGACCAAACGCCGUCGUUCCGCACUCUCUCUGGCGCGUCGCAAAUUUCACAAACCCUAACCCUAAAGUUUUUAUUUUUUUGUUUUGUUGCUUUUCUAUCUGAUCGCUCUCUCUGUCACGUGACGUGGUCACUGAUCACCGAUAGCGACCUCGCAAAAAAAGGUAAGGUACCUGCUUGCCGCUUGCUAAUUGCUAUCUAUGUAAUCUCGAAAUAUGUGUCGGUGAUUAUUUGGAUUUAUUUAUUUUGAUUUUAAUACUUGAAAUAUUUAAUCAAAUAUUUGGUUUUUAUUUGGUUUUAUUGUUUAUACGGUUGUUUUAGAAGGGAUGAAUUUGAACUCUGUGAAUGGAGAAAUGGAAGGGGAAAGGGGGGAUGAUGGCCUUAAGGAGCCUUUAUUACUGCAGCAUGUAAAUGGUGUUGCAAUUGAUAUCCCACCACAACAACAGUUUAGUUAUGAUGGGAGUAAGAAAUUGAGGACGGUGAAGUUCAAAAUUAGGGAGAUCAAAUGUGCUUCUUGUGCAACGUCUAUUGAAUCCGUGCUGUCGAACCUCAAUGGGGUUGAGAGUGCUGUGGUGUCACCCCUUGAAGGCCAAGCUGUCGUUAAAUUUAUUCCCGGGCUUAUUACCGUAAGUGCUCUUCAGGAACUUGCUUGAUUUUGGAUUACGUUGUUUUCCUGUUAGAGUUAUUUCAACAUAUGCACACGGCACACAUGAAGAGAGUUCGUAAAUUCAUGUACCUUGUAAAUGCUUGUGCUUGAGCUCUUUAGCUUGUUCUGUUUCUCAUUAUUAUUAACAUACAUCUUUUACAGAAAUGAAUUUAAUAUUUGCCUACUCUAUCUAGUAUCUAUAGUUAAAAAAUGGAAUUAUUUACAAUUAACUACUAUUUUAGGCAAAACGAAUUAAGGAAACUGUAGAAGAAGCAGGAUUUCCAGUUGAUGAUUUCCCUGAACAAGACAUAGCAGUAUGCCGCCUCAGGAUUAAAGGAAUGAUGUGCACCAGCUGCUCUGAAUCUGUAGAACGUGCCAUUGAAAUGGUUGAUGGAGUUAAAAAGGCUGUGGUUGGUGUAGCUCUUGAAGAAGCAAAGGUCCACUUUGAUCCAAAUCUCACUGACACAGAUCACAUUGUUGAAGCAAUAGAAGAUGCUGGCUUUGGGGCCGACCUAAUAAGCUCAGGGAAGGAUGUAAACAAAGUUCAUCUAAAACUUGAAGGAUUGAACUCAUCUGAAGAUGCUACUUUUGUUCAAAACUUUCUUGAGUCAACUCAAGGUGUAAGUCAGGUUGAAAUAGACCUGUCAGAACAUAAGGUGACAGUUAGCUACGACCCAAACCUCACAGGUCCGAGAUCCAUUAUACAGUACCUUGAAGAAGCCUCUCACGGCCCUAAUAUUUAUCAUGCAAGCUUAUAUACCCCUCCAAAACGAAGAGAAACAGAGCGGCUGAAAGAAACUCAGAUGUACAGGAAUCGAUUUUUUAUUAGCUGCCUCUUUUCAGUUCCUGUCCUUUUAUUUUCCAUGGUACUUCCAAUGAUUCCUACUUAUGGUAACUGGUUAGACUACAAGGUUCACAACAUGCUCACUAUUGGGAUGCUUUUAAGAUGGAUCCUUUGCACGCCAGUGCAGUUCAUUGUGGGCCAAAGGUACUGAGUCUAACUUUUAUCUCAUCUUCUCUUCAUGUUUACUGCUGCGUGCGACAACCUAGGCAUUUGAAUUUUCGAAGAAUUUUUAUGAGAUAAUUUAUGAGAUCGCUUGAUUGUAUUUUUCAGGUUCUAUGUGGGAGCAUAUCAUGCAUUGCGACGAAGGUCAGCUAAUAUGGACGUUCUGGUCGCAUUAGGCACUAAUGCUGCUUAUUUUUACUCUGUAUACAUUGCUGUAAAAGCAUUGACUUCCAAUACAUUUGAAGGGCAAGAUUUCUUUGAGACUAGUGCCAUGUUAAUAUCCUUUAUCCUCUUAGGGAAGUAUUUGGAGGUUGUGGCAAAAGGGAAGACUUCGGAUGCUUUAGCAAAGCUGACAGACCUUGCUCCUGAUACUGCACAUCUCUUAACAUUAGAUGGUGAGGGAAAUGUAAUUUCAGAAAUGGAUAUUAACACUCAACUGAUGCAGAAGAAUGAUAUAAUUAAGAUUCUUCCGGGAGAAAAGGUUCCAGUUGAUGGGGUUGUUACAGAUGGUCAAAGCUAUGUGAAUGAAAGUAUGAUCACAGGAGAGGCUAAGCCCAUUGCUAAAGGUCCUGGGGACAAGGUACUAACCAUUUUUCUUUUACAUUUUAAUGUAUGUGGCAUUUUAAUAUGUAAAGUGAAGGUUCUUUUAAUGUAAUCAACAGGUUAUUGGUGGGACCAUGAACGAGAAUGGAUGCUUACAGGUUAAGGCCACUCAUGUUGGGUCAGAAACUGCACUUUCCCAAAUUGUUCAACUUGUGGAAGCUGCUCAGCUUGCCAGAGCACCAGUUCAGAAAUUAGCUGAUCAGAUCUCAAGGUUUUUUGUUCCUAUGGUGAGUUCGUCUGUUUCUAUAUACAUUAUACUUUAAACAGUAUUUGUCCAGAUUUAGUGGAGGACAACAUUAUUUUGUUGGGAUUGCAACUAGAUAACAUUUCGAGAGAAAGAAGAGCUAACAACAAGUAAAUUAAUAAAUAUAAUAUUUUAUGGGGUAACUUGAAGAGGAUUUAUUUGAAUAUAUCAAAUGAUUAUCAGAAAUCAAAUUUUUGUUUUAUAUGUAUAUGGUUUGUUUCAGUAUGAUCUUAUUAGUGUCACAUUCCCUAGAACGUAAGUAAAAUGCCUCGGUUAGAGGGGAAUUAUUGCUUUUAUGUUUUGUAAAAGGUGACAAAUUCCUCAUCCACUAGUUCAUUAGAGUGCUAUAAGUGUGCAGUACAUAUUUUAUUGUUCCAAUGACACCUUCUCUCACUGGUAUAUGAUUUCUUUAGUUAGAGAACAAAUGACUAGACCCUUAGUAAGGGCUGCAAAAAGAAUCCAUACCGCAUGUCAACUGCUCAUGUUUCGGUCAAGCUUAUUCAUGAACUAAAUGAUCCAAAGUAUAACUUGGCAUUAGCUCAAUUGGCAAGAAAAUAAGCUUGAACAUACCCAUGCAUGACUUGAUUUGUUUGUGAGGAUGGAUAUAUACCUUGUAACAUUUAACCCAAAAUAAAUAUGUUAAGAGAGAAGAGUUUUACUUCAUGUUUAGCAAAAAUUAUUUAUCAAUGGUAUUAAAAAAUUUCCUUUUAACAUAUCACACUGUAAGAACAUCGAAUGUUAUUAUAGAAGGCAUGUACUUAAGUGAGAAUUGUUCAUUCUCUGCCUCAUAGAAGUAGUAAGCUUGUCAACAAGCAUAAACCUGUUAAAAGUUCCAAUGAGUCUUAUUGAAUAGAAAGUUGACCUUGAUUUGGAUCUCAGUUAGAGGCAAAGGAAUCUACCAUUAAUUGUGCUCUGGUGCAUGGAUCUUUUACAGCCUGUGCAUGGCACUUGGUCAAUAAAACAAUCAUUUUGUUUUUACCUCAUCUCAGGUUGUUGCUGCAGCAUUCAUAACAUGGCUGGGAUGGUUUAUCCCUGGAGUGGCUGGGCUUUACCCUAAACAUUGGAUACCAAAAGUCAUGGAUGAGUUUGAGCUUGCACUGCAGUUUGGCAUUUCAGUAUUGGUUGUUGCUUGUCCAUGUGCUCUAGGACUGGCAACCCCUACUGCUGUCAUGGUUGCUACAGGGAAGGGUGCUUCUCUAGGUGUGCUCAUUAAGGGUGGAAAUGCACUUGAAAAGGCACACAAGGUAUGGUCUUUAUCCCCUUGUAAACAACUAAGGCUGAGUAACUUGAGUUUGGGGUUGAUGUACAAAAUUUCGCUAUACUCUGGGUGUAUUAAGCAAGUUGCCUUUGCUGCACACACAUGUACACGUGCGCUCAAGACAUGUAAGCGUGCAAAUAUUUGCCCAUCAUCUUUUGUGAAAUAGAUCUAGAUUUUCUGGUUUCAUUGAUCUCAUAUGAUCAAAUAAUUAAAUAAAAUAGCCUAUGGACAUUUUUAAUCUGAUUAAUUCCUGCUUCAUCUACAGACUAUAUUAGAGUAUAUUUUGAUAUUGUGAUUUGUGAGUCUCCAUUUGAAUGUCACAUUUUCCUUGAAACAAAUAGAAUUUAAGUUUUUAUUAUUUUGAAUAUUUUACUAGAAAAUAGCUCUUUCUUCCAGUGCAGUCAUGUUACAGUAAGCAUAAAUAGCCUUACUUGACUAUGUCAUACUGUCAUCAUUAUCACAGACAAGUUUCUUUUUCCUUUUUUUUUGGUUUUGUUUUGGGGUUUAAUAGCUGACAAAGUAUAAUGGUUAUAGUCAUCUAUAAGCAUUAUUUCUCUUUUUUAUGGUUUUUGGACAUGAUAUAAGUUGAACCUCUGGUCAUGGGAAAUUUGAUUAAUGCCCUCAUUACUGCUAAGUGACUAUAUUGAUUGCAUUUCUUUUAAUUCUGCAGGUAAAGACAGUUGUCUUUGAUAAGACGGGGACUCUGACAGUUGGAAAGCCUGAGGUAGUCAGUGCGGUGCUGUUUUCCCACUUUUCCAUGGAGGAGUUCUGUGACAUGGCUACUGCAGCAGAGGUAGAUAUUAAUAAUUAGUAUGAUACUCUGAUUAAUCUGCAACCUGUCUGGGGUUGAAUACUAACAGUGUUCUUGACCUUAGUUCCAAUAGUUUUUGAAAACAAUCCCAAUGCCCUUCUUAACCCAAUACUUGGCAAGAAACUUGCAAUACAAUGCAGGCAAACAUUAUAUGUAUACAGGCCCUGUUCAUAAAAAAAUUGAAUUUUGCUUUGGUGUAUGUGCUUGUACGAAUCUGAUUACACACUUUUUUUUUUCCCCUCUUUACAAAAUGUUCAGGCAAAUAGUGAGCACCCAAUAGCAAAAGCUGUGGUGGAGCAUGCAAAGAAGCUGCGGCAGAAACUUGGCUCUCCUACCGAACAUGCCAGUGAGGCUAAGGACUUUGAGGUGCACACUGGAGCUGGGGUCAGCGGAAAAGUUGGUGACAGAACAGUUUUGGUUGGGAACAAAAGGCUCAUGAUGGCUUUUCAUGUUCCCGUUGGUCCUGAGGUUGAUGACUAUAUGAUGAAAAAUGAGCAACUGGCCAGGACAUGUGUAUUAGUUGCUAUUGACGGAAGGGUUGCUGGAGCUUUUGCUGUAACUGAUCCCGUGAAGCCAGAGGCUCAAAUUGUUGUAUCCUCUCUCCGCUCAAUGGAAAUCUCAAGCAUCAUGGUGACUGGUGAUAAUUGGGCUACAGCGAAUGCCAUCGCAAAAGAGGUUGGAAUAGGAAAGGUUUUUGCUGAAACAGAUCCAGUGGGAAAAGCUAAUAAGAUAAAAGAACUGCAGGUAAGCCUAUUCUAUACAUGGACAAUGGUGCACUAGAAAAUGCUGUUUCUGUUUGUGUCAUGUUGAGUCAGUGAGGCAACAUUUUAGUAACUUGUCUUUUUGAAUUUACAAUGGAUGCAGUUGAAAGGAAUGACUGUUGCUAUGGUGGGAGACGGAAUAAAUGACUCACCAGCAUUAGUUGCAGCUGAUGUUGGGAUGGCAAUUGGUGCUGGAACUGACGUAGCUAUAGAAGCAGCUGAUAUAGUUCUCAUUAAAAGCAGCUUGGAAGAUGUAGUUACUGCCAUAGAUCUUUCCAGAAAGACCAUCUCUCGAAUUCGACUCAAUUAUGUGUGGGCACUUGGCUAUAAUGUACUUGCCGUGCCUAUCGCUGCUGGAAUUCUAUACCCCUUCACAGGAAUCCGUUUGCCACCCUGGCUUGCCGGGGCUUGUAUGGCUGCUUCAUCACUUAGUGUGCUUUGUUCUUCUCUUUUAUUGCAGUCUUAUAAGAAGCCUUUGCACAUUAAGGACUCAAAAGACAGCUCACUUGACUAGUUUAAACUUGAACUGUACCUUCCAUGGUUCUCAUUAUUGUGCUGAUAAGUAUGCGUAUAUGCUUUUAUGCCAAGAAAAAAUAAAACCAUUUUGUUUCUUUCCCCUCUCUAGAUGUGUUUUUGUACCUUAAUAUUUCUCCUCUUCGUAUCCGUUUUUGUGACUGUUAGUUCAAAAUUUGAAACCCUAAUUUGGGUUUGAAUCUUAGCGAUGGUGGUAUCUAAGUUUGGGUGCUUUUGUUCAAGUGAUCCUAUGAUUAACUUGAGAAAAAUGCAUCCAAAUAAAUUACACUGUAUAAAAAGAACAAUAAGUGAAAGAGGUAAACAGUGAAAUCCCAACAAGCAGAAGCCGCUCGGGACUUUUUCAAGAAGCUGCAGCAUAAAUAGAUUUCUCUUGUUUUUUGAGUUGCUGGGAACUAGAAAGCUGCUACUUUUGGGGGAUGAUUAGUCCACGACUGUCUCCUAUCUUAUUAUAUAGUCCCCAAAAUAAUGCCAAAACGAAAAUGUCUCCCACUAGUACACUCAAAGCCGUCUGAAAAAAUUAAGCUCUUACAUCAACUCUAUUCAUAAAUAUGAGUUGCUUGUUGUGGAUUAAAAUAGGAAAGUAUCUAACAUGUAUGUAAAUAAUACAGAUGAUAAGAAGUUCAAGGAUCAUUGUGAUAUCAGUCAAGAAAAUGGAGACAAAACUUGGUGAGAGCUUCGAUUGCUAUCACGUUUAAUAUCUCAAUUGAUUUCUGAAUGUAUUUGAUCACAAAUGGUAAUCAAUGUGCAUUUAACAAUGCAUUCUUUGUAUUAUAAGAUGUUAUGCGAAUGAUAUCUUAUAAAUUGAUUAGUGUGAUACAAAAUUCAUAAUAUAUUGAAAAAUGUGUAAUACAUCUAUUAUAAGUUAUGUGGUUACUUUUACAAUUCACUUCUUAAAGUUAUUAAAUAAAUCACACAUUAUUUUUAUUAAAAAGGAUGAAUAGAUAUAUCUCAUAACGUUACUAAACUUAUUAUAAUUUCAAAUUUUUUUUUAACUAGUAAUAAAUUUCUCACCAUAAUAUUUGGUUUCCAAUAUUAAAUUUACAUGCAAGUUGUGAAUAUUAAACAAACAAAAAAUCAAAAGCAUCGUAUCUUACAAUCUUAACUCCAUCAAAUAGUGAAAUUUUAUUAUCUUUCUAAUUAGCUUACAACUCAUCAAUGCAUAUCGUAAUUUCAGAGUAUUUUAGUUGAUGAACACUCUCAAAUAAAGAUUUUCUUAAGUUAUAUUUAUUGUAACUAAAAAUUAAAAUUUAUAAAUAUAAAACUAAGCAAUAAAAUAACAGGACCAGAUGAAUGAGUGAAUAAUUAUAUUAAAUUUAAUGAGACCUUACUGUCUAAAAAAUAGUGUGGUUGUAAAUAAUAAUGUAGUAGUCCCAUAUAAUAUUAAGGGUUAAUUUUGUCCUGCCCCCAACUGUUUCAACAUUUUUCGCCACACACCCAUAUGUUUCGAAAAUACUCACUCCACACCCAAUUCCGUUAAUUUGAUCGUUAUGUUUAACGGAGCUAUUUAAAAUUUAAAUAAAUGUCCAAAAUACCCCUUAUCUUGAAUUAGAGAAAAAUAACAUGAGAUAAAAUAUUAAUUUAAUAAUUAAUGUUUACAUUAAAAAAAUUUAUUUAAAGGUAAUUAAUAAUAAUUUCAUCAAUUAAAUUAUCAAAUAAAUUUAAUUUAUCAUCAUCAAAUAAUAUUUAGGAUAUGAAUUUUCAAAUUUACCCUUUGACCGUUAGAAUAAACGGUCAAAUUAACGGAAUUGGGUGUGGAGUGAAUAUUUUCGAAACAUAUGGGUGUGUGGUGAAAAAUGUUGAAACAGUUGGGUGCAGGACAAAAUUAUCCCUAAUAUUAAUAUUAAUCUGGUUGCAAUAUUUGUGUAAAUUAAAAAAAAAAGGUACACGUGUCCUUUUCAUUAGGCAUGAAAAAGCAUCUCAUGCGUGGAAGCCGAUUCCGCCAUGAGUACUGACUUGCUAUUCACUUUAACAAUUUUCAUUUGCACAGUGGCAUCUCCUAGAAAAUUGAAGUCCCCUGCAGCUUCCGUAAUUGUCUCUCAACGGCGAACAACAUCUCAACACGUCUCCUCUCUUUCUUACUUCCAUGUCUUUUAUCUUGUACCAACACAUAAAGUCUCACUCUUUUUUUAUUUUUUUUGUUAAUCAGUCUCUCUCUUUCUCUGACUAAACAUCUGAGUUCUUGAGUCUUGAUCCCCUCCAAAAGGUAAGCUCCGAUCAUCUCUUCUUUCAUUUUGGAUCAUGUUGUUAGGAUCAUUCAAUUUGAUCAAAAGGGUUUCUUUUUCUUCAUACAAGUAUGUGUAUGUGUUUUCGUUGGAGAUUUUUGAGUUUUGUGAGUGAAUAGGAUGGUGGUUAAAAGCUAAGAGAAGACGCUUGAAAUGUUGAUAAGUUAAAUUAAAUGUUAUUGGAUUUUCAAUUUCCUAGCUGCCCUUUUGUUUGGCCGCCGAGAAAAUGGAAUGAAAAUUAAGGAAGAUUGGAUUUUGGGAUUUUUUGGUUUCUGGCUUUUUCUGUCUAUUUAUGGAAUGAUGAAGAAUUCUGGGUUUUUAUUCGUUUUGGCGGUUAUGUUUCUAAUAAUGGAAGGUUCUGUUUUCUUUAAGCUCAGUCAACUGGUUGUGUCAGGUAUUUAGAUAGGCUCUGUGAAGUAGAAAAGAAUUAUUGGUAUCUUGAUAAUUGUAAUGAUUGAGAGUUGAAAUUUUUGGUUCCUGUUGAGAACAAAUUGAGAGUUUGUUCUUGUGAUUUUGGUCUGUUUUGGAAUGGAUAAUUCUUCAGGUUUGGGAGGCAGGUUUUUGUCGGGUCAAAAUGUGGGGUUAUUGGACCUUGAAUCAUCAAUUCCCAGAAACCAACAAAACCAGCUGGGCCAUCCAUCUUUUAGCCGGCCGCAUCAAAUGAAUAUGAUGCAUGGUCUUGAAAAUGAUCACCACCACAUCGGGCUACUGGAAGUGAAAGGGUCAAGCAGGAAAGGAUUACCGAUGAAUUUUGGUAGAGGGAAGAUGGUCAGUCCAAUCAAUGCCUCAAAUAAUGGCAAUACAAGUGAAGAAGAUGAACCCAGUUAUACAGAUGAAGGAAAUGGUGAAAACUCCAAUGGAGGAAGGGAUAAAAAGGGAUCUAUGUGGCACAGAAUGAAAUGGACAGAUAAUGUGGUUAGGCUUCUUAUAGCUGCUGUUGCUUGUGUGGGGGAUGAUGGUACGAUUGAUGGUGUAGAGGGGCUUAAGAGGAAAUCUGGAAUUUUACAAAAGAAGGGCAAGUGGAAAACAGUUUCAAAGAUAAUGAUUAGUAGGGGUUGUCAAGUUUCACCACAGCAGUGUGAGGAUAAGUUUAACGACUUGAAUAAGAGGUACAAGAAGUUGAAUGAUAUUCUCGGUAAGGGAUUAACUUGUCAAGUGGUGGAGAAUCCUGCUCUUAUAGACACAAUGUCAUGCUCACACCUCUCAGCAAAGGCAAAGGAUGAUGUGAGAAAAAUUCUGGGCUCAAAACACUUGUUUUAUAAAGAAAUGUUUGCUUAUCAUAAUGGGAAAAAGAUCCCAAAUUGCCAUGACAUUGAUCUACAAGGUUGUUCUGUACCUUCAGACAGGUCUCCAAAAGGUAACGACGAGUCAGAGGAGGAAGAAGCCGACCGGAACAACGACACUGAUGAUGAUGAGUCAGAUAAUGAAGAUGAUCGUAAUGAUGACGAGGAUGAGGGGAGAAUGGCUGAGAUUGGCGAGAGAGGGAAGGGGAAUGAAGAAGAUGGCCAUUCAUGGCCGCAAUCUGCUGGCCGGAGUGUCUUUGAGAUGGAAAUGGCUAGGAUUUUUCAAGACCCCUCGAAGUCAAUGUGGGAGAGAAGGGAGUGGAUUAAGAAGCAGAAGUUGGCACUUCAGAAUCAAAGAGUCAGCAUUCAGGCUCAAGCUUUUGAACUUGAGAAACAACACUUAAAGUGGCUAAGAUAUUGCAGCAAGAAAGACCGGGAACUGGAGAGGUCAAGGUUGGAGAAUGAGAGGAUAAGAUUAGAUAAUGAACAAAUGAUAUUGCACCUGAAACAGAAACAAUUUGAGUUAGAUUUAAGGAAGACAGAAGUAUCCUUAGAACCCACUUCUCUUGGAAACAGGGAUAGGGAUAGAGAUCAAAUUGAUGAUUUGGGCAGGCAUCAAUAAUAUGUCCUCUGCUAAAGCCUGGAGAUCUGAAGGUUUGUGGCAGGCACCAUGGUGUACUUUGUCUAAUAAUUCUGCACAAAAAAAUUUUAACUGCUUAGUCACACUAACCUUGUUCGUCAUUGGUAUUUCUUUACAUUAACAUGCACGGUACUUGUAAGUCGUUUUUUGAGCUUUUGAUGAAGUUUAAGAAUUAAGCAUUAGCAUUUUACCCUGUACCUCUUUGAUGUCCAGAUUAUGCGAUAGAUAACUCUUAUGUCUAUCUAUGGUUUAAUAGGCCUUCAGUUAAUCAACCACCUGUCCGGCAAUACCUUCUUAGGUUUUGGAAGGGAGGAAAAAAAAAAAAAAGGUCUAUGCUCCAACAAUGAUGUUGGAGAGUAUGGAAUCACUACCACACAGAUAAAAUUUUUUCGAGUUUUGUGUUCAUUUGUCAAUUUUAGUAUUGAAGGUUUCAAGAUGUUAUAUAUAAUUAAUUGUAUGUAUAUUAGCUAAUCCCGGGAUUAUAUACAGUAUUAGCUUAUUUCAUCAUGCAACUAUUAUGGAUGAGAAAAUUUGAUGAGCAUUCUAAUGGAGGUGGUAUAAUCGUUUUCUUGGAAAUAUCAUUGUAAACAUCUAUCUUUAGCAUUUUUUUUUUCAAACCCCAUAUAUGGAUGUUCAGUGGUUCACGCGUAUUAUAUAUUUGUAUUAAAAUCAAGGGAUAAUUUUGUCCUGCACCCAACUGUUUCAACAUAUUUCACCACACACCCAUAUGUUUCGAAAAUACUCACUCCACACCCAAUUCCGUUAAUUUGACCGUUUAUUCUAACGGUCAAAGGGCAAAUUUGGAAAUUCAUAUCCUAAAUAUUAUUUGAUGAUGAUAAAUUAAAUUUAUUUGAUAAUUUAAUUGAUGAAAUUAUUAUUAAUUACCUUUAAAUAAAUUUUUUUAAUGUAAACAUUAAUUAUUAAAUUAAUAUUUUAUCUCAUUUUAUUUUUCUCUAAUUCAAGAUAAGGGGUAUUUUGGACAUUUACUUAAAUUUCAAAUAGCUCCGUUAAACAUAACGGUCAAAUUAACGGAAUUGGGUGUCAUUAAUUAUUAAAUUAAACAUAUGGGUGUGUGGCGAAAAAUGUUGAAACAGUUGGGGGCAGGACAAAAUUAACCCUAAAAUCAAUGGUGAAUCCUUCACUCAUGAUAAAUUAAGUGUCAAAGUUGUACUCUCCAAAAAGUAUGGGCCAAUUCAAAUUUCAAAUGGAGAAAUUUCCAAGCGAAAAUUAAAUGUUUCCAUUCUUAAUCAAAAUGUUGAAAAGUUUUCCAUUCUUAUUCGAAAUGUCCAAAUAACUAACUUUCUAAAUAAUUUUGUUCAGCCAAAUCUCCAUCUCUGCAUACUUUUCUCCGUCAAAAACUAAUACCACACAUGCAAUGACAAAUAAAUAAUAUGAUUAACAGAGCAAAAGAAAACGAAAACAGCAACCCAAUAAAUAAAAAGAAAAUAAAAGUAAAAAUUUUAGUAUUUUUCAUUUUCAUGCAACCAAUCAUAUUACUUCAAAUCAAUGUACAUGCAGCAAAAAUUUUGUCGAUGAAAUAAAAUUAGCCAAUCCUGCCUAAAGUAUCUUUCCCAAUCACAUCAUGCCACCUCAUACAAGCCGCGUAUCUCAAAAACACUUGCUAUAAAGAAUCCAUGCAGAGAUCAAUGCCUCUUUUAAGUUCUCUUCCAUCUCAUAUUUUUCUCUUCACAGAACCAAAAGCUCUCUCAGCCCCUAAGAUUAUCAAAGAGCCUUUUUAGCCAAAAGGGUAUUUUAUUUUGUUCAUUUUCGUUUUUAUUUUCUAUUAUUAUUUGACUCUAUAUUUAGUUCAUUGCAUUGGCCGAAUCGCUUGGUCUAUUUGUGAAUUGUGAUGUGUAUUUCACAUAAAAUUGUUCUGGUCUUGCUUUUAUUUCGGGCCUUUUUUUUUGUUAUUUUUUAUUCAACACCUUCUUUGAUUUUAUUAUAAACCCACUUUCAAGCUUCUCCUUCAUAUCUCUCUUUGCUCAUUAGUUUCCUAAGACCUUUUCUCUUCUUUCUUGUAUAUUUUUUUUUUCAGGUCAGCUUGAUUCAUUUAUGCCUGCAAAGAUUUAUAUUUAUGUCUAUUUUAUAGUUAAUUUUUGAAAUAUGCUAGUUUAUAUAUGUUUCUUGAGAUUUUCUAAUAUUGAAAAUUUGUACAAAGCUAAAUACUCGAUUGCAAAAUGCAUAACAUUUCAUGUCUAUAGCAAACUGAAAACUGAAAGAACAAAUGUCACUUAUACAAUGAUUGGUGCAAAUAAAUAGUUGUAAAUUAUUUUUGGUGCAAAUAUGUUUUAUGGGUUCGUACUGGAUCAAGAUUCUAUGGAGGAUUUGAUUUGGUCUUUCAGAUUUAAGUUCUGAUCUUAAUCUUAAUGAUUAUUAGAUUUUUAAAUGAUACGGUAGCAAUUUGAUUAUCUCUUGAUAUGUCAUCUGCCACAUGAAUUUAGAGUAGUGUACUUGAAACUUCUGUGACGUGUUUGAGAUUCUUGUUUUGUGACAUGAAAUUAUCUCUGUCCUUCAGUUUAAAGCAUUCUUGAUCAUUCUGCUUACAGCUCUCGUAAUUUUCAAUUUUUUUUUUCCCUGCAUGUUGACGGUUUAUAUUUUGGAAGCAGUAAUAAUGGCUGAGAGUCACCAGCAACCAUCAGUUAUGCAUAAGGUAACAGGACAGCUCUAUCUCAAAUCCACUCUUAGCCAAGACAUUGUUCAAAAUCGGUAUGCCGGUUUCCAAAAUCCUGCUGCUCUGCCUCAGAGGCAUUUUGCCUAUGGCAACUACUCCAAUGCAGCAUUUCAGUACCCGUUAGCACAAACGUGCCGCGCCUCCUCUGAUCUGUCACUUAUCGCCUCAACUGCGUCGCCUGUGUUUGUACAAGCCCCGUCAGAGAAAGGCUUUGCUGGCUUUGCCGUUGAUUUUCUCAUGGGUGGAGUUUCUGCAGCAGUAUCCAAAACUGCCGCUGCUCCUAUUGAACGCGUUAAGCUCUUGAUCCAAAACCAAGAUGAAAUGAUCAAGGCUGGCAGGCUCUCUGAACCCUAUAAGGGAAUUGGCGAUUGCUUUGGCCGUACAAUUAAGGAUGAAGGGUUUGCUUCAUUGUGGAGAGGGAACACAGCCAAUGUCAUUCGUUAUUUCCCCACUCAGGUUUUUGUCAAGUGUUUGAUACAAUUGUAUUUGUAUCAUCAUUUUGCUUCGUUGCGUUUGCUUAUGUUGUUAUAUUUGUUAUUGCUUCUUUAGGCCUUGAACUUUGCAUUCAAGGAUUACUUCAAGAGAUUGUUUAACUUCAAGAAGGAUCGCGAUGGUUACUGGAAAUGGUUUGCUGGCAACUUGGCAUCUGGUGGUGCUGCUGGUGCCUCUUCUCUGUUCUUUGUCUACUCCUUGGAUUAUGCGCGAACUCGCCUUGCUAAUGAUGCCAAGGCCGCAAAGCACGGAGGGGAGAGACAAUUCAAUGGCUUGAUUGAUGUCUACAGAAAGACUUUGAAAACAGAUGGUAUUGCGGGGCUUUACCGCGGAUUUAACAUCUCAUGCGUUGGCAUCAUUGUGUAUCGUGGUCUGUACUUUGGCAUGUAUGAUUCUUUGAAGCCUGUGAUCCUCACCGGAAAGUUACAGGUUAGUGUAAAAAUCAUUUAGUUACAUGGCACUUGGUGGACUAAUUGAACUGUCAAAUGUUUGACAUAAAUUUUGGAAAUGUGAUUGCAGGAUAGCUUCUUUGCUAGCUUUGCUCUUGGUUGGGUUAUCACCAAUGGUGCUGGCCUUGCCUCGUAUCCCAUUGACACCGUUCGCAGAAGAAUGAUGAUGACAUCUGGUGAAGCCGUGAAGUACAACAGCUCACUUGAUGCAUUCUCUCAGAUUCUCAAGAAUGAGGGAGCAAAAUCACUCUUCAAGGGUGCCGGUGCAAACAUUCUUCGAGCCAUUGCUGGUGCCGGUGUGCUUGCAGGCUAUGACAAGCUUCAGAUGAUUGUCUUGGGAAAGAAGUAUGGUUCCGGGGGAGCCUAAUUGGUAUGAUAAUGAUGUUGAUGAAAAUCUUGAGAUUCAUUCAUUUUGAGAAUUCUUCAUUCAAGGGAUUCAUUUUCCCAUACAUUGUUGCUUUUACUAAUGAUUUUUUUUCUCCUUUGCCAUAAUUGUGAUGGUUGAAACAGUUGUAAUCUCAAUUCAUCAAUUUUUCCAGGUUUUUAUUACAUGUUUAGAUCAAUUGAUCCUUCACUUACCCAUUUCUUUUUAUGCCCACAUAUUGGUAUAUGACGAUAAAUAAGGCUCUAAAUUUUUGUAAAACAUCCUCAAUUGCAUCAAUAAUUGAUAUAAUAUUUCCUUGUGAAUGACAAAAGAGGUAAAUAACUUUAAGUUAGACUUACAUUUUAGAUACGAAAGCACGAUGAGCUGAGAUGAAAAUACAAAUAAUUAAUUUAAUUUUUUAAUUUAAUCUAAAAAUAAAAAAGAUCAACAAAUGUCCAUAAUAAUAAUUGUUAUAAAUAAAUAUACAAAAUUUAUUUUAAUAAAUAAAUAAAAUGAAAUAAAAAUUUAAAAAAAGAGAGAAAAUCCAAAGCCAAGCAUUCAAAACAUAAAUAAUCAGCAAGUAACGCUCUUUCCCGCCAAACGACAUAAAAAACACGCACGAAACACAAAAAUCUGAUGAACAUUUUCAAUGCCAUCAAUCUCAAAUUGAUUAAAGGCCCUCUUUUAAACCCUCUUCGUUACUUGCUAUGCUUUCUUCACACUCGCUCUCUUUCUCCUCACAAAGAGGAACCUACAAAUUGGAACACGACCCACGUAUUUGUUCUUCAAAACCCAGUUCUAUUUUUACUAGAACAAUGCAAAUCUUUAUCCCAAUUGAAGCAAAUCCAAUCCCAAAUGACCAUCACUGGCUUGAUCUCACAUGGGUUUGCUCCAAGUCGCCUUAUUGCGUUUUGUGCAAUAUCUGAGUCAAAGAAUCUUGAUUAUUGUACAAAGAUUUUGUUUAAUGUACAAAACCCUAAUUCGUUUUCUUGGAAUGUAGCUAUUAGAGGGUUUUUAGAGACUGGAAAGAUGAGAGAAGCUGUUGAUUUGUAUAAGCAAAUGUUGAGAAAUGGUGGGACUAGGCCUGAUAAUUUUACUUACCCUUUGUUGUUCAAAGUUUGUGCUAGUUUGGGAUUGAGGUUUUUAGGUUAUGAGAUUUUCGGGCAUGUUUUGAAGCUGGGUUUUGAUGUGGAUAUGUAUGUGCAUAAUGCUGUGAUUCAUGUGUUUGUUUCGUGUGGAGAUUUGGGGUUGGCAUGCAAUGUGUUUGAUGAAAGUUGUGUGAGAAAUUUGGUUUCUUGGAAUUCUUUGAUUAACGGGUUUGUUAGGAGUGGGUUUCCAAGAGAAGCUAUUAGGCUCUUUCGAGAUAUGCAAUUGGAGAGAGUCGAACCGGAUGAGGUGACGAUGAUUGGGAUGGUUUCGGCAUGUGCUCAACUAGAGGAUUUGAAUCUUGGGAGAGAGAUUCAUUGGUAUAUUUCUGAAAGUGGGUUGACUUUGACUGUUCCACUCGCAAAUGCGCUCAUGGAUAUGUAUGUGAAGUGUGGGAAACUUGAGUCAGCCGAAGAAAUAUUUGAUAGCAUGGUGAACAAAACGGUUGUGUCAUGUACCACAAUGAUUGUGGGAUAUGCCAAAUUUGGGUUUUUGGAUAUAGCUAGGAAGAUUUUUGAUGACUUGCCAGAGAAGUAUGUUGUGCCAUGGAAUGCCAUAAUCGGAGGUUAUGUCCAAGCCAAGCGUAGCAAGGAGGCUUUGGCUUUGUUUCAUGAAAUGCAAGCUACUGGCAUAAAGCCAGAUGCAGUGACCACGGUUCAUUGCCUAUCUGCUUGCUCACAACUUGGAGCCCUCGAUGAUGGAAUAUGGAUUCACCGUUUUAUUGAAAAAGAAAAUUUUAAUUUGAAUGUUGUGUUAGGAACUGCAUUAGUUGACAUGUAUGCCAAGUGUGGGAACAUCGCAAAGGCCCUCCAGGUUUUUCAUGAGAUGCCUGAAAGAAAUUCUUUAACCUAUACUGCCAUUAUUGGGGGCUUAGCCCUUCACGGGAAAGCGCUUGAUGCCAUAUCUUACUUCUCUGAAAUGAUUGGUGUUGGGUUGAUGCCAGAUGAGAUCACUUUUCUUGGGAUUUUAUCAGCUUGUUGUCAUGGAGGGUUGGUAGAUGAGGGUCGUAAGUAUUUUGCCCAAAUGAGCUCCAUAUUCAGAUUGUCCCCUAAGCUUAAACACUACUCAUGCAUGGUGGAUCUUCUAGGUAGGUCUGGUCUAUUGGAAGAGGCUGAACAGCUUAUCAGAAGCAUGCCAAUGGCAGCAGAUGUUGUGGUGUGGGGUGCAUUGUUUUUUGCAUGUCGCCUGCAUGGAAAUGUUUCAAUUGGAGAAAGAGCUGCUAUGAAGCUUCUUGAGUUAGAUCCUCAAGAUAGUGGAAUUUAUGUAUUGCUUGCUAAUAUGUAUAGGGAUUCAAAUAUGUGGGAGGAGGCUGGGAAGGUAAGAAAAAUGAUGGAGGAGAGAGGUGUGGAGAAGACUCCCGGUUGUAGCUCGAUUGAGGUUAACGGCCUUUUGUAUGAAUUUAUUGUUAGAGACAAAUCCCACCCUGAAUUGGAACAGAUUUAUGACUGUUUAGUUCAGUUAACAAGACACUUUUGAGUUUUCUGAAUAUAUCUCUGAUGUUCCUCCCUAUGGAGAUGAGUUUCUCUCAAGCUUAGAGCUUGAAAACCAAUUGUCUGCCUUACAUUGCCUGUGAAAGCUGUAAUUGCUCAGCAUGAUUUACAGUGGAAACUGCCUCUCUCGUAUGGGAAAAUGGUUAGUGCCGAUAACGAGGCAGCUUUCAUCAAAAUCAGGAAAGACCAAGCAAAGCGAGAGAAGAAAGAGGACUAUUUAUCCUGGUGGGAUCCAUACUCUUUGGGAGUUCUGUGUUCAUCAAUUUUUAUUAGCUGGUGCAAGUUGCCUAGGUUUUCUAGUUGUCAACCACAAAACUUUAAAAGGCCUUGCAAUGGUAAUAAUCAAGAUGGUUCACAUAUGAAGCUGCUUUAGUAACAAAGAGCUUGUAGAUGUCACUCAUGGAUUCUAGGAAGAACUAAGAAGGGGCGCCUUUGGCACUGUUUACAAAAUGUUCUUGGAAAUGGGGUAUCAUAAUCUUGUUCCAGUAAAGAGGUUAUAGUGUAUUUCAAGAUAAUGAGAAGGAAUGCAAGUUUAAGUGAACAUAACUAGCCAAACACAUCACAAGAAUGUGGUUCAAGUUCUGGUAGUGUAUUUACCCUGCAGACUCGCAACCGAAUUGAAUUUGAGGAUUGAAAUUGAGAUGCGAAUUGCCAGACGUCUUUUGUGCAGAGUGCAGCACCCAAAUCAUCCAUUGUGAUACAAAGCUUCAAAACAUACUUCUUAAUAAUCAUUACACUGCCUGUAUAUCUGACUAUGGUUUCGCAAAACUUCUGAUGAUGGAUCAGAACCAUACUAUUACUGCCAUCUGAGAAACAAAAGGAUACGUUGCGCCCGAAUGGUUCAGGAAAAUGCCAUUCACAUUGAAGGUCGACGUAUACGGUCUUGGUGUUUUGCUUAUAGAGAUCAUUUUACUCCAGAGAAGUGCAGAUAAUCAAAUCAGCACAGUGGAUAAAGCAAUUCUUACUGAUUAGGCUUGUGACUGCCAUCAGGAAAACACUGUAGGUGCUCCGGAUGAAAAUGACUCGGAGGCCAAAAUUGACAUGAAUAUGCUGCAAGGGUUUGUAAUGAUUGCCUUAUGGUGCAUUCAAGAAAGGUUAUACAGAUGCUCGAGGAAGUUGUUGGGGUACUCAUUCCCCCAUGCCCGUGGCUAUUUAACUUCACAGCCACUCUAAUGUAGUGUCUCCUAUGAACUAGAUCUUCCUGUUAAAACUAUUGGGUUUGUUUUUUUGAAUACUGAUUACACAUCAGAUUACUGCAUUACACAGAUAUUUACAACAACUGCUAUUAUAGCAGAUAUAUUACACUGAUAUUUACAAUCAGAUAUACAUGAUUGGGACUUACAUUAUUACAUUGAAUUAUACAUGAUUGGGAUUACACAGAUAUUUACAACAACUGCUAUUAUAGCAGAUAUAUUACACUGAUAUUUACAAUCAGAUAUACAUGAUUGGGACUUACAUUAUUACAUUGAAUUUUGUGAAGUACAUGCCCAGACAAAUAACUCCUCACAAAGGAGGGAUGUCCAUACUCCACUCGCAUUUCGCAAGAGAUAAUGAUUUAUAAAUAUUAAGAACAUUUAACCCCCACAAAAGCGGCUUGAACCGCUGCCCCCACAAUGCUUGUGAGGGCAGCAGCCCACCACUUCGAAUUAUAUGCCUGUGUGUUGACAGCCCCCCACAAUGCUUGUUGUUACUGCUAUGUUGCUACUAAAAGACCUCAACAAAUAAAUGUAGCGUGCCUAGUUGAUCAAAUUAUAUGCCUCAUAGUAUGUUGAUAAGUCCAAUUCCCAGACGGUCUAUGGAUCCAAAUAUAUUAGGGGCAGCCCCAGUCCCAUAACUUCUUCAAGGGACGGUAAGGUUGCAGUCUUUGGAUUCAGUUCACAUUUCCCAACCACUAAAGCUUAGCAACUGUUGUUGUCCGGAUUUGGAAUCUCAUUGAGUUUUCAUGUGUCUUGAGUAUAUUUAACUUAAUGGUAUUACAAUUUCUUCUUCACCUAUGUAAGCAGAGUUUAAACUCCAAACUUCUUAUUUUCAAUACGAGAUUUUAUCACACGAAAUACCAUUAUGUAUAAAUUUAAAUAGAAAUGGUCUUUUACUAACUUAGAAUUAAAAAAAAAAAAAAAUGAUGUAUUAGUAGCUUUUUCUAUUCACACGAAAAAGAAAAUCAAAGUGUGUAUUCAAAAAAUAAACUUGAAAAAUGAUUUCAAGACCUCAUAAUUUUAGAAGCCUCUGAGUAGCACGCGGGUCUCGACUCUUGAGCUUAUGAUGACAGCCAGACACGUAAUGUCGCUCUGGUCUUUUAGUUGAUGUCAAGCAAUCGAACAAUAGCGAGAGCCCAAAAGUGGCUCCAAAAUUUACUGAGUCGAUGUCAAGUGAUCAAACUGUGACUAUUAAUUAGUCCACAGCAGUCAGCAGGUAAGAUUCUCUCGUUGUUCCAGAAUUCCUGGAUCCGAUGAUCAAAUGGGUGAGACUAUCGCACAUUCGCCGGUUAAUAACAUUUUUGUUAUUGAUGACAAUGUUUUCAUUCUAUAUAUGAUAAAAGAAACUAAUGAUCCGUAGCAAGAUCGAUGGUGGGUGGUUUUGUGUCAUUGUGCACCCAACAAUAGAUGAUCCAUGGUGGAUGAUGAUGAUGAUGAUGAGAGUCCUAGUAAUGGAACUUAGCCGCAAAAACUAUAAGUUUAUAACUUUUAAAAGGAGUAAAGACAAGGAGGAAGGAAUACGAGGGAGGGGUCAUGAUAGGUGCUUGCUUGCACGCCAGGUUUUUAGUUUGAAUUGAUUCUCAUGAAUAAUGAUCAAUUUUAAUUAUCCAUGUUCAUUCAUGCUUUGCUUUGCUGGUUGCUUGCUUGCUUGCUUGUCAUUUCAUUCUCCUUCUCACAUGGCUGACAGCCUUUUGCCCUUUAUAGCCCCCAGAAAGCACACUGAUUGCAUCAGCUAUGGCAUACACAUAGGCUUAGCUUAAAAUCAUUGGACCAAACAAAAUUAUGGGGAUGUCCAAAACCACUUUUUGGCUAUGUCGGGUCUUGUAGGUCUGCUUUUUUUGUUUCUCAAUAUUUUUUUUUUCAAUAAAAUACUCCACUUUUUUAAUGGGUUAUUUUUGUUCGGCUGUUCUGGAAAAUUUUGUCUCUGAAACUAUUUUAGGUCGGAAUAAUAGUUGUUCUAAAUCUUUAAAAGCAUGAAAAAUUCAUCCCUUACUUCUACUUACACAUGAAAUGAAUUGAAUUGAAGUUCUUUUCAUAUGUCUUGAAAGAGAAAAUGGGUUGUCACUCCCUCGUAUAGAAGAUUCUAAAUAAAAAAUUUAAUGUUCUUAGUUUCUAAAACAAAAACAAAAAUAACUAUCAUCACAUGUGAAAUGAUUAUGUCACACACUAAUUAAUAGCCCACGUUUGUACAUUGUAAUAAUUUUCUACUAAAUUAUAGCCCACGAGAAUUGAUUUUAUUUAACCACUGUUUAAUUAACAUGAUUAAAAACUCUUCAUCUUAUCCUUAAGAUGAAGAAUUCGAGUCUUCCUAAUGCUUCAUAUCCCAACAAAACAAAAUAGAUUGUAUUUGAUCAUUGUUGUUAUGUAUUAUAGAUAAUAUCAAAACCCAUCUAAGCCAAUUUUUCCCUUUUAAUAAAUGUGUUAUUGUAGAUUGAUUCUAAUCCAAACCAAUCUCAACUGACACCAACUUCUUUUUGAUGGGUUCAGGUGGGUUUGGUGAUCUUUUUGCCAAUAUCACAUGCUUCAUUUUCCCAUCACAACUCAACCACUAACUCUAACCCUAACCACAAUUUCUAGUAUUUGGUUCUAAAUUUAUAUGGCCAUGGCUUAAAUAUUUAUUAGCCUAUAUUUCUAAAUCUUGUAUUUUUUUUUCCAGUUUGUUUAAUGAUUGAAUGGUUAGAUUUUGAUUCUAUUAUGACUGAGUAAUUAUAUAUCCAACCCUACGUAUUGAUUCAAAUAGUAGAGAUACAUUCUCUUUUGGUAAUGAUAUGUUUGAAUGUUGAGAUAAAUUGGGGUCAAAUUGAAAUCAAACAUUAUAACAUAAUUAAAAAGAAAAAGUAUCAAUUCCAUUGUUUAGUUGAAAAACUAAGACUUCCUAAUUUUUAAUUGUAAAUAUUUCAAGGAGUGAUGUAAUAAAAAUUAACCCUAAUCAUCUACCAAAAAAAAUCUUAAAAAGAAGUUAUAUUUCGAGUAGUAUGAUUCUUUUAUCAUGAUAUUUAAAUUGAAGUUUCCUUAUUUUUUUCUUGAUUUAAAGUCAAAAUGUAAAUUAAUAAGAGUUUGGGAAAUUGAAAAUGCAAAAAUAAUAGGCCUCACAGAAGAAUUUUGUAUUUAAGAUAGUCCUAAAUGUGCAAAGUCAACAUAAAUAAACUAUAAAAAAUUAACUUUAAUCCAAUAAAUUACAGUAUUAAUUAAUUAGGUCAAGACUCAAGGGCUUGACUGAAAUUUUUGGCAAAAAUUAAAUGAAGAAUGAAUUGUUUCAGUUAAUGAUAUUUAUUAUUAUACAUAAAUACAAAAGGUUCCAUACAUGUGACCAAUUAUACAAUUUACAGCUACUGGUAUUGGUUUGGUCACCUAUAAUAUACACUCAAGCAGCUCACCUGCAGUACACAUGUUAACACGCGGUUGGGUUAGGUGAAUAUUCAUAUAAAAUAGUUUUCCUUUAUUAAAUUAUAGUCAUUUUCCUUGUCCAAUUUGGUUUCCAAUUCGUUUUCUUUUUAAAUGAUAGAACUAUUUUGAUUAAAGGAGGCAAAUUAAUCCCUUUUUUCACAUAAAAUAGUCUUAAUUUUUUUUUUAAAUCAAAGGUAGAGAAUAGACAAUACUCCAAUAAAUUAUUUAACCAACACUUAUACAGAGUUCGAACAUGAUUGAACAAUAAAAAAACUACUUGUUCAUGUCCCUUGCGACAUAAUAUUUUUUUAAAAAUAAGUUUCUCAUGAAACUAAUUCGUAGCAUUUUUAAUUCAAAAAAGCUUUUGAAGGCGAAUAUUUUAUGAAAAAUGAAAUAUUUUUACAGUUUUAAUUUUUUUUAAAAAAGAAUACAAUAAGAUAGAUAAUAAACAAUAGAGAUCCGGACUUAAUUGAGUGGAUUUCAAUUUCAUAUAAAUUUCUUUACCAAGCUACCUAAGUUCAAAUCCAUUAAUCUAUAUAUAUAUAUAUAUAUAUAUAUAUUAANNNNNNNNNNNNNNNNNNNNNNNNNNNNNNNNNNNNNNNNNNNNNNNNNNNNNNNNNNNNNNNNNNNNNNNNNNNNNNNNNNNNNNNNNNNNNNNNNNNNNNNNNNNNNNNNNNNNNNNNNNNNNNNNNNNNNNNNNNNNNNNNNNNNNNNNNNNNNNNNNNNNNNNNNNNNNNNNNNNNNNNNNNNNNNNNNNNNNNNNNNNNNNNNNNNNNNNNNNNNNNNNNNNNNNNNNNNNNNNNNNNNNNNNNNNNNNNNNNNNNNNNNNNNNNNNNNNNNNNNNNNNNNNNNNNNNNNNNNNNNNNNNNNNNNNNNNNNNNNNNNNNNNNNNNNNNNNNNNNNNNNNNNNNNNNNNNNNNNNUUAUCUUAAAAAAAAAAAAAAAAGUAGAAACAACAGAAUAAACUAUAAAGGUACCUACCUAUCCAACUUUUAAAACCGGUGGGCUAAAGCGUAUUUUCCUGCAAAAUAUAGGGACAAAAUAGAUAUUAUGCCACACUGAUUUAUAUUAUCCUAUAGCGCGAGACACGCAAUCAUUUCUCAUCCAACGGGGUUCGCGUGUCCUUUAGGCCACUGCACAAAGCGCCACACUUAAUAAAAUUACGAAAAGAAAAAAGAAAAUUUUAAAAAAAUAAAAAAAUAACAAAAGCUGAGAAGCAGCAGCCAUUCGCUUCUAAAGCCAUCAGUGAGCUCUUCAGAAGUUAACCAGUGUCGGUUCUUUCUCUUUAUUUUCCAAAGAAUCUCUCUUUAUUUUAAUUUCUUUUCAUUUUUUUAAUGAGUUUUUUAAGAUAUUUUACCAAAUAUAUCAACUAGGCCCCUAACCUGAAUGGCUAAAUUACUUUUUUAAUAUCGUAUUUUAACUGUAUAAAUGUAAACUGUAUCGUGUUCUGUUGGCUCUGACCCAAAAACUUAACUACUUAAGACUCAAUGACUCAUUUAUGCUCUGUACUAAGUUUGUUAUUGUGCCCCAUUUUUUAAAUUGUCAAAUUCAUUUGAAUUUUUUAUUUAUUGAAAUUACUGUUAUAUCCCUCAAUUUCAUGACUCCAAAUAACUGACACAUUUAUUUGUUUGAUUCAUGCUACCUUGUGUAGUGUCUACCGUCUAAACUCUAAAAUACGAGCUUGAUUAUUGUUUUAACACUUACUUUUUAGUCAUUUCUAUAUCGGUUUUUUGGACCUAUUUGAUAAAAAUGAAAAUAUUAUUCCUUAUAUGCGAAAUGGAAAAACUGUAGGGACUCAUUAUAUUUCUUCAUUAAUUAAUUGUUUAUAUAUAUUGACUGUGUUCCAUUUAUCGCCCUCUUGAUCCAUUGGUCCAUUGUUUUAUCUCUCUCUCUCUCCCUCUCUCCUUUACAUUUUCCCGAGAAAAUUUCUCACUCACCGAAAGCGAAAUUUUCUCGGCGUGGAUUUUGUUUCAUUUGACUCUUAUAACUUCUGGAGUUCCGAAUUUGUGCAAAUGAGGUACUUGAACUGUUCAUUUUCUGUUUGGCUUUGAGAAAAAAAAUUGAGAUAAUGAGAUCUCUUUCAUUUCAGAUGCUAAGAUAAGAGCAAAAACUCACAUUAAGUAAACCUAAAUUGUGUUUGUUUUGAACUUCUCUUGUUUCUUUUACUUUCCUUGCAUUUUCUCGGCUACCAAACUUAAGAUUAGUUUUCUGUUAUGGAUUCUAAAAGUGAAAAAAAAAGUCAGCUUAAUUAGUCAAAAUUUUAAUUUUUUUUAACUUCUUUAAUUUAUUUUCUUUCAUUUUCUCGAGAACCAAACAGGAUAAGUCUUUUGAUGAUCAUUAUGUGCUAAAUUGCUGAGAUUUGUUAAAUCAAUGUCUUAAGCAAUGCAAGAUGGAUAAACUUCUGUGAUUUUGUAAUGCUGUAGUGUUGAAGUUUAGUCGUAUAAUAAGCUUCUGGAAUUUACAUUAAUUUUUUUUUUUGGACAUUUCUUUUGCAGGUCGGAAACUAAUUGAAAAACAAUUGAUUGAUGUCCGAAUUCGUGUUUUGAGCAAAUCUCAACUAUUAAAUCUGUGAAAGAUCAGGUUUUUACAUUCAAUAUUCUGUUUAUUUUUUCACCUUUAGUGUAAUUGUGUUAUUUUUGUAACUGUUAAUUUGAUGCUUCCUGCAGUUGGUGGUUUAGAAAUGAGUUGGAAUCCGCAUAUUGAGGUUCAUUACUAUAACACCAGCUAUCCUUACAACAGUGCUGGAAGCUUUAUGGAAUAUUUUGAAGGUCUUACAUAUGAACAUGUUAAUUUCAUUUUUGAUGGUGCUUCGCAUGUUCAGGUACCAUUUUUAUGAUGAUCACUGAUUUUUAUUUUUGUAAACAUGGUCGGAAUGAUUAAUGAUACUGUUUCAUUUGCUUUGAAAAGUAACUAGAUCCAACUUUUGUAAAUUUGUGCUGUUAGUUGAUAAGGGUUGUUACGUUUUCUUAAUGUAGAUGUGUAAGAAAGCACCGCUUAUUUGAAUGAAUGGUUUGGACUAUUUGUAUUGUUACAAUAUUAAAAAUUUAAAAUUGUGUUAGUUGAAAAGGUGUUUUUCUUGUCUUGUGCAGGAGAGUGUUUACCCCUCGACACAUACGAGUUUUUACAAGUUCGGAUUAUCUGAUUACGGAAGUAAUUCAUAUUAUGACUAUGGUCAUCCUUAUGAGGUCAAUUAUCAUGAGCCACGGAAUGAUGAAUACAGAAGGCCGUCAGAGAACACUUCUAGAUCAAACAAUGAGCAGACUGCAGCUGUAAAUGCAGUACCGGAAAGAAAUAUGAAUACUACCACACGUGAGAGCCCCAUAGAAUGUAAGUUGUGAGGUUCAUUCUGGUGUGAAGUUUCAGAUAGGAUAAUCUGUUUUCUCCUAUAGUCCAUGGGGCCUGUUAAUUGUAGAAGAUUUUUCUUUUUGAAUGACUAUGUUCAGGCGUUCAUACCAAUUAAUUGUAUAUAUUAAAAGCGAGAAGAUAUUAACUGAGUGUAUAAAAUCACUGCAUGAGGUAGUUCUCUCCAAAAUAGUAGUAUGCUGUCCCGAUAUUUAACAAAUGAUUUGUGUGUGUAAAGAAUUAAACCCCAAGAUUGGGGUCCAGUCAUGAGUCACAAUGACACAACCCAUGAAGGACUUCUAUACAACUGACCCCGAGAGAACAGAAGAAAAUGUAACCUUAAGACCUUGACCAAGGACUUAGUAGGCUUUGCUAAGGGAGAAAUCCUCAAAGAAUGUCUAUUGCUCACUAAAUCAUACUUAAUGCUGGUAUAGCUUUUUAGUGAGAUUGAUCACUUUUAAAACCUUUGAACUAUUAUUGCAUUUUUUAUUUUUCUAGAUCAUCAUGUUUUUCUUUCGUGCUUUUUCUACACUUCAAAUGGAGUUCUUGAAAGUGCAACUUUGAAAAACAUCAAAUUUUAAGCUUUCAUGCAUUUACUUUUUAUGCAUUUAAGAAUCAAUCUUUGUGCUGCUGAUCUUUUGCUGAAACAUUCUAGUUUAAUUGGAACUAGAAAGAAAUAGCAGCAGCUUUAAAGUUGUUUUGCCAUUUCUUUUAUCAACAAUCUUAAUUGCUUUCCGCUACUGAGAAGGAAGCUGGCAGAAAGUAAUUUGUUUAGCCAAUUUCUUUUGUUCAGGGAUAAAGGAUUUGUUGAGUUUGUUUUAACUUAAGUUGUUUUUGCCCACUUGUUUGGUGGUAUUUUUUGUAUUUUAAAAUUACUUAUCUCCUAUGUGGAUGACUUUUUCCCUCAGCACUUACUUUCUCUUUUCAGGUCCACGGAGACAUCAAAAUACUCAUGAACAUCAGGUAUGUAGCAUGUUAAUGGUCUCAGUUGAAUACAAGCUGUUGAUGCAUGAUCUGAAUUUACAAAUUUCCUCGAAUUUCUAGCUUGAAGAGUCAUUUUCCUUCUUUUACCCCCUCCCUCGGCAGACCUUCAUGUUGAUAUCAAAAUGGUUGUUCAAUGUCCACGUAGGUGCUUCUCUAAUUAGAAGGAGAGGUUAGGAAUUAUAAGGCGAGCACUUUCCAAGAAGCCUCUUGUUUCUUUCCAGUCCACUUAGUAGAGUAGGCUGUACUUAUUCUGAUAUAACAUAAUAAUCCAUUCUUUUUGAUUGUUGAUUUUGCGUGGCCGUAUAAUAAAACAAAAAUUCGACUAAAAUCUAGCAUAUCUUAUCAGAUGACCUUUUGGUUGCUAAUGUGUAAAAUUAAUACCUCUUUAAGAAUUUAGUGUGCAAGUAGGAAUAGGGUUGUUCGAGUUGGUUGAUUGGAUUGUGAAAUAACUUCUAGUUGGUUGAUUGGAUUGUGAAAUAACUUUUGUUUAAUACUGUUUUUGGAAACCCUUGCAAUGAUUAAUAAAUAACCAUGCAUGGAAUCUGUUAAUGAGCCUUUAAUUUUUCCACUAAUUGCAAAUAUGCUUUGUUUCCCUAUCUAAGUGAAAUUUUAAGUCAUAAUAACAUAAACCUGCAUAGAUGCAUGUUUGUGUGCCUAUAUAUGCAUGUAUCUAUGAUUUGAUUAUAUUAAAAUAAUGAAUAUGUUUUAUAUACAUUUCUAGCAAGUGUGCACCUUAUCUUGCUCUAGCAAGUGUGCACCUUAUCUUGCAUAGGCAUACAUCUUUGCAUUACACCUAGGCUUGAGGAGAGUUUUGCGUCAUAACAUGUUUCUUGACAUUGAUUGCAAUUGACAUGGAUAGCAAAAUUAAUCAAUAUGCCUUGAAUCCUUGGUUUUCUAUUGCUUGUAGCAUACAUUUUUGGAGAUAUUAUAUGUUGAGUCUUUUUAUUUUAGAUUAGAAAGACUGAAUGAUACUUGGAAAUAGAUUCUGGAGGUUAGUUAAAUCCCUUUUACUCUAUCUGAACCAUGCAGGUGGUUUGGCAAGACAAUAUUGAUCCUGACCAGAUGACUUAUGAGGUAAGUGGUUUCUAUAAUUUUUCCUUGUUUACAGGUGGCUGUCCUUAUAGAUGUUGCACCCAGAACUUUCAUGAUUUUUCAACCAUUUUUGGUUUUCCUGUCAUUCUACAGUUAAUUUAUCUGCCUUGGGCAGAGCAUCUUGUUAUUAUUAGAAUUAGAAAUUUGCUGUAAGCAUCCCAAUUGCACUAUAGCUGAUUUAUUUUAUCAUUUUGCUUAGUGCCACGUAUUUCUUUCUUGAAGCACUUUUGAUCAUGCUGACCAGAUUGUUUUAUGCCCUGGAUUGUUGGCUGAAAUAGUUCCCUAACUCGUUGCAUCCUGAAUAGAAUUAGCUAGAUCCGUAGCUUGCACCAAUUUAUAUGCCAACCAGCAAAAGUGCUUAGGAGGACAUCAGUACUUGUCUGCAAUUAACAUGAUCAGCCAUAUUGUAUUUUGUUUUUUGAUUUACUUGUGCUCCCAUAUUUCCUAUUUAUGGAAGGCUGUAGUUCUCCUGGAGAUAAUUAUAUGUGUUAAUUAUAUAAUAUAUACAGUUUUCUUUUAUAAAAUAAAUUCUCCAUGUUGACUGAUUCUUCAAGUUUUAAAGUUUUGGUUUCUGAACUGCAAUCAGUGGUCUCUAGUUAAACCAAUUUUAAUUGUCUCUGAUGUGAGGCAUUGGUCCCUCUGAAGUUGAUCAUUGUGCACAUUUGUCCAUGAAAAUUUAGCUUAUUACUUUAUUUAUGUUACACCUAGUAAUUUUGUUCUGGAUAGUUGCUCAUGACUAGGUUUAUCCUGUGCAGGAAUUACUUGAGUUAGGUGAGACAGUUGGGACUCAAAGUCGUGGUCUUUCCCAAGAACUUAUAAGUCUGCUUCCCAUCUCGAAAUACAAGUGCGGCUUCUUUACAAGAAAAAGAUCAAGAAAUGAGAGGUAUUAUUUGGCUUUCUUCUUUACAGGUAUCUUGUAAUUUGUGUUGCUCUUGUUUUAAAAUGUGCUAUCCUUUCUAUUUAAUGGCCUUAAUUGAUCUCCUUUUUCUUCCCUGCAUGAUGUAAUAUAUCACUCUUUUGUUUGCAUUUGUUGUAUUUUUACCUGAAUCUUAAACAUUAAAUCAUGCUUUUCUUUAUCCCUCAGUUUGGAGUCACAGGACUUGUUUGGUUCUUUUACAUAAUUAAAUAGAAAACAUGCUUCAAAAUUAAUCUAUUUUCAUUAGCAUCCUAAGAAGGGUGUUGUAUGGAACAUUGAGGGAAGCUUGGACAUGGUACAUGCUAUUCUGGAUAAACAUGUGGAAGGUUAAUUAAGUUUUUGUGAGGUUGCAGAAAUCCUUUAUUCUUAUUAAAUAAUUGGAAUGAAUCUGAAAUCCAUUGGACACCAUACGUGGGCAGAUAAUAGAUGCUAAUGAAGGACAUUUCUACUGAGUUGCCGUGAAAAUUCUUUAAGAAAUUGAUGAUGGGUUUCAAUAUUUUGCAAAAGCUAAUAAUAAAUUGACUUUGGAAUAACUACUGCACUUGUCUCUAUUAUUAUUUUCUUUAGUCAAUUAUUGACUGCAUUCUCAUUUUUCCUUUGUGCGUGUGUAAACCCCCCUCUCUUUCCCUUUCUGUUAUCACGAACCCCAGCCAAAACUAAACUUAUCCCCUUGGAAUUGAACCCUUGACUUCUUGCUUUCAUGCAAGAGGCCAAACCAAUUAUUCUUUGGGCAUUUAUUAUUAUUACAUGCUUUGCUAUUGCUUGUCAAAGUAUCUAACUAUGCGGUGGAUUUUUGGUGCUGACAAAGUCGUUAGUGCAUCAUUGUAACCUUUUUCUUUUUUUUUUUGACCAAGUUUGCAUAUUUCAAUUUCUUAUCUUUGAGUCUAACUUGCCACUUUGAGCUGGAAAUAGAUGUGUGAUCUGCCAAAUGGAAUACAAACGAGGUGACAGGCGCAUGACGCUACCUUGCAAACAUGUCUACCAUGCUGGCUGUGGGACUAGAUGGCUUAGCAUCAACAAGGUAAGCAACUUGACAGUUUCAACUUUCAACCCAAACUCAAAUAUUUGUUUAUCUUUGAUUUCUUACUUGUCCGUAAGGUCACUGAACCGCGUUUUUUAUUUUCUCAGGCUUGCCCAAUUUGUUACACCGAGGUGUUUGGUGAUUCAUCAAAGCACUCAGAAAAUAAUCACCAGAGAACAUAAAGAAGAUGACCCAGAUAACCCUCACUUUUUCUUUUCUUUGUUUCUCAAGUCUGCAUCGUAUAGAGAUGUUUGUUUUUCUUUUCUUUUUUCCUUCUCUCUUUUCACGUAGCAAAAUUGCAUUAGUUUUUGUAAUAAAUGAAGAGUAUGUGCUUCAUCUACGCAAAAUGGAUUUGUAAGUGAGGCCAGAGAUUGUAUAGGGGUUUUUCGCUCUUCCACAUUUUACCGGUACCAUAUGAUUGACUUUUGGUGGUGUUAUUUGUUUUGGUUAUAGAAUUGAGAUUUCGUAUAGAACUUAGGAUUGACCGUGUAUUAAAAAUGACCAAACAGUGAAUUAGGUCUGAUGAUUUGAUAGAUUGGUGUAGAUUUGCUUAUUAAAUUGUUUGAUCAAACCGGUUUUGGUUGACAAAUUGAGUUUAAUGAGAUCGGAUUGUAAUCACGAUAAUUUAUUUUCUUUGUCAAUAAGCGGAAAAAAAAAAGUAGAGAAGUUUUCUUUUGCAGUAGUUGAAAUUUUUCUUAGGCAUUAUGUUUGAUGGUAUUUUUAGACUUUUAUUCACAACAUAGGCGACUUGGUAAGUUUAAAUAGUCAGAUGUGUUUUAAUACUCCUUUAAUAAUAAGAUUAACAGAGUAGACAAAUUUUUUUGUUUUAAUGUGACGUAUUAAUAUAAUGGUAUCCUCAUGUUGUUUUUAUUCUUUUUACAUUUUUAAUCAAUUAAUAAUAUCUUAUCACAUGAGUUUGUAUAAGCAAUUGUGAUUUUAUAACUAUUCUUGAAAUAAUUUUAAUAAUUAUGUCUUAUUUGAAUUUUUACUGUGUAAUAGUAAAAAAAGCUUAGUAAUAAUCUUCAAUUUCACUUUUAAAAUUCUACUUAUCAUCAAUUUGUGAAAAGAGCAAUUGCUGCUAAGUUUUAUUAAACUAAUAAGACCAUUCUUUAUCUUUAAAAUCUAAAAAAUAACAAUAUUGCAAAAUAACAAUGCAAAAGUUUUAACUUCAUACACAUCAAUUUUAAAUGCGUAUAUGAAGGGCGCAACCGCGCAAGUGAAAUGUCAUAGUAGUAGGGACAAAAAAAAAUUUGUUAUCAUUAAGUAGUUACUCACUUUUACGUAGAUUUCUAAGUUAUGCUUAAAAAUUAUGUGAUAAUUAUAGAGAUUCCUUAAGAAGGUUAUAUUCGAUACUCUCCAGUUAUGAUAUAAUUGUAUGGAUUUAAACUUCCUGUACAUUCUAUCAUUAAAUUCAGAAAAUAUAUUCCAAUUUCAAUUGAAGCAUAUGCUAUGUAAGCAGAAAAAAAGAUUCAAUAGGCUCCAAAUUUGCGAUAUAAUUUGUAUGGAUUUAAACUUCUAGUGUACUCUUUUAUCAUUAAAUUAAGAAAACACAGUUUCAACCGAAGCAUGCUCCACGAAGCACGAAUAAGCUUUUGUCAAAACCCAAAUCAACAAGAUUGCUCGCAAAAACACUUUAAAAAAUUUGGGCUACUUGUAUAAUGCAGCGACACCCUAACAACCAUUUUCUGAAACUUUCAAGUUCCAGCUUAGCAAAAGAAAAUGACAAUCAAUACCUUAAGCAUUAUAAAUAAAAAUAAAUUACUCCCAUUAGUUGGAAAAUCUUAGUCUGCGUAGAACUCAACGGAUGAACAAAUUCCAAAAUUUGUCUUUUCAUAGUCUUAUAUAGCUAUCACUGGCCUUAAAUUUACAGCCAAUUUACUUGUAUCACCGACACAGUUGACUAGUCUUUAAAAACACUUAGUUGUAUAAUUUUAAUGCAAAGUUGCUGCCUAACACAAUAUAAUGAUAUAGGAUAUUACCGAUUUGCAAAAAUGGACAUAAUCUUUGUAUACAUUUUCAUACACGUUUAGCAUCCUGAGAAGCUUCAAAGUUUGACAUUCGAGACCUAUUCGUUUGGAAAGCGCUUUCAUGAUAAUAAAAAAAUUGCUGCUGGAUAAGCAAUUUUAACAACUCCUUUAGACUUGUUCAUGUGUUUAUGCGAACAAAUUUGUGAGGAACUUGGUGGGGGAACCAUCUUGCAAAUGGUUGAACAAAAAUGAAAAAAAAAAUAAAGCGUGAGAUUUGGAGACUAUUAUUAUAUCUAUAAUCCAGGCUGUUUUCUUCAUUAAAGAAAUAUUUCAAAGUCACCAAUGAUUAGGAGGAUUAGUAUAUAAAGGGGAUGCAAGUAUGUUUCAUAAACAAGUCACAAAGCACAAUUGCAAGAAAUGGGAGCCUCGGAACAGCCGAGGCAAUGGCCUCUAUUGAUUUCUUCCUUGGCAUUUUUGCUCAUAGCCACUACUGCCACGGCUGCUUAUGAGCCUUACAUUUAUGCCUCACCACCUCCACCGCCUUACUAUUACAAGUCACCACCACCACCAGAAUAUUCUCCACCACCACCUUACUACUACAAAUCUCCACCACCACCUGAGAAGUCUCCCCCGCCACCUUACUACUAUCACUCACCACCUCCUCCUAAGAAGUCACCCCCACCACCUUACUACUAUAAGUCUCCGCCUCCGCCGAAGGAAUAUCCCCCACCACCUUACUACUACAAGUCUCCGCCACCACCGGAGAAGUAUACCCCGCCACCUUACUACUACAAGUCUCCGCCCCCACCCGAGAAGUAUACCCCGCCACCUUACUACUACAAGUCACCGCCCCCUCCGCCACCUUACUACUACAAGUCUCCGCCACCACCGGAGAAGUAUACCCCGCCACCUUACUACUACAAGUCACCGCCCCCACCCGAGAAGUAUACCCCGCCACCUUACUACUACAAGUCACCGCCCCCACCGGAGAAGUAUCCCCCUCCACCUUACUACUACAAGUCACCGCCCCCACCGGAGAAGUAUCCCCCUCCACCUUACUACUACAAGUCACCGCCCCCACCAGAGAAGUAUCCCCCUCCACCUUACUACUACAAGUCACCGCCCCCACCAGAGAAGUAUCCCCCUCCACCUUACUACUACAAGUCACCGCCCCCACCAGAGAAGUAUCCCCCUCCACCUUACUACUACAAGUCACCACCGCCACCAGAGAAGUAUCCCCCUCCACCUUACUACUACAAGUCACCACCGCCACCACCUUAUUAUUAGAAGUCUCCUCCACCUCCCUCUCCAUCUCCACCCCCUCCAUACUACUAUAAGUCGCCACCUCCUCCUUCUCCAUCUCCACCCCCACCGUACUAAUAUUUGUCUCCUCCACCUCCUAAAGGCUACUAAAUAUACAAUGUGUUGUUGAAACAUGUGUGAUCUUAGUUAUGUAAGAAUAAGUGUAAGUUUGUAAGCUUGUUCUAUUUCUGAUUUUUUCUUCAUCAAUGUUUUUGUGAAUAAAAGGAUUUGAGAUGGUAAAUCCAUUUGUAAGAAGUGCUGCUCAUUUUCGUUGUAAAAGUUAUUGUAAGCAAUAAGAUCUCGUAAUUUAAGGUUUCAUAAAAGUUAUAUGUGCAACUACUUUCAAUUUCCAUUGUCAUCUUUUUCACAACCACCAAGCGUAUUACUUCUUUAUAGAUGGAAAAUGCAGAGGCAAGCUUAUUAUUCUUUAAUAUUACCAUUCUUGAUGUGUUUGUUUAUUUAGUUGAAACGGUAAAUAAAAUGUACAUGAAGUACCGCACUGCAUCCAAAUUAAAUUUAGGAUAUAGACUAAGUUCAUGUAAUCUCAAUUUUGUCACAUUAUUAUUGGAUUUUAUAUAAAUAGCUAAUUUCUUUUCCUUCCGAAUUUCGACGGGAAGGAGAAUUUAUUAAGUAAUACAGAGAAGUGCACCUAGUAAUAUUUAAAGAGGAUAUAAUGAGCACUACCUUUCAUGAUGAUAAUGCCCAUGAACAAGUAAGAGAAGCUUAGAGUUUUAUUCCUACUCAAAUCAGAUUCUACGGAGGAGUUAUAUUCGUACCUUUUUAACGCUUUACAUAUAUGAUUAGAGAAUUAUGAGGACAUAAAUUCCGCUAUAAAUUUGUUGUUAUAUUUAGAGGAGUUUACAUGACUGGAGAAUUAUACACACAUAAAUUCUUUGAUGUCCAUUUUAAAUUAUAUUCCAAAAGGGAAAAUGUUUUCCGUUUAUGGUUUAAAAAUAGAAGCUUUGUGCUUUUUUUUUUUAAAAAAAAAAUCUAGAUCAUUCAGUGAAUAUUGGUUGUUAAUUUACUGCCAAAAUACUCGUAAGUUUAUUUAUUUAUUCUGUAAUGCAACUUUUGGGAUACAUAAUAAUCAUAUAAAUAAAUAAACUAUAUUGUAAUAUAUUUCAAUUAACUUGUUGACUUGUAUGAAAAGAGCGUGUCAUUACCUUUUAUGCCUAAUUAAAUUUACAAUUUUAGUCCCUAUGAUUUUUUUUUUUCAAUCAUUAAUUCCAUGCUCUUAUGAGUAGAAACAUAUGUAGAAUUUUGAUAUUUAAGAGUUGGUGGAGUUUCUAUGAUAUUUUGUACCUGUGGCUCAUCAUUUCACCACGGUGGGCAACUUCAUGGAUUUUGUCCUCUAAAAGGUAGCACUCUAACUUAAGAUGCCAUGUUCUUCAGAAAGUUAUCAAAUAGUUGAAUAGUUAUAUUAAGUUUAUUAUUGAUAAGAAUCUUAAUUAACUAGAUAUAGUACUUAAUAUACAAUGUUUUAUUCGUGAAAUUGUUGAACUAUUUUCACCAUUUUUCAAUGUCAUUUUCAGGAUGAGCUAUCAUUUGGAAUUUCAUUUUCUAUGGACUCUCACUUUUUCCCAUAACCACUUUUUUUGUUUAUAUUUUAUCAGAUUAAUUAUUCCUUGUUUGUUUAGAAGGAGCUUUCAUAUUGGAGAAAUACAUUACGUAUCUUAUAAAUCUAUGCAUCUUUACCUUUUUUUUUCCCAAAAUAAUUAAAAAAAAAAAAACCUCACCAAUGACCAAUCCAAUGUUCAAUAUGAAAAGUUUGAAGAAAAAAUGGUGUGAACUAAAACAAAAUAUAUAAUUUUGUCACAAUCCAAGAAAAAAAAAUCAUUAUAAAAUAUAAUUAAGAGGUAGCCACCUUCUCUACAUCAAUUUGUCACAAAACUAUAUCAGUGAGAUAUAUGCAAGACUCACCCAUUGGUACAAAAGAAAAUGAUCAAAGUGGAAGCAAAAAUGUGGUGAUAAUUUAGAUGAUCUCCACUCCCCAUUUAGUUUCAUUUAUUAAGUUAAUGUUUAAUCAAGAGUCUAAUUACUCAUUUUAUUAUGUUAUUAAUCAACUGCCGCCCCUUCCACUGGUUCAUUAUUUUUUAUGGAAUACAAAAAACAGACAAUAAUAUUCUUUGACAUAGCUAGGAAUAUAGCCCACUUGCAAGAGACUUACAUUCCAUCGCUCCCUAAUUUCCCGUGUAACAUCUUAUCUUGCAUCACAUCAGAGACGUGUUCGUUUGCACAGCCAUUUCGUGAAUAUAAAAUUGCUGCCGAAUAAGCAUCUAAUCAAAAGAAUUUGUCAACGGUAUAAAUUAAAAUAUAAAAAACGAGUAAAAGAAUUUGUCAAUAGGAUAUGGGAGGCCAUGGCUUCAAUCGGUUUGUGCAAUGGUCAAUGGCAUAUUUUUGCUCAUCGUCACCACUGAAUCCACUGAUCAUUUGUGCAUGUGAGUUGUUUUUGAGCAUUUAUUUUUCCCUUUAGAAGCAUAAGGAUAAGGCUAGUCUUCUUUUUGGGAGGACUUAUUGCUUCCAUUCGUUAAAAUUGGGCAUGUAAAAUGUCAAGAAAAAAUGGCCUAAGUGGCUAGCUAGAUGAUAUAAUGGAUGGUUACUACUCAAACCUAGCAAUAAAUGAAUGUCCGACAAGCAUUCAAAUGAAUGAAUAAAACCAAUCAGAUUAGAAUAUCUAUUUAUGAUAGAUUAAUGAAAAUACGAUUCAAAUAUAAGGUAAAUAAUCUCUCCAUUAAUUUUUUAUUGUUUCAGGCAGGGUUGCCAAGCCUCUGUCCGGGCUUCUAUAAGCUCAAUUCCAGCUCUCCUAUAUGAUUGAAUUAGAUCGGGCUAGGCCCUCGGACUUUUUAAUUAAAAAAGGUCGAUUUUUAAGUUUAUGAAGUUAAUACACUCACGCUUAUACUUUAAUAUUUUUAUUAUUUGGCUUUUAGAAUAUUAACGUGUAAAUUACUUUUUUUUUUCAAGUGAAAUAAUUAUCACAUUUUGUCUUCUUAGUAUAUAUUUCUACCUUUUUGUUCCUAUAGAUAUUUCCUCAUUUCAUCUUUGGUACUAGAGCGUAGUAAAAAAACACAUGAUUAAAGAUAAAUAUGACAUUUUAACUAACAAAUUAAUUAUUUGUAUCUAAGAUCUAGCUCUAGUGGUAAAGAUCAAUUUUCAUCGAAUUCAAGUCUUGGGUUUGAAUUUAAAUGCAUGGGUAAGUUAAUAAUAAUAAUAAUAAUAAUAAUAAUAAUAAUAAUAUCAAAUUAACUAGCUUUAAUUUGCAAAGGUCUUAGAUAAUCAAUUCGCUUGUAAAAAUAUCAAAAUUUUUUUUAAUCAAUGAAAUUUUCAAGUCUCUAGUUUUAGCACAAGGAAUGAAUUAAAAGAGUAAUGAUAAAUAUUUUACAAUUUUAUCCCAAAUGAUAAGACAUGUCAUGUGUCAUGUAUUAAGUGAUUGAUGAUUUUUUUAUAAAUUUUAAGUGGAUGAAAUAUAUUAUUUCACCAACCAGUAAAUGAAUAUGACAUCAUUUGAGAAGGAAUUUUAUGGUACAAUUUUGAAAUAUUUAUCACUACUCAAUUAUAUACAGUAUAAAAAAUCUAAUAGGGACCAAAAAUAUAAAAACAGAUUAAGAAUAAAAAAUAUAAAAGUCAAUUCCUAAUUAGGAGAAUGAAAGUGUCAUUCCCCUGUAAUCAUUUCACUAGAUAUUAUGUAAAUAUAUUAAGGCAAAAUUUUAAUAGAAAAUUGGUACCCAAACCUAACGUCUUUGACAUUGCUGCCAAGAUCACUCACAACUUACAAGAAUAAAAAAUUGGUAUUAAAUUUAUUAAUGUUCUCAAGGAAUUUUUAGCUUGACUUUACAUUUCUCGGACCCAUUUGUCACAUAACACCUUAGUUCGUUAACAAAGCCCUUUCAUGAGAAUAUUAGAACUGCUGUCGAAUAAGCAUCUUAACAACCCCUUUUUGACAUACAUGCAUGCCUCCUUCUGUGAACAAUUUGAAACAUAAAAUAAAAUUUCAAUCGAUGUGAGGGUUGGAGUAUUUUAUAGCUUUUGACCUCAUUAAUUAUGAGUAAGAGAAUAUUUCUACGUCACUAAUGGUUAAAAUGAUCACUAUAUAAAGGGUAGCAAAGUAUGUUUAACAUCAAGUCAGAAAACACAAUUUUUAGGAAAUGGGAACUCGGGGACAAGCGAGGCAAUGGCCUCAAUUGUUUUGUGCUAUAGCAUUUUUGCUUAUAACCACCACCACCAAGGCAUCGGCUGAUGAUUAUGCCUCAGCACCACCACCAAAGUAUUCUUCUCCACCUCCUUACUACUACAAAUCACCACCUCCUCCUUCUCCCUCUCCACCUCCACCAUAUUAUUACAAGUCUCCCCCACCACCAUCUCCGUCUCCUCCACCACCUUACUACUACAAGUCACCACCACCACCAGUGCAUUCUCCCCCGCCACCUUAUUACUACAAAUCUCCGCCGCCACCAAAGUAUUCUCCCCCGCCACCUUAUUACUACAAAUCUCCACCGCCACCAAAGCAUUCUCCCCCACCACCUUACUACUACAAAUCUCCACCGCCACCAAAGCAUUCUCCUCCACCACCUUACUACUACAAAUCUCCACCACCACCAAAACACACCUUACUAUUAUAAAUCACCACCUCCACCAAUGAAGUCUCCACCUCCGCCAUAUUACUAUAAAUCACCACCACCACCAAAGCAUUCUCCCCCGCCACCUUACUACUACAAGUCUCCACCACCACCAAAACAUUCCCCACCACCACCUUACUACUAUAAGUCACCGCCUCCACCAGUAAAGUCUCCACCACCGCCCCCAAAGCAUUCUCCCCCACCACCUUAUUAUUACAAAUCACCACCUCCACCAGUGAAGUCUCCACCUCCGCCACCUUACUAUAAAUCACCACCACCUCCAAAGCAUUCUCCCCCUCCACCUUACUAUUAUAAAUCACCACCUCCACCAAUGAAGUCUCCACCUCCGCCAUAUUACUAUAAAUCACCACCACCACCAAAGCAUUCUCCCCCGCCACCUUACUAUUAUAGAUCUCCACCACCACCAAAGCAUUCUCCCCCACCACCUUACUACUAUAAGUCACCACCUCCACCGAAGAAAUCCCCACCUCCACCAUAUUAUUAUAAGUCGCCACCACCACCAAAGCAUUCUCCCCCACCUCCUUAUUAUUACAAAUCUCCACCACCACCAAAGUAUUCUCCACCACCACCUUACUAAUACAAAUCUCCACCAACGCUAUCUCUAUCCCCACCUCCAUCUUACAUUUAUAAAUUCCCACCUCCACCAUCUAUAUCACCUCCACCACCACCUCCAUCACUGUCACUAUUGCCUCGCUACUGUUCCAAGUCAUCACCACCUCCUGAAGACUACUAAGUUCAAUGUUCCGUCUUCAAACAAAUUUAAAAUUCAAUAAGAAUAAAUUUGUUCCUUCAGUUGCCUUUUUCAUGAAUUUUUAUGUUAAUGUUUUUACGAAUAAUUUUUAAGAAGCGUUCGGUGUAUCAUUGUCAUGUGCAAUAAAAAUUUUCUAACUUAAUGUACCCAAAAAAAAAUGUUCCACAAGAAAUAUUCUAUUGUUUUAUCACAAAUGUGUUGUGGCACAUGUAAUGCGCCUAGAUAAAGUAAUAUUAUGUCUUGAUGAACAAUCAUGCACAACAAUGAUCAUGUACAUAGUUCUUCCAAUGUCAUGAUAAUGUCCAUGCACAUAAUAACAAACUUCUUCCUUGUAAUAUCAAAGAAAAUGAAUAUACAAGCCUCUUAUUCUCUAAUCAUUCACUCAAACAACAUUGUUUUAAUUUAGGUUUUGAUCAAUCUUAAUGCUCAUAAAUGCUAACUACAAAUCAUAUACAAGAUCAACAAAAACCAUAUUUUAAAUGAAUUAGAAAAACAAACAUUAGACUUAACCAAGUAGUUAACCUUUAUUAUUCUCCUAGGUAGAUUACAAGCUAUCACUGAAAAAAAAAAUCAUCUAAAAUGGUGAACAAAUGCGCUCUAAAUCAGUUGCAUUCAUUUGUUCAGCUAAGCAAUAAAAUAACCCUUUUCCAUUUUAACUUAUAUACUUUGGCAUGGUAACUUUAAAUAACACCCUCAACUUGACAAAUUUUAAUAACCAAAGCGAUCAAUAACUGUAAAUCUUGACAAAAUUUUUUACUUUAGUUAAAGCCAUAAACAUAGUAUUAAAUAAAAUGAAAAAAAAGGCCAUAAACAUAGUGUUGAAAUACCUUUAUACUUGUGAACUAACUUUUGAUGUUGAUUAAGCUCAUGUACCCUCAACUUUUGUAUUAUGAAUAUGCUUAUGCCCUAUCUUAGGUCUCCUCUAUGAACUCCUCCAUGAACCACUUUUUUUUUUUUUUUUAAAAAAUAAAUUCAUUAUGAUACUAAGGUAUAAGCAGAAGUAAAAUUCCUUUAAUAUUAUUGUAAUCAGGAUGUGGCUACCUAGGUGAUACAUGAAUUGGUUAUUUGUACAUUUUACUACAUUUUUUUGAGUUUGCUUGCUAUUUUUCUCUUUGUUCCAAUAAUUCCCACACGAGGAUAAUCUCAUUUUAACAAAGAAAGAUACUACUGAAAUACAACAAAACAUAAAUUCUAAUAUACUAGAAAAUUUUUUUUUCUUUGCCUUUUCAUAUCUUAGAGUUAUGUUUUUAUCCUCUUGUAGUGGCAUAUAUGCAUUUUAACUAGAAUAUUCUUAUUUGAGAAUUAUUAAUAAGAGAGUGGUAGACAAAUGAUACAAAACUAUGCUGCUUCACGAUUAACAACACAUUCAAUCGAGUAACGAUAGAGAGUCAAUUCUAACACCACGAGAAAGCAAACAAAAGUUGAAAUAUUUUAGCGAAUACCUUUUAAAGUUUGAAUUAAUAAUAAAAUUGUCCCAAAAAACUGCCUUAAUGGAAUUAAUGUGGAGAUUUAGUGGUAGGGUGCAUCAAUAUCAUUUUCCAGAAAAAAAAUAGUCAAAAUAUGAAAGGUUUGUUCUGCAGGUGGUUGAUAUUGCUGUACAUUAAUAUCAAUGAUACGUACCAAAUUCUAUUAUAAAAUUCAUUAAUGUAUAAGUAGAAUAUUUAAUAAAUUAAUUCCGGGUAAAACGUCGGUGAUAUGAACAGUAGCGAAGCUGCAACCGGGUUAGCUUUUUUUUUUAAUAAAAAAAUAGUUAAUUAUAAUUUAUGAAUUUGCCUUUAUUAAUACUUAAAAAAAUAAAAAUAAAUUUAAUAGCCCACCCCGAUGCUAGCUAAGCUAAAAAUAAAAUAUAUCGAAUAAAUGGUGAAGAGAAAGCUGUAAUAAUUAUCGUAAUUACAGUGAGAAGCUGUAAUUUUCUUGAACACGCUUUGACGUACGAUUAGCAAAAAAGUCGUCUGUCUAUAAGCAAUUGGCCGUACAGCAUCUUAACUAUUCCGUUGACAUUGUAAUUAAUUAAUUGAUGACUUUUCUAUAAUUUCUUUGAACCAAAUGCAGAUAUUUAGUGGGCAACCCGCAACCCUUGCUUGGCAAAAUAUAGGAAAGAAAAACUUGAAAUUUAUAAAUGUUACAUUUUGUUUGGAUGAAUAAUUUUGAGAUAAUGUUUCAGUUUUAGAUUUUGUUACCGAUACCUAAUUAUAAUAAUAAAAAAUAUUGCAUCAUUUUUUUACCAACAGUUACAAUACAUUUUAUUUUUUUUUCUUCUCAAUAUUUAAACUCGAAUAAUCAGUUAAAAGUUGCUCGAGAAUGUUUAAAAGCCAUUUAAGUAUACCACGUCAUUCAUGUUUUGCAAUCAUUCAAUUGUUAAUAAGUUUCCCAUGUGCUGAAAAUAAAUAAAAAUGCACGUGCAUAUGUCAUAUUGUCUCCGAAACCUCACAGCGGAAUGAGUGUAGUACUUGCAAUGCAUGUACUUUAGACUUUGUAUUUCUCUUAUUUAAAUGAUCAAUAAUUUUUCUUUGUCCUUUAAUUAGACGUCAACAGUCGAAGUUGUGGGCAAGUAGUAGGCUAUAUAUAAUAAUUUCCUGGAGAUCUUCCGUCUUCUAAGACAUUGCAAAUGCCAAACGUGAUAACUAUUUUGAUAAUUCAAAUACUACAUAAAAUAUAUGAAGUGUCAGACAAGUCAAAAGAAUUGAUUCUUCACAAUUGUAUAUACGUAUACACACACUUUGCCCAAAUCCCAUUGUAUCCAGGCUGUAAUUUUUAUAUUAAACGAACAUAUUUUAUUUUAUGUCAGCAAUAUUGAUGCAGGCUGGUGGAACAACAGCUUCAGGAUGGUCAACUACCCUUCGGAUCAUUGCAAGUGGGAUGGCAUCACUUGCAAUUCAGAUGGAACCAUAAUCGGGCUAAAAUUAUCAGGGUAUGAUGUUGACUUCAAAAGGUAGUCUUCGUAAAAUUAUCAUGGUAUAAUAUACGUAUUUAUUUUCGCAUACAUAAAUAAAUAACAAAAUUGUAAUUAAUUGGAUACAACUUCAGCUUUUGGACUGGUUUGUGAAAAUCGGAAAAAUUUAAAAAUGCUCCUCUUGAACAAUCAAAAUCUACUUUAUACGUGAACAAAGGGGAUGAUUCGUAAAGAUAAUUCAUCAAUGUUUGAUUACUUUCAGAAAGAUAGACUUCAUUUGAUCUCGUCCCAAAGCAUAAUUUCACUUUGAAUUUGAAAAAGAAUAAUGAAGUUCAUACGAUGCUGUUGUGACCUUUUUUUUUUGUUUUCUUUUUUUCUCGACGUUGUUUUGUGAAUCAUAAGGGUUAAUUUAGUACGGUGGGUUCGCUUGUAUGAAGCGUACUUAUUGUACCAUUCUGUUGCAAGUAAUGAAAAAACGCUAUAAUUUUUUUUAGGUUUCUACAAGUAUUAUGUUAUCUUAUAUCUAACUGUGCAUCUCUAUUCUUUGCUCUCAGUUCAGGUUCUCUAAAAGUAUAUUAAUUAUGAAAAGCAUUAAAGGUUCCGAAACUCUAUUUUGCGGGGAAAAAGAACCUCCAUUUUUGGUUUUUUAUUAUCAUAAGAGGUUUUACUAUGCUCGUAAUAACUUAAUCGAAAUUAAACAUAUCACUGGUCUACAUUUUUUUAUCAGAUUUUGUGCCUUGCUAAUUAAGAUGAGUAUCACCAUCAAAUCAACAAGCUUAUACCUUCAAAGAAAAAUAGACUAUAAGUCGGGAGAAAGAAGAAGAAAAAAAAAAAGAAGCUUCGCAAUUUAUGCUGUUGGUUGUGAGUUCAUGAAACAAAUAAAAAUAUGAAAUCAAACAUUUAUUCAAAAUUUAAAAUUAAAAAAAAAACUCUAUAUCUACAGUAAUCUGUUCAAACCACAUAGGUGGAGCAAUAUAGUUCCAAGACGUGGUUUUAAAACAUGUCUUUGUGAUAAACAAUAUCGUGAUACUUGCGCCAAUUCCCAUGGCAAUAAUUGCCUACAUUUAUCCAAGAUCCAUGGCCAGGUUUAGAAUGUGCUAGUCUUCUUUCACUUUCAUAAAUAACCACUACUAGGUAAUCAGAGUGUCGGUCUAAAUUUUUCGGAGAUACAACGUCAAUGUAUGUGCCCGGAGUUGAAGCUGAACGCGCUUAAAUAUGUUCGGAAUUUGAAGUUGAACGCCUGGAAAAGGAUGCAGACUGAAGAAAGGCAAUUCCUGGAAUUUGUCUUUGGUAAGAAAACAUGGCUGCUUAUGCCCUUUGAAAGACUGAAGAAACCAAAUUGAUUAUUGCUGCAAUUUAGUGGCACAUGUACGAGGAGAGGCAUCCAAUUAAACUUGUUCAUAAAAGUAUUGCUGAUAGUUGCAGCCGAUCUCCAGACAAAAUCUUCGUACAAUUUUAUCCGCCAGCAAUUUCGACCAAGAGACCUUGAUGCAGUUCAGACCAAUUCGCCAGUUGAACAUCAAGUUGCCUAGGCAUUGAGAAUUAGGUCAAUAAAAUAUAUCCUGGGUCACUUACAAAAGAUGAAAUAAGUGAAAAAGGAAAGAUGACGUAAUAAUUUCUUAGUGAGAAAAGUUAGUUAAUUUUCAAUUGCUUUCAUUGUUUUGAUAAUUUUCAAAACAUUUCAUUGCUUUCAUUGCGUAAUUAAGCUUUUUUUGCUUCAAAAUAUUUCAAAUUGUGUUUGUGGGACUACUAAACAAUUAGGACACAACAAUGUUUCGUUCUGGUCUUUUUUUUUUUUUACUUUUUAAUUUAUUUUAAGAAAAUCUUUGUCCAUCUCUCAUCCUGCCAAAUAUAUCGUCUCGUCUUGUUAUCUAGAAUAAUUCUUCAUGCAUCAAUGAGUUUUGACAAAUUUUUAUCUUUUAAAAGUUGUUGUAAUUCAAUAUAGCUAAAAUCUUAAAUACAUACAUGUAGAAUAAUCUAAGCAUUACCUUAUUCGGGGAAAAUCGAGAUUAGAAUCAAUCAAAGCAAUGAUACCUUAUAUCAGUGAGAUAUAUGCAAGACUCACCCAUUGGUACAAACGAAAAUGAUCAAAGUGGAAGCAAAAAUGGAAUCCUCAAAUGUGGUGAUAAUUUAGAUGAUCUCCACUCUCCAUUUGGUUUCAUCUAAUAAGUUAGUGUUUAAUUAAGAAUUUAUUACUCAUUUUAUUAUGAUAUUAAUCAACUGCCGUCCCUUCCAUUAGUUCAUUAUUUUUGAUGGAUUACGAAAGACAGACAAUAAAAUUCUCCAAAACUGUUGUAAGAGUAAUAUUGUAAAAGUUACAUAAAAGUGAGGAUAAGGAUAAUUUGAGGUAUGUUUCAAGAUAUAAAGAUUAAAUAAAUUCUUAACUCAAAAUAAAGAGAUUUAUUUUUUUUAAAAGAGAUUAAAAUGUCAUGAUAAAUAAAUAAGGGAGGUGAUAUUCUGGGCUCUCCCCUGGCUUUUUGUGAUAACAUCUUAAAUUAAUAUAAAUAGUUAAAAUUUUAUUAAAAAAUAAAUUUUUACCUAAUACUCUUUGACAUAGCUAGGAAUAUAGCCUACUUGCAAGAGACUUACAUUCGUUUGCACAGCCCUUUCGUGAAUAUAAAAUUGCUGCCGAAUAAGCAUCUAAUUAAAAGAAUUAGGAAUUUGUCAACGGUAUAAAUUAAAUAUAAAAAACGAGUAAAAGAAUUUGUCAAUGGGAUAUGGGGGGCUAUGGCUUCAAUCGUAGGGGUGGGCAAAUUUCGGAUUCCGAAUCCGAUCGGAUUUUGGAUAAUUCGGAUUGGGAAAAAAUCCAUCCAAAUUCAAUCCGAACCUUAAAUCUGUUUCGAUCCGAGAUAAUUUCGGAUCCGGAUCAGAUUCGGAUGAGUUUGAAUUUCAGAUUAUAUUUCAAGUUCGGAUUAUAUUUUGGAUUCGGAUUAAUUCGGGUUUGGGACCUUUUUACAAUUCUCACAAAAAAAUUAUGAAAUUUAUAAUUAAUGAAAAAUAAUUUCCAUGAUGCUGUCAACAAUAAUUAAUAUUUUGAAAACGCAAUAACGGAAUUUUCAAAAAAAAGAAAAAGAAAACACAGGAACGGUAUUGAUAAAGAAUUUUCAUUAGCCAUUUGUGACUGCUAACUAAAUUGUAACAACUAAGUAAAAUAUAAUAAUAAUAAUAAUACAUGCGGGUAUAUUCAAAGCAACUAAAUCACUUGCGAAUGAUCAAGACAAAUCGUAUAAACAAGUAAAAAAUUCAAAGUUUCAAACGCAAAUCGUCGGGGGCUAUCGGAUUAGUGGAUUACCAUUAACAAGACGAGGUUUAUGUCGGUGUGAGUUGCUCAUUGUGGGUCUGGAUGAUGUCGCGAUGGCUGGGUUUGUGCCAACUAUGAUCCAGCUAGGUUUGUAUCGAAUCUGAUCUCGUCUAGAGGACGUUGUGGCGGCUGGGUUUGUGUCGAAUUCAUUCGGUUUGUCUCGUCGGCGACAUGGUUGUUGGUUGGCUCGUCAGGUUGUGGCCCGUGGGUGUGGUGUGGUUUGUUGUCGUGGAUUGACUUAUCAAAGGGCGUGCGACGAUGGUGUGUGGUUUUGUCAUUUGGAAAUUGAGUUUUGAUUUUUCAUUUUCGUUUUUUUAAAAAAAAAUUUUUGGAUUAUUCGGAUUGAACUGAAUCUUAUCCGAUCCAAAUCAAAUCCGAUCAGAUUACAAAAAUUUCAUCCGAUUGGAUUUUAAAGCAAAUCCAAAUCCGAUCCGAACAAAUUCGGAUCGAAUUGGAUUAGAUCGGAUCUAUCCGAAUCUGAUCCAAUGUCCACCCCUAUUCAAUCGGUUUCUGCAAUGGUUAAUGGCAUAUUUUUGCUCAUCGUCACCACUGCAUUCACUAAUCAUUUGUGCACGUGAAUUGUUUUUGAGCAUUUAUUUUGCCUUCGUUAAAAUUGGGCAUGUAAAAAUUUCAUGAAAAAUGGCCAAAGUGGCUGGCUAGGUGAUAUAAUGGAUGGUUACAACUCAAACCUAGCAAUAAAUGAAUGUCCGACAAGCAUUCAAAUGAAUGUAUAAAACCAAUGAGAUUAGAAUAUCUAUUUAUAAUAGACUAAUUAAAAUACGAUUCAAAUAUAAGGUAAAUAGUCUCUCUAUUAAUUUUUUAUUGUUUCAGGUAGGGUUGUCGAGCCUUUGUCCGGGCUUCUGUAAGCCCAUUUCCAGCCCUCUUAUAUGAUUGGAUUAGAUCAGGCUCGGCCCACCAGGCCGGGCUAAAUCUUGAGCUCUUUUUAAAUAAAAAAAAGUUGAAUUUUAAGUUUUUGAAGUUAAUAUAUAUACACACACACUUGUACUUAAAUAAUUUAUAAAUUUUUUAAAAGCCAAAUAAUAAAAAUAUUGACAUGUAAAAGUACAAUUUUUUUUUCAUGUGGAAUAAUUAUCUCAUUUCUACCUUUUUGGUCCUAUAGAUAUUUCCUCAUUUCAUCUUUGGUAUUAGAGCAGUAGUAAAAAGACACACGAUUAAAGAUAAAUGUGACAUUUUUACCGACAAAUUAACUAUUUGGAUCUAAGAUCUAGCUCUAAUGGUAAAGACUAGUUUUUAUAGAAUUCAGGUCCUGGGUUUGACUUCCAAUUGCGUGGGUAAGCUAAUAAUAAUAAUAAUAAUAAUAACAAAUUAACUAGUUUUAAUUUGCAAAGGUCUUAGAUAAUCAAUUCGUUUGUAAAAACAUCAAAUUUAUUUUCAGUAAUGAAAUUUUCAAGUCACUGGUUUUAGCACUAGGAAUGAAUUAAAUAGAGUAAUGAUAAACAUCUUAAAAUUUUAUCCCAAAUGAUAUGACAUGUAAUGUGUCAUUUAUUAAGUGGUUGGUGAUUUUUCAUAAAUUUUAAGUCGAUUAAUUAUAUUAUUUCACCAACCAAUAAAUGAACAUCACAUCAUUUGAGAAUGAAUUUUAAGGUAAAAUUUUAGAUAUAUAUCAUUACUCAAUUAUUUUUUAUAGUAUAAAAUCUAAUAGGGACCAAAAAUAUAAAAACCAAUUAAGAAAAAAAAAGUCAAUUCCUAAUUAGAAGAAUGAAAGUGUCAUUCUCCUAUAAUCAUUUCUCAAGUUUUUAUAUAAAUUUAUUAAUGCAAAAUUUUAAAAGAAAAUCGGUACCUAAAACUAACGCCUUUGACAAUGCUGCCAAUAUCACUCACAACUUACAAGAAUAAAGAAUUUGUAUUAAAUUUAUUAAUGUUCUCAAAGAAUUUUUAGUUUUGACUUUACAUUCUCAGACCCAUUUGUCACAUAACAUCUUAGCUGAUUAACAAAGCCCUUUCGUGAGAAUAUUAAAACUGCUCUCGAAUAAGCAUCUUAACAACCCCGUUUUUGACAUACAUGCAUGCCUCCUCAUGUCAGCAAAUUUGAAACAUAAAAGAUAAUUUCAAUCGAUGUGAGAGUUGGGAGUAUUUUAUAGCUUUUGACCUCAUUAAUUAUGAGUAAGAGAAUAUUUCUACGUCACUAAUGAUUAAAAUGAUCACUAUAUAUAUAAAGGGUAGCAAAGUAUGUUUAACAUCAAGUCAGAAAACACAAUUUUUAGGAAAUGGGAACUCGGGGACAGGCGAGGCAAUGGCCUCAAUUGUUUUGUGCUAUAGCAUUUUUGCUUAUAGCCACCACGACCAAGGCAUCGGCUGAUGAUUAUGCCUCAGCACCACCACCAAAGUAUUCUUCUCCACCUCUUUACUACUACAAAUCACCACCUCCUCCUUCUCCCUCUCCACCUCCACCAUAUUAUUACAAGUCUCCCCCACCACCAUCUCCGUCUCCUCCACCACCUUACUACUACACGUCACCACCGCCACCAGUGCAUUCUCCCCCGCCACCUUACUACUACAAGUCACCACCGCCACCAGUGCAUUCUCCUCCGCCACCUUACUACUACAAAUCUCCGCCGCCACCAAAGCAUUCUCCCCCGCCACCUUACUACUAUAAGUCACCACCACCACCAGUGCAUUCUCCCCCGCCACCUUAUUACUACAAAUCUCCGCCGCCACCAAAGUAUUCUCCCCCGCCACCUUAUUAUUACAAAUCUCCGCCGCCACCAAAGCAUUCUCCUCCACCACCUUACUACUACAAAUCUCCACCACCACCAAACCAUUCUCCCCCACCACCUUACUACUAUAAGUCACCACCACCACCAAAGCAUUCUCCCCCACCUCCUUAUUACUACAAAUCUCCACCACCACCAAUGUAUUCUCCACCACCACCUUACUAAUACAAAUCUCCGCCAUCGCCAUCUCUAUCCCCGCCUCCAUCUUACAUUUAUAAAUUCCCACAACCAUCAUCUAUACCACCUCCACCAUGACCUCUAUCACGGUCAUUAUUGCUUCCUUACUACUCCAAGUCACCGCCAACUCCUUUAUCUCCACCUUCACCGUAUUACUACAAUCACCCCCACCUCCCAAAGACUACUACGUUCAGUAUCCCUUCUUGAAACAAGUUUAAAAUUCAAUAAGAAUAAAUUUGUUCCUUUGGUUGCCUUUUUUUUUAAUUUUUUACUAAGUUCAAUGCCCCUUCUUGAAACAAGUUUCAAAUUCAAUAAGAAUAAAUUUGUUCCUUUGGUUGCCUUUUUAUGCUUUUUUGUGUCAAUUUUUUUACAAAUAAUUUGUAAGAAGCGUUCAGUGCAUCAUUUGUCAUGUGCAAUAAAAAUCUUCUAACUUAAUGUAUCCCCAAAAAAAAAAAAAAAAAUUGUUCUAUAAGAAUUAUUCUAUUGUUUUAUCACAAAUGUGUUGUGGCGCAUAUAAUGCUCCCGGAUGAAGUAAUAUUAUGUCUUGAUGAACAAUCAUGCACAACAAUGAUCAUGUACAUAGUUCUUCCAACGUCAUGAUAAUGUCCAUGCACAUAAUAACAAACUUCUUCCUCAUAAUAUCAAAGAAAAUGAAGAUACAAGCCUCUUAUUCUUUAGUCAUUCACUCAAACAACAUUGUUUUAACUUAGGUUUUGAUCAAUCUUAAUGCUAAUAAAUGCUAACUACAUAUCAAAUACAAGAUCAACAAAAACCAGAUUUUAAAUUAAUCAGAAAAACAAACACUAGACUUAACCAAGCAGUUAAGCUUUAUUAUUCUCCCUCAGUAAAGGAUACAAAGAUGUAGGUGGAUUACAAGCUAUCACUGAAAAAAUAGAAAUCAUCUAAAAUGGUGAACAAAUGAGCUCUAAAUCUGUUGCACUCAUUUGUUCAACUAAGCAAUGAAAUUACCCUUUUCUAUUUUAACUGCUUGUCUACUUUAACACGGCAACUUUAAAUAACAACCUUCAACUUGAAAAAUUUGAGUAACCAGAGCCAUCAAUAACGGUAAAUCUUGACAAAAAUUUUAGUUUAAUUAAGGCCAUAAACAUAAUAUUAAAUAAUAAAAAAAAAAGGCCAUAAACAUAGUGUUGAAAUACCAUUAUACCUGUGAACGAACUUUUGAUGGUUAUUAAACUCAUGAACCCUCAAUUUUUGUAUUAUGAAUAUGCUCAUGGCCUAUCUUAGGUCUCCUCUAUGAACCACUUUUUUUUUAAAAAAAUUAUAUUCAUUAUGAUACUAAGGUAUAAGUAGAAGUAAAGUUCUUUUAAUAUUUUUGUAACCAGGAUGUGACAACCUAGGUGAUACGUGAAUUGGUUAUUUGCACAUUUUGCUACAUUUUUGUGAGUUUGCUUGCUGGUUUUCUCUUUGUUCCAACAAUUCACACAUAGGAUAAUCUCAUUUUAACAAAGAAAGAUACCACUAAAAUACAACAAAACAUGAUCAAUUCUAAUAUACUAGAAAACUUUUUUUUUUUGUUUGCCUUUUCAUAUAUUAGAGUUGUGUUUUUGUUAUCUUAUAGUGGCAUCUAUGCAGUUUAACUAAAUGAGAAUAUUCUCAUUUGAGAAUUAUUAAUAAGAGAGUAGUAGACAAAUGAUACCCAACUAUACUGCUUCACUAUUAACAACACAUCCAAUUGAGUAAUGAUAGAGAGUCAAUUCUAUCACCAAAUGAAAGCAAACAAAAGCUGAAAUAUUUUAGUGAAUAUCUUUAAAGUUUGAAUUAAUAAUAAAAUUGUCCCAAAAAACUGUCUUAAUGGAACUAAUGUGCGAUUUAUUUGUAGGGUGAAUAAAUAUCAUUUUCCAGAAAAAAAUAUAGUCAAAAUAUGGAAAGCUUGUUCUGCAAGUGGUUGAUAUUGAUGUACAUUAAUGUCAAAGAUACAUUAAGUGCAUGCCAAAUUCUAUUAUAAAAUUUAUAAAUGUAUAAGUAGAAGAUUUUAUAAAUUAAUUCCUGUAAAACGUCGGUUAUAUGAAUAAAUGGUGAAGAGAAAGCUGUAAUAAUUAUCGUAAUUACAAUUUUCUUGAGCACGCUUUGACGUACGAUUAACAAAAAAGGUCUGUAUAUGAGCAAUCGGCCGUACAUUAUCUUAACCACCUGAUUUUGUUUUUUUUUUUUGUAAUUUCAAUCUUGGCCGUUGGAGUCAAUGAAAAGAUCGUUCAAAUGGUAGAGAUUUGUCUAUUUGAUUAUUAACAUUAUGCUUCCCGAUGGUUAUCAAAAACCCAAACAAAUUAAAGAGUUAAAACUUUUAGCACAUAAGUCCGAAUUGUUUCAAAUUUAUGUUGUUUAAUCACUAGUGAGUCUCAAAAAAUAAAUUUAUUUUAAUAUUAUAUAUUUUAUUUAAAAGAAUUAAUUUUUUAUAUCAUUUAUUUUAUUAAAAAUAAAUAUUAUUGAAUACUAAUUAUUCUCAUUUUAUUUAAUAUUAUUUAGUUAUAGGCUUAUUAUUAUAUUUAAUUGUUCAAAAAACUAAAAAAAUUUAAAUAAAAUAAAGUAAUUGAUGGUUGUCGAAGCCAACAAAAAUAAAUUCCUACUCUAAAUAAAUUGUGUAUAGUGAUUGAGCAGGGUCGUGUCCACAGAGAUCGGUAAUUAUUUAAAUCCUUUUGAAACGUAAAACGUAAAAUGGGGGAAUUGUUGACAAUAAUAAAAAUCAAAUUAAAAUAACAAGAAUGCAAAUUAAAGUUGUAAUUCAAAUUGGAGAAAGCUCUGGUUGAAGGAAUUAACUCAGCUUGAUUCGACUACUGAUCAUUGAUUCAAAUAUAGAUUAUUAUUACUCAUGAAUAGACCGGUUAUAGCUACUGAGACCCUCUAAUAGCCAAUCUCUCCUUAACUAGUCGAUAACCAAGGUACGACCGUUGGAUAUUCCCUAAUCAAUAGACAACCCUAGAUACGAUCAUAGAAUUUAAUCAAUUGACAGCCUGAAAAACCAGAAAGACCCAAAUCCUAAUCAACACAUAUGAUGAUUCAUUUAAAUUAAAUUGUUUAUUCUCACAACACAACUCUCUGCUAUGUCAUUUGUCACAAACAUUAAAUUCUUCAUACGAUGAAUCCCUUAAUUGACAAUAGAUUAAGUUGAUAAUUAAAUAGUGGCCAACUGCUGUACGGCCAAGGCGGAUGUACGGUACAGCAGAAUACAUUCCCUUACUCAACUAACAAAGUCUUUCAUUUAUCUGAAAACAGUUCCAAUUUUGAAAUAUCAGUGUCAAACUUUUCCCAGCAACAUAUUUAUCAUCUCUCCACAUUAUCCUUAACUGACAGCAGCUUGGAAGAUCUUCAAUCAGCAAGUUCAGAAAGCAAUGAACAAGUACCUUCUGUUUCUGCACACACAAAUAAUCUGCAUCAACAAGAGCAUUCUNNNNNNNNNNNNNNNNNNNNNNNNNNNNNNNNNNNNNNNNNNNNNNNNNNNNNNNNNNNNNNNNNNNNNNNNNNNNNNNNNNNNNNNNNNNNNNNNNNNNNNNNNNNNNNNNNNNNNNNNNNNNNNNNNNNNNNNNNNNNNNNNNNNNNNNNNNNNNNNNNNNNNNNNNNNNNNNNNNNNNNNNNNNNNNNNNNNNNNNNNNNNNNNNNNNNNNNNNNNNNNNNNNNNNNNNNNNNNNNNNNNNNCAGCAGAAUAAAAUAUUAUUAAUUUUAUUUUUUUUAUUUUGCUAUCUUACUAAUAAUUGGCAAUAAUAAUAAUAAUAAUAAUAAUAAUAAUAAUAUCUUUAAGGUUAAUGAUUUUAUUUUCUAAUUAAUAUGGAUAAUUUUAGAUUUUUAUAAUAUAUAUGACGAUAAACACGAAAUUAAGUAUAAAACUAAUUCUCAAAAUCCGAUUUUAAAAAUCUACUUUUUCCCUACUUUUUAAAAUCUUCAGUAAGAUAAGGUAAAUUUACCAAAAGUGAUUUCUGAAAAUAUUUAUCAAAUAAUAAAAUUAAUUUGUAACUUUUCAAAAUAACUUUUAAAUCUCGCAAAAAAAAAUCCUAAAUGAGUCCUAAGUACCUAACUUUAUGACGGUCAACAAAUAUGGUAUAAAAGUCUUCUACACCUACUGGGCAUUUGAAUGGGCCAUCUGUCUUAGCUCUUACCUCUUAAAAUGGGCUAAAAAUCAGAGAGUCAGUUAACUAAUAUGGGCUAAAAUUUGGGUACACCUCUCGGGCAUGUUAAUGGGCCAUCAUCUUUCACAGGUUUCUAAAGGGUAAAGGCUUUCUGUCUCCCAAGACUUCGACUAGUGAAAUUUAAUCGAUAUAAAUAUGUAGCUACCUAUAUUUAUAUAAGAAAAUGAUGUUCUCAUAAAUUUGCGUGCAAAGAUUUGCACAAAACGGUGCGUUUUGUGCAGCUUUAAAAAUGCUCUUCGUACGUGCACCAAACAACACACAAGCACGCCAAUUCACAACAUCAUUUUCCCACUCGCGUCUGCCUCCUUUCACUGCAACAAAAACCCAGCAGCUUCGUUCUCCACACAGCAAGAAGUCUCCUUAUUAAUAUAAUAUUAUAUAAUAAACUCAACAGAAGUCUCCUUUCUUCCUCCAUUUUUCCUCACGAGAUAGCUCCGAUCUCUCUCCCUCCGUCCUCCUUUCUUCCUUACAAGACAGCUCGGGUCUCUCUCUCUGGCCUCCUUUCUCCCUCACAAGAUAGUUCGGAUCUCUCUUUCCAGUCUCCACGCCGCUAAUAGUCCCAGUUCUAACCUCUCUCGCCCCGCAGCAACCAUAAGAUCUCUCUCUCACCCGUUUCAAUUCAUUGCUCUAAUUGAAAUCUUUAACUCGUUUAGGACAUUGUGCUGAAUUACCUAUGGAUGGUGGUGGUCUUAUGCUUGAGUGUUGUAAAUUAGAAUCAAAUUAUGCAAAACCUGAUGCCUUUGGGAAUCAUGUUUAUUUCAAGCUUCUAUGUUGUGAUUUGAUUAUUUGAUGAAGCACCUGGAAAAUGUAGUUUGCUCCCUCAAAUUAUUUUACUCUGUUGAAUAAAUUGUAUUUGCCAUUAUUUGAAAAGAAUUUAAAAAAAAAUUACAGCCCCGAAACAUUGAGCUUAUGCUAUAAUUUAAGCAUCUCCCUCAUUUAUAGCACAUUUAUUUUCAUAAUUUACGCGACAAUGGAGAACGGAGCCGAGACUGUUAGUGGCAUGGGGAUGAGAGAGAAAAAUAUGAGCUGUUUCGUGAGGUUUUGUUAGGUUUCGUGAGGGAGAAAGGAGAUGGGAGAGAGAGACGCUGAGUUUUGUUGCUCCCCUCACUUGUGUGUGUUUGGUGUUAAAACUUUGCAGCAAAGAGUGGCUUUUAUACUUUGCACAAAACGCACCGUUUUGUGCAAAGUUUUGUGCAAAGUGUUGUGAGAACAUCAUUUUCCAUUUAAAUAUUGGCUUUUCAUUUUUUUUCAAAUGAGAAUUGAUCCAGUGUGCACCAUCAUGCACAGCACAAGGUAUAUUUUCAUCAGUGGGCGCUAGGUCUCAUAGAUUGGUUCUCUCUAAUAAGAACAUGUCGUCUGUUGUCCCGCGCUAGAUCGAAUGCGUUUUCAAAUUUGUCAAAUUACAUUUUGAGCAUGUCAUAGUGGACGUUAUUACAAAGUCGUCAAUCUCAAUACAAUAAUCAUGACAUCAGGUUUUGAGAAUGUGAAUAAAACUCAUAUUUAUUUGAUAAAAUAUAAUUUAAAAAUAAAAAUAAAAUAUGUAUAUUCUAUAUAAUUUGAUAAUAAAAAAUAGAAAUCUCAUUUUUAUAUUGGGUUGGGAAUGAGGAUUCCUAUUUCUUGAACUGACUUUUAUAUCUCUCUAUUUUUUUCAUAUUUUUUAAAUUAUUCUCGUUUAAAUCACAAUUAAUUUGAUUACUGCUGUACGGCCAAGGCGGAUGCAAUAGAAUUGCACCUACAAAAGUAAAACAUAAGUAAAUCACUAUUAUUAAGUGCAAAACAUUGAUAUUAAGGGAAGUAAAUAAUGCAAAACUAGUGCAUAAAUUGCACUCUAACAGUAAUCAGUAAUCAGCAUUAAAAAUUAAAUUAAAUUAAAUUUUUUUGUUUUUAAUAUUAUUUAGUUAUAGACUUAUUAUUAUAUUUAUUCGUUCAUAAAACUAAAUAAUGUUAAAUCAAAUAAAAUAAUCAGGAAUGGUUCUUAAAAAAUUAAUAUUAUUUAUUUUAUUUUAUUUAAUAUUAUUUAGUCAUAGCCUAUUAUUCUGUUUAUUUUUUGAAAAUUAAAUAAUAUUAAAUAAAAAUCCCCCCUUUUCACAAUAGAUUCCUCCCUUCAAUACUCUCUCUCUCCUCUCUUUUAGAAUUCUAUUUAAAAUAAAAUACUAAUAUCUGAAAUAUUAAAUUCGUAAUUACAAAAAUAACCAAAAAUACAAAAUACGUUAAACUAAAAACUGCAGGUCCGCAGUUGACAGCACGCGCCCACGCCUUAUCAACAAAGUUCUUCUGACGCUCAUAAUUUCUCCAAGAGAACAAUCAUCCUUAAACAUCAUCUUAUAGCUCAAUUUUAUCAUCAAUCAAUAGAAUUACACCUACAAAAGUAAAACACAAGUAAAACAUUAUUAUUAAGUGCAAAACAUCGAUAUUAAGGGAAGUAAACAAUGCAAAACUAGUGCAUAAAUUGCACUCUAACAAAUUCCCCCACACCAAGAUGAUGCUUGUCCUCAAGCAUAUAACUCAAGACUAAUCUCAAAUCUCCACUAAAUUCUCAUCUCAACUCAUCCAAAAAUAAUUUUAAGCAAGCAUACCUCAAGAAAUUAAGUCGAUCAACAUUCGAGAGACAAGGAUUUUUAAAGCAUAGAAUCUCAUAAGAUAGAAUAAGAACAUUCAACCACCAAGAAGAUCCAUUCAAAAUUCAAGUGCAACAAGAUGUAAUAGCCCUCUCAAUAACUUCACUCCAUGCACUCAAAGUGUUUAGGGUAUCAUUUAUGCACUCAAAUCAAAUCAAAGAAUGCUAUUACCAUAAGCUUGCUCAUAUAUCACAUCUCAAUCCACAAAACAUGAAUAAAAUGAAAAAAUCUAAGGGUCUUAAAAGGGUUGUAAUGGGGUUAAAUAGGUUAAAUGAAAAAGAAAGGUCUAUGAAAGAAAAAGAGAUCAAAAUGAGAAGAAUGAACUCAUUGAAUGAACUUAUGAUAUCAAAAUGCUCCUUGGCCGUACAGCAGGAAUGGUUCUUAAAAAAUUAAUAUUAUUUAUUUUAUUUUAUUUAAUAUUAUUUAGUCAUAGCCUAUUAUUCUGUUUAUUUUUUGAAAAUUAAAUAAUAUUAAAUAAAAUAGAAUAGAAAAUGUGAGUCCUUAAAAAUAAAAAUUAUUUUUAAUAUUAUUUAUUUUAUUUAAAAGAAUAAAUUUUUUAAUAUUUUUAUUUUAUUAAAAAAUAUUAUUUAAUAUUAUCUAGUCAUAGGCUUAUUAUUAUAUUUCUUCUUUUAGAAAGUUAAAUAGUAUUAAAUGAAAUAAAAUUACAUUUUAGAAGGUCAUUAGCCAAAGCACAUAAACUUAUAAACAAAUGGAAAUAAAAAAGGUAAAUAAUAUUCAAUAAAAUAAAAUUACAUUUUAAAAGGUCACCAACCAAAGCACAUAAUAUUAUAACAAAAAUGUAAAUAAAAAAGAAAGUAAGAGAUUCAAUGAAAUUUAACAUCACAAAAGACAAUUUCAAAAAUUGGGGGUAGCUUGCAACUGUUGCAAAGUGGCUGGUUCCAUAAUUUUGAGAUAAUGUUUCGGUUUCAAAUAUUGUUAUCGAUACCUAAUUAUAAGUAAUAAAAAAAUAUUGUAUAAUUUUUUUACCAACAUUUACAAUACAUUUUAUUUUGAUUUCUGAAAAAAAUAGAUAAAACACAAAUUAAUUAUUUUAACCCUCUAUUCUCUCAAUAUUUAAACUCGAAUAAUCAGUUAAAAGUUGCUCGAGAAUGUUUAAAAGCCAUUUAAGUAUACCACGUCAUUCAUGUUUUGCAAUCAUUCAAUUGUUAAUAAGUUUCCCAUGUGCUGAAAAUAAAUAAAAAUGCACGUGCAUAUGUCAUAUUGUCUCCGAAACCUCACAGCGGAAUGAGUGUAGUACUUGCAAUGCAUGUACUUUAGACUUUGUAUUUCUCUUAUUUAAAUGAUCAAUAAUUUUUCUUUGUCCUUUAAUUAGACGUCAACAGUCGAAGUUGUGGGCAAGUAGUAGGCUAUAUAUAAUAAUUUCCUGGAGAUCUUCCGUCUUCUAAGACAUUGCAAAUGCCAAACGUGAUAACUAUUUUGAUAAUUCAAAUACUACAUAAAAUAUAUGAAGUGUCAGACAAGUCAAAAGAAUUGAUUCUUCACAAUUGUAUAUACGUAUACACACACUUUGCCCAAAUCCCAUUGUAUCCAGGCUGUAAUUUUUAUAUUAAACGAACAUAUUUUAUUUUAUGUCAGCAAUAUUGAUGCAGGCUGGUGGAACAACAGCUUCAGGAUGGUCAACUACCCUUCGGAUCAUUGCAAGUGGGAUGGCAUCACUUGCAAUUCAGAUGGAACCAUAAUCGGGCUAAAAUUAUCAGGGUAUGAUGUUGACUUCAAAAGGUAGUCUUCGUAAAAUUAUCAUGGUAUAAUAUACGUAUUUAUUUUCGCAUACAUAAAUAAAUAACAAAAUUGUAAUUAAUUGGAUACAACUUCAGCUUUUGGACUGGUUUGUGAAAAUCGGAAAAAUUUAAAAAUGCUCCUCUUGAACAAUCAAAAUCUACUUUAUACGUGAACAAAGGGGAUGAUUCGUAAAGAUAAUUCAUCAAUGUUUGAUUACUUUCAGAAAGAUAGACUUCAUUUGAUCUCGUCCCAAAGCAUAAUUUCACUUUGAAUUUGAAAAAGAAUAAUGAAGUUCAUACGAUGCUGUUGUGACCUUUUUUUUUUGUUUUCUUUUUUUCUCGACGUUGUUUUGUGAAUCAUAAGGGUUAAUUUAGUACGGUGGGUUCGCUUGUAUGAAGCGUACUUAUUGUACCAUUCUGUUGCAAGUAAUGAAAAAACGCUAUAAUUUUUUUUAGGUUUCUACAAGUAUUAUGUUAUCUUAUAUCUAACUGUGCAUCUCUAUUCUUUGCUCUCAGUUCAGGUUCUCUAAAAGUAUAUUAAUUAUGAAAAGCAUUAAAGGUUCCGAAACUCUAUUUUGCGGGGAAAAAGAACCUCCAUUUUUGGUUUUUUAUUAUCAUAAGAGGUUUUACUAUGCUCGUAAUAACUUAAUCGAAAUUAAACAUAUCACUGGUCUACAUUUUUUUAUCAGAUUUUGUGCCUUGCUAAUUAAGAUGAGUAUCACCAUCAAAUCAACAAGCUUAUACCUUCAAAGAAAAAUAGACUAUAAGUCGGGAGAAAGAAGAAGAAAAAAAAAAAGAAGCUUCGCAAUUUAUGCUGUUGGUUGUGAGUUCAUGAAACAAAUAAAAAUAUGAAAUCAAACAUUUAUCCAAAAUUUAAAAUUAAAAAAAAACUCUAUAUCUACAGUAAUCUGUUCAAACCACAUAGGUGGAGCAAUAGAGUUCCAAGACGUGGUUUUAAAACAUGUCUUUGUGAUAAACAAUAUCGUGAUACUUGCGCCAAUUCCCAUGCCAAUAAUUGCCUACAUUUAUCCAAGAUCCAUGGCCAGGUUUAGAAUGUGCUAGUCUUCUUUCACUUUCAUAAAUAACCACUACUAGGUAAUCAGAGUGUCGGUCUAAAUUUUUCGGAGAUACAACGUCAAUGUAUGUGCCCGGAGUUGAAGCUGAACGCGCUUAAAUAUGUUCGGAAUUUGAAGUUGAACGCCUGGAAAAGGAUGCAGACUGAAGAAAGGCAAUUCCUGGAAUUUGUCUUUGGUAAGAAAACAUGGCUGCUUAUGCCCUUUGAAAGACUGAAGAAACCAAAUUGAUUAUUGCUGCAAUUUAGUGGCACGUGUACAAGGAGAGGCAUCCGAUUAAACUUGUUCAUAAAAUUAUUGCUGAUAGUUGCAGCCGAUCUCCAUGAAGUACAAACCCAACGCAAAGAAACAAAGUGUUCGUACAAUUUUAUCCGCCAGCAAUUUCGACCAAGAGACCUUGAUGCAGUUCAGACCAAUUCGCCAGUUGAACAUCAAGUUGCCUAGGCAUUGAGAAUUAGGUCAAUAAAAUAUAUCCUGGGUCACUUACAAAAGAUGAAAUAAGUGAAAAAGGAAAGAUGACGUAAUAAUUUCUUAGUGAGAAAAGUUAGUUAAUUUUCAAUUGCUUUCAUUGUUUUGAUAAUUUUCAAAACAUUUCAUUGCUUUCAUUGCGUAAUUAAGCUUUUUUUGCUUCAAAAUAUUUCAAAUUGUGUUUGUGGGACUACUAAACAAUUAGGACACAACAAUGUUUCGUUCUGGUCUUUUUUUUUUUUUACUUUUUAAUUUAUUUUAAGAAAAUCUUUGUCCAUCUCUCAUCCUGCCAAAUAUAUCGUCUCGUCUUGUUAUCUAGAAUAAUUCUUCAUGCAUCAAUGAGUUUUGACAAAUUUUUAUCUUUUAAAAGUUGUUGUAAUUCAAUAUAGCUAAAAUCUUAAAUACAUACAUGUAGAAUAAUCUAAGCAUUACCUUAUUCGGGGAAAAUCGAGAUUAGAAUCAAUCAAAGCAAUGAUACCUUAUAUCAGUGAGAUAUAUGCAAGACUCACCCAUUGGUACAAACGAAAAUGAUCAAAGUGGAAGCAAAAAUGGAAUCCUCAAAUGUGGUGAUAAUUUAGAUGAUCUCCACUCUCCAUUUGGUUUCAUCUAAUAAGUUAGUGUUUAAUUAAGAAUUUAUUACUCAUUUUAUUAUGAUAUUAAUCAACUGCCGUCCCUUCCAUUAGUUCAUUAUUUUUGAUGGAUUACGAAAGACAGACAAUAAAAUUCUCCAAAACUGUUGUAAGAGUAAUAUUGUAAAAGUUACAUAAAAGUGAGGAUAAGGAUAAUUUGAGGUAUGUUUCAAGAUAUAAAGAUUAAAUAAAUUCUUAACUCAAAAUAAAGAGAUUUAUUUUUUUUAAAAGAGAUUAAAAUGUCAUGAUAAAUAAAUAAGGGAGGUGAUAUUCUGGGCUCUCCCCUGGCUUUUUGUGAUAACAUCUUAAAUUAAUAUAAAUAGUUAAAAUUUUAUUAAAAAAUAAAUUUUUACCUAAUACUCUUUGACAUAGCUAGGAAUAUAGCCUACUUGCAAGAGACUUACAUUCGUUUGCACAGCCCUUUCGUGAAUAUAAAAUUGCUGCCGAAUAAGCAUCUAAUUAAAAGAAUUAGGAAUUUGUCAACGGUAUAAAUUAAAUAUAAAAAACGAGUAAAAGAAUUUGUCAAUGGGAUAUGGGGGGCUAUGGCUUCAAUCGUAGGGGUGGGCAAAUUUCGGAUUCCGAAUCCGAUCGGAUUUUGGAUAAUUCGGAUUGGGAAAAAAUCCAUCCAAAUUCAAUCCGAACCUUAAAUCUGUUUCGAUCCGAGAUAAUUUCGGAUCCGGAUCAGAUUCGGAUGAGUUUGAAUUUCAGAUUAUAUUUCAAGUUCGGAUUAUAUUUUGGAUUCGGAUUAAUUCGGGUUUGGGACCUUUUUACAAUUCUCACAAAAAAAUUAUGAAAUUUAUAAUUAAUGAAAAAUAAUUUCCAUGAUGCUGUCAACAAUAAUUAAUAUUUUGAAAACGCAAUAACGGAAUUUUCAAAAAAAAGAAAAAGAAAACACAGGAACGGUAUUGAUAAAGAAUUUUCAUUAGCCAUUUGUGACUGCUAACUAAAUUGUAACAACUAAGUAAAAUAUAAUAAUAAUAAUAAUACAUGCGGGUAUAUUCAAAGCAACUAAAUCACUUGCGAAUGAUCAAGACAAAUCGUAUAAACAAGUAAAAAAUUCAAAGUUUCAAACGCAAAUCGUCGGGGGCUAUCGGAUUAGUGGAUUACCAUUAACAAGACGAGGUUUAUGUCGGUGUGAGUUGCUCAUUGUGGGUCUGGAUGAUGUCGCGAUGGCUGGGUUUGUGCCAACUAUGAUCCAGCUAGGUUUGUAUCGAAUCUGAUCUCGUCUAGAGGACGUUGUGGCGGCUGGGUUUGUGUCGAAUUCAUUCGGUUUGUCUCGUCGGCGACAUGGUUGUUGGUUGGCUCGUCAGGUUGUGGCCCGUGGGUGUGGUGUGGUUUGUUGUCGUGGAUUGACUUAUCAAAGGGCGUGCGACGAUGGUGUGUGGUUUUGUCAUUUGGAAAUUGAGUUUUGAUUUUUCAUUUUCGUUUUUUUAAAAAAAAAUUUUUGGAUUAUUCGGAUUGAACUGAAUCUUAUCCGAUCCAAAUCAAAUCCGAUCAGAUUACAAAAAUUUCAUCCGAUUGGAUUUUAAAGCAAAUCCAAAUCCGAUCCGAACAAAUUCGGAUCGAAUUGGAUUAGAUCGGAUCUAUCCGAAUCUGAUCCAAUGUCCACCCCUAUUCAAUCGGUUUCUGCAAUGGUUAAUGGCAUAUUUUUGCUCAUCGUCACCACUGAAUCCACUGAUCAUUUGUGCAUGUGAGUUGUUUUUGAGCAUUUAUUUUUCCCUUUAGAAGCAUAAGGAUAAGGCUAGUCUUCUUUUUGGGAGGACUUAUUGCUUCCAUUCGUUAAAAUUGGGCAUGUAAAAUGUCAAGAAAAAAUGGCCUAAGUGGCUAGCUAGAUGAUAUAAUGGAUGGUUACUACUCAAACCUAGCAAUAAAUGAAUGUCCGACAAGCAUUCAAAUGAAUGAAUAAAACCAAUCAGAUUAGAAUAUCUAUUUAUGAUAGAUUAAUGAAAAUACGAUUCAAAUAUAAGGUAAAUAAUCUCUCCAUUAAUUUUUUAUUGUUUCAGGCAGGGUUGCCAAGCCUCUGUCCGGGCUUCUAUAAGCUCAAUUCCAGCUCUCCUAUAUGAUUGAAUUAGAUCGGGCUAGGCCCUCGGACUUUUUAAUUAAAAAAGGUCGAUUUUUAAGUUUAUGAAGUUAAUACACUCACGCUUAUACUUUAAUAUUUUUAUUAUUUGGCUUUUAGAAUAUUAACGUGUAAAUUACUUUUUUUUUUCAAGUGAAAUAAUUAUCACAUUUUGUCUUCUUAGUAUAUAUUUCUACCUUUUUGUUCCUAUAGAUAUUUCCUCAUUUCAUCUUUGGUACUAGAGCGUAGUAAAAAAACACAUGAUUAAAGAUAAAUAUGACAUUUUAACUAACAAAUUAAUUAUUUGUAUCUAAGAUCUAGCUCUAGUGGUAAAGAUCAAUUUUCAUCGAAUUCAAGUCUUGGGUUUGAAUUUAAAUGCAUGGGUAAGUUAAUAAUAAUAAUAAUAAUAAUAAUAAUAAUAAUAAUAAUAAUAAUAAUAAUAAUAAUAAUAAUAAUAAUAAUAAUAAUAAUAAUAAUAAUAAUAAUAAUAAUAAUAAUAAUAAUAAUAAUAAUAAUAAUAAUAAUAAUAAUAAUAAUAAUAAUAAUAAUAAUAAUAAUAAUAAUAAUAAUAAUAAUAAUAAUAAUAAUAAUAAUAAUAAUAAUAAUAAUAAUAAUAAUAAUAAUAAUAAUAAUAAUAAUAAUAAUAAUAAUAAUAAUAAUAAUAAUAAUAAUAAUAAUAAUAAUAAUAAUAAUAAUAAUAAUAAUAAUAAUAAUAAUAAUAAUAAUAAUAAUAAUAAUAAUAAUAAUAAUAAUAAUAAUAAUAAUAAUAAUAAUAAUAAUAAUAAUAAUAAUAAUAAUAAUAAUAAUAAUAAUAAUAAUAAUAAUAAUAAUAAUAAUAAUAAUAAUAAUAAUAAUAAUAAUAAUAAUAAUAAUAAUAAUAAUAAUAAUAAUAAUAAUAAUAAUAAUAAUAAUAAUAAUAAUAAUAAUAAUAAUAAUAAUAAUAAUAAUAAUAAUAAUAAUAAUAAUAAUAAUAAUAAUAAUAAUAAUAAUAAUAAUAAUAAUAAUAAUAAUAAUAAUAAUAAUAAUAAUAAUAAUAAUAAUAAUAAUAAUAAUAAUAAUAAUAAUAAUAAUAAUAAUAAUAAUAAUAAUAAUAAUAAUAAUAAUAAUAAUAAUAAUAAUAAUAAUAAUAAUAAUAAUAAUAAUAAUAAUAAUAAUAAUAAUAAUAAUAAUAAUAAUAAUAAUAAUAAUAAUAAUAAUAAUAAUAAUAAUAAUAAUAAUAAUAAUAAUAAUAAUAAUAAUAAUAAUAAUAAUAAUAAUAAUAAUAAUAAUAAUAAUAAUAAUAAUAAUAAUAAUAAUAAUAAUAAUAAUAAUAAUAAUAAUAAUAAUAAUAAUAAUAAUAAUAAUAAUAAUAAUAAUAAUAAUAAUAAUAAUAAUAAUAAUAAUAAUAAUAAUAAUAAUAAUAAUAAUAAUAAUAAUAAUAAUAAUAAUAAUAAUAAUAAUAAUAAUAAUAAUAAUAAUAAUAAUAAUAAUAAUAAUAAUAAUAAUAAUAAUAAUAAUAAUAAUAAUAAUAAUAAUAAUAAUAAUAAUAAUAAUAAUAAUAAUAAUAAUAAUAAUAAUAAUAAUAAUAAUAAUAAUAAUAAUAAUAAUAAUAAUAAUAAUAAUAAUAAUAAUAAUAAUAAUAAUAAUAAUAAUAAUAAUAAUAAUAAUAAUAAUAAUAAUAAUAAUAAUAAUAAUAAUAAUAAUAAUAAUAAUAAUAAUAAUAAUAAUAAUAAUAAUAAUAAUAAUAAUAAUAAUAAUAAUAAUAAUAAUAAUAAUAAUAAUAAUAAUAAUAAUAAUAAUAAUAAUAAUAAUAAUAAUAAUAAUAAUAAUAAUAAUAAUAAUAAUAAUAAUAAUAAUAAUAAUAAUAAUAAUAAUAAUAAUAAUAAUAAUAAUAAUAAUAAUAAUAAUAAUAAUAAUAAUAAUAAUAAUAAUAAUAAUAAUAAUAAUAAUAAUAAUAAUAAUAAUAAUAAUAAUAAUAAUAAUAAUAAUAAUAAUAAUAAUAAUAAUAAUAAUAAUAAUAAUAAUAAUAAUAAUAAUAAUAAUAAUAAUAAUAAUAAUAAUAAUAAUAAUAAUAAUAAUAAUAAUAAUAAUAAUAAUAAUAAUAAUAAUAAUAAUAAUAAUAAUAAUAAUAAUAAUAAUAAUAAUAAUAAUAAUAAUAAUAAUAAUAAUAAUAAUAAUAAUAAUAAUAAUAAUAAUAAUAAUAAUAAUAAUAAUAAUAAUAAUAAUAAUAAUAAUAAUAAUAAUAAUAAUAAUAAUAAUAAUAAUAAUAAUAAUAAUAAUAAUAAUAAUAAUAAUAAUAAUAAUAAUAAUAAUAAUAAUAAUAAUAAUAAUAAUAAUAAUAAUAAUAAUAAUAAUAAUAAUAAUAAUAAUAAUAAUAAUAAUAAUAAUAAUAAUAAUAAUAAUAAUAAUAAUAAUAAUAAUAAUAAUAAUAAUAAUAAUAAUAAUAAUAAUAAUAAUAAUAAUAAUAAUAAUAAUAAUAAUAAUAAUAAUAAUAAUAAUAAUAAUAAUAAUAAUAAUAAUAAUAAUAAUAAUAAUAAUAAUAAUAAUAAUAAUAAUAAUAAUAAUAAUAAUAAUAAUAAUAAUAAUAAUAAUAAUAAUAAUAAUAAUAAUAAUAAUAAUAAUAAUAAUAAUAAUAAUAAUAAUAAUAAUAAUAAUAAUAAUAAUAAUAAUAAUAAUAAUAAUAAUAAUAAUAAUAAUAAUAAUAAUAAUAAUAAUAAUAAUAAUAAUAAUAAUAAUAAUAAUAAUAAUAAUAAUAAUAAUAAUAAUAAUAAUAAUAAUAAUAAUAAUAAUAAUAAUAAUAAUAAUAAUAAUAAUAAUAAUAAUAAUAAUAAUAAUAAUAAUAAUAAUAAUAAUAAUAAUAAUAAUAAUAAUAAUAAUAAUAAUAAUAAUAAUAAUAAUAAUAAUAAUAAUAAUAAUAAUAAUAAUAAUAAUAAUAAUAAUAAUAAUAAUAAUAAUAAUAAUAAUAAUAAUAAUAAUAAUAAUAAUAAUAAUAAUAAUAAUAAUAAUAAUAAUAAUAAUAAUAAUAAUAAUAAUAAUAAUAAUAAUAAUAAUAAUAAUAAUAAUAAUAAUAAUAAUAAUAAUAAUAAUAAUAAUAAUAAUAAUAAUAAUAAUAAUAAUAAUAAUAAUAAUAAUAAUAAUAAUAAUAAUAAUAAUAAUAAUAAUAAUAAUAAUAAUAAUAAUAAUAAUAAUAAUAAUAAUAAUAAUAAUAAUAAUAAUAAUAAUAAUAAUAAUAAUAAUAAUAAUAAUAAUAAUAAUAAUAAUAAUAAUAAUAAUAAUAAUAAUAAUAAUAAUAAUAAUAAUAAUAAUAAUAAUAAUAAUAAUAAUAAUAAUAAUAAUAAUAAUAAUAAUAAUAAUAAUAAUAAUAAUAAUAAUAAUAAUAAUAAUAAUAAUAAUAAUAAUAAUAAUAAUAAUAAUAAUAAUAAUAAUAAUAAUAAUAAUAAUAAUAAUAAUAAUAAUAAUAAUAAUAAUAAUAAUAAUAAUAAUAAUAAUAAUAAUAAUAAUAAUAAUAAUAAUAAUAAUAAUAAUAAUAAUAAUAAUAAUAAUAAUAAUAAUAAUAAUAAUAAUAAUAAUAAUAAUAAUAAUAAUAAUAAUAAUAAUAAUAAUAAUAAUAAUAAUAAUAAUAAUAAUAAUAAUAAUAAUAAUAAUAAUAAUAAUAAUAAUAAUAAUAAUAAUAAUAAUAAUAAUAAUAAUAAUAAUAAUAAUAAUAAUAAUAAUAAUAAUAAUAAUAAUAAUAAUAAUAAUAAUAAUAAUAAUAAUAAUAAUAAUAAUAAUAAUAAUAAUAAUAAUAAUAAUAAUAAUAAUAAUAAUAAUAAUAAUAAUAAUAAUAAUAAUAAUAAUAAUAAUAAUAAUAAUAAUAAUAAUAAUAAUAAUAAUAAUAAUAAUAAUAAUAAUAAUAAUAAUAAUAAUAAUAAUAAUAAUAAUAAUAAUAAUAAUAAUAAUAAUAAUAAUAAUAAUAAUAAUAAUAAUAAUAAUAAUAAUAAUAAUAAUAAUAAUAAUAAUAAUAAUAAUAAUAAUAAUAAUAAUAAUAAUAAUAAUAAUAAUAAUAAUAAUAAUAAUAAUAAUAAUAAUAAUAAUAAUAAUAAUAAUAAUAAUAAUAAUAAUAAUAAUAAUAAUAAUAAUAAUAAUAAUAAUAAUAAUAAUAAUAAUAAUAAUAAUAAUAAUAAUAAUAAUAAUAAUAAUAAUAAUAAUAAUAAUAAUAAUAAUAAUAAUAAUAAUAAUAAUAAUAAUAAUAAUAAUAAUAAUAAUAAUAAUAAUAAUAAUAAUAAUAAUAAUAAUAAUAAUAAUAAUAAUAAUAAUAAUAAUAAUAAUAAUAAUAAUAAUAAUAAUAAUAAUAAUAAUAAUAAUAAUAAUAAUAAUAAUAAUAAUAAUAAUAAUAAUAAUAAUAAUAAUAAUAAUAAUAAUAAUAAUAAUAAUAAUAAUAAUAAUAAUAAUAAUAAUAAUAAUAAUAAUAAUAAUAAUAAUAAUAAUAAUAAUAAUAAUAAUAAUAAUAAUAAUAAUAAUAAUAAUAAUAAUAAUAAUAAUAAUAAUAAUAAUAAUAAUAAUAAUAAUAAUAAUAAUAAUAAUAAUAAUAAUAAUAAUAAUAAUAAUAAUAAUAAUAAUAAUAAUAAUAAUAAUAAUAAUAAUAAUAAUAAUAAUAAUAAUAAUAAUAAUAAUAAUAAUAAUAAUAAUAAUAAUAAUAAUAAUAAUAAUAAUAAUAAUAAUAAUAAUAAUAAUAAUAAUAAUAAUAAUAAUAAUAAUAAUAAUAAUAAUAAUAAUAAUAAUAAUAAUAAUAAUAAUAAUAAUAAUAAUAAUAAUAAUAAUAAUAAUAAUAAUAAUAAUAAUAAUAAUAAUAAUAAUAAUAAUAAUAAUAAUAAUAAUAAUAAUAAUAAUAAUAAUAAUAAUAAUAAUAAUAAUAAUAAUAAUAAUAAUAAUAAUAAUAAUAAUAAUAAUAAUAAUAAUAAUAAUAAUAAUAAUAAUAAUAAUAAUAAUAAUAAUAAUAAUAAUAAUAAUAAUAAUAAUAAUAAUAAUAAUAAUAAUAAUAAUAAUAAUAAUAAUAAUAAUAAUAAUAAUAAUAAUAAUAAUAAUAAUAAUAAUAAUAAUAAUAAUAAUAAUAAUAAUAAUAAUAAUAAUAAUAAUAAUAAUAAUAAUAAUAAUAAUAAUAAUAAUAAUAAUAAUAAUAAUAAUAAUAAUAAUAAUAAUAAUAAUAAUAAUAAUAAUAAUAAUAAUAAUAAUAAUAAUAAUAAUAAUAAUAAUAAUAAUAAUAAUAAUAAUAAUAAUAAUAAUAAUAAUAAUAAUAAUAAUAAUAAUAAUAAUAAUAAUAAUAAUAAUAAUAAUAAUAAUAAUAAUAAUAAUAAUAAUAAUAAUAAUAAUAAUAAUAAUAAUAAUAAUAAUAAUAAUAAUAAUAAUAAUAAUAAUAAUAAUAAUAAUAAUAAUAAUAAUAAUAAUAAUAAUAAUAAUAAUAAUAAUAAUAAUAAUAAUAAUAAUAAUAAUAAUAAUAAUAAUAAUAAUAAUAAUAAUAAUAAUAAUAAUAAUAAUAAUAAUAAUAAUAAUAAUAAUAAUAAUAAUAAUAAUAAUAAUAAUAAUAAUAAUAAUAAUAAUAAUAAUAAUAAUAAUAAUAAUAAUAAUAAUAAUAAUAAUAAUAAUAAUAAUAAUAAUAAUAAUAAUAAUAAUAAUAAUAAUAAUAAUAAUAAUAAUAAUAAUAAUAAUAAUAAUAAUAAUAAUAAUAAUAAUAAUAAUAAUAAUAAUAAUAAUAAUAAUAAUAAUAAUAAUAAUAAUAAUAAUAAUAAUAAUAAUAAUAAUAAUAAUAAUAAUAAUAAUAAUAAUAAUAAUAAUAAUAAUAAUAAUAAUAAUAAUAAUAAUAAUAAUAAUAAUAAUAAUAAUAAUAAUAAUAAUAAUAAUAAUAAUAAUAAUAAUAAUAAUAAUAAUAAUAAUAAUAAUAAUAAUAAUAAUAAUAAUAAUAAUAAUAAUAAUAAUAAUAAUAAUAAUAAUAAUAAUAAUAAUAAUAAUAAUAAUAAUAAUAAUAAUAAUAAUAAUAAUAAUAAUAAUAAUAAUAAUAAUAAUAAUAAUAAUAAUAAUAAUAAUAAUAAUAAUAAUAAUAAUAAUAAUAAUAAUAAUAAUAAUAAUAAUAAUAAUAAUAAUAAUAAUAAUAAUAAUAAUAAUAAUAAUAAUAAUAAUAAUAAUAAUAAUAAUAAUAAUAAUAAUAAUAAUAAUAAUAAUAAUAAUAAUAAUAAUAAUAAUAAUAAUAAUAAUAAUAAUAAUAAUAAUAAUAAUAAUAAUAAUAAUAAUAAUAAUAAUAAUAAUAAUAAUAAUAAUAAUAAUAAUAAUAAUAAUAAUAAUAAUAAUAAUAAUAAUAAUAAUAAUAAUAAUAAUAAUAAUAAUAAUAAUAAUAAUAAUAAUAAUAAUAAUAAUAAUAAUAAUAAUAAUAAUAAUAAUAAUAAUAAUAAUAAUAAUAAUAAUAAUAAUAAUAAUAAUAAUAAUAAUAAUAAUAAUAAUAAUAAUAAUAAUAAUAAUAAUAAUAAUAAUAAUAAUAAUAAUAAUAAUAAUAAUAAUAAUAAUAAUAAUAAUAAUAAUAAUAAUAAUAAUAAUAAUAAUAAUAAUAAUAAUAAUAAUAAUAAUAAUAAUAAUAAUAAUAAUAAUAAUAAUAAUAAUAAUAAUAAUAAUAAUAAUAAUAAUAAUAAUAAUAAUAAUAAUAAUAAUAAUAAUAAUAAUAAUAAUAAUAAUAAUAAUAAUAAUAAUAAUAAUAAUAAUAAUAAUAAUAAUAAUAAUAAUAAUAAUAAUAAUAAUAAUAAUAAUAAUAAUAAUAAUAAUAAUAAUAAUAAUAAUAAUAAUAAUAAUAAUAAUAAUAAUAAUAAUAAUAAUAAUAAUAAUAAUAAUAAUAAUAAUAAUAAUAAUAAUAAUAAUAAUAAUAAUAAUAAUAAUAAUAAUAAUAAUAAUAAUAAUAAUAAUAAUAAUAAUAAUAAUAAUAAUAAUAAUAAUAAUAAUAAUAAUAAUAAUAAUAAUAAUAAUAAUAAUAAUAAUAAUAAUAAUAAUAAUAAUAAUAAUAAUAAUAAUAAUAAUAAUAAUAAUAAUAAUAAUAAUAAUAAUAAUAAUAAUAAUAAUAAUAAUAAUAAUAAUAAUAAUAAUAAUAAUAAUAAUAAUAAUAAUAAUAAUAAUAAUAAUAAUAAUAAUAAUAAUAAUAAUAAUAAUAAUAAUAAUAAUAAUAAUAAUAAUAAUAAUAAUAAUAAUAAUAAUAAUAAUAAUAAUAAUAAUAAUAAUAAUAAUAAUAAUAAUAAUAAUAAUAAUAAUAAUAAUAAUAAUAAUAAUAAUAAUAAUAAUAAUAAUAAUAAUAAUAAUAAUAAUAAUAAUAAUAAUAAUAAUAAUAAUAAUAAUAAUAAUAAUAAUAAUAAUAAUAAUAAUAAUAAUAAUAAUAAUAAUAAUAAUAAUAAUAAUAAUAAUAAUAAUAAUAAUAAUAAUAAUAAUAAUAAUAAUAAUAAUAAUAAUAAUAAUAAUAAUAAUAAUAAUAAUAAUAAUAAUAAUAAUAAUAAUAAUAAUAAUAAUAAUAAUAAUAAUAAUAAUAAUAAUAAUAAUAAUAAUAAUAAUAAUAAUAAUAAUAAUAAUAAUAAUAAUAAUAAUAAUAAUAAUAAUAAUAAUAAUAAUAAUAAUAAUAAUAAUAAUAAUAAUAAUAAUAAUAAUAAUAAUAAUAAUAAUAAUAAUAAUAAUAAUAAUAAUAAUAAUAAUAAUAAUAAUAAUAAUAAUAAUAAUAAUAAUAAUAAUAAUAAUAAUAAUAAUAAUAAUAAUAAUAAUAAUAAUAAUAAUAAUAAUAAUAAUAAUAAUAAUAAUAAUAAUAAUAAUAAUAAUAAUAAUAAUAAUAAUAAUAAUAAUAAUAAUAAUAAUAAUAAUAAUAAUAAUAAUAAUAAUAAUAAUAAUAAUAAUAAUAAUAAUAAUAAUAAUAAUAAUAAUAAUAAUAAUAAUAAUAAUAAUAAUAAUAAUAAUAAUAAUAAUAAUAAUAAUAAUAAUAAUAAUAAUAAUAAUAAUAAUAAUAAUAAUAAUAAUAAUAAUAAUAAUAAUAAUAAUAAUAAUAAUAAUAAUAAUAAUAAUAAUAAUAAUAAUAAUAAUAAUAAUAAUAAUAAUAAUAAUAAUAAUAAUAAUAAUAAUAAUAAUAAUAAUAAUAAUAAUAAUAAUAAUAAUAAUAAUAAUAAUAAUAAUAAUAAUAAUAAUAAUAAUAAUAAUAAUAAUAAUAAUAAUAAUAAUAAUAAUAAUAAUAAUAAUAAUAAUAAUAAUAAUAAUAAUAAUAAUAAUAAUAAUAAUAAUAAUAAUAAUAAUAAUAAUAAUAAUAAUAAUAAUAAUAAUAAUAAUAAUAAUAAUAAUAAUAAUAAUAAUAAUAAUAAUAAUAAUAAUAAUAAUAAUAAUAAUAAUAAUAAUAAUAAUAAUAAUAAUAAUAAUAAUAAUAAUAAUAAUAAUAAUAAUAAUAAUAAUAAUAAUAAUAAUAAUAAUAAUAAUAAUAAUAAUAAUAAUAAUAAUAAUAAUAAUAAUAAUAAUAAUAAUAAUAAUAAUAAUAAUAAUAAUAAUAAUAAUAAUAAUAAUAAUAAUAAUAAUAAUAAUAAUAAUAAUAAUAAUAAUAAUAAUAAUAAUAAUAAUAAUAAUAAUAAUAAUAAUAAUAAUAAUAAUAAUAAUAAUAAUAAUAAUAAUAAUAAUAAUAAUAAUAAUAAUAAUAAUAAUAAUAAUAAUAAUAAUAAUAAUAAUAAUAAUAAUAAUAAUAAUAAUAAUAAUAAUAAUAAUAAUAAUAAUAAUAAUAAUAAUAAUAAUAAUAAUAAUAAUAAUAAUAAUAAUAAUAAUAAUAAUAAUAAUAAUAAUAAUAAUAAUAAUAAUAAUAAUAAUAAUAAUAAUAAUAAUAAUAAUAAUAAUAAUAAUAAUAAUAAUAAUAAUAAUAAUAAUAAUAAUAAUAAUAAUAAUAAUAAUAAUAAUAAUAAUAAUAAUAAUAAUAAUAAUAAUAAUAAUAAUAAUAAUAAUAAUAAUAAUAAUAAUAAUAAUAAUAAUAAUAAUAAUAAUAAUAAUAAUAAUAAUAAUAAUAAUAAUAAUAAUAAUAAUAAUAAUAAUAAUAAUAAUAAUAAUAAUAAUAAUAAUAAUAAUAAUAAUAAUAAUAAUAAUAAUAAUAAUAAUAAUAAUAAUAAUAAUAAUAAUAAUAAUAAUAAUAAUAAUAAUAAUAAUAAUAAUAAUAAUAAUAAUAAUAAUAAUAAUAAUAAUAAUAAUAAUAAUAAUAAUAAUAAUAAUAAUAAUAAUAAUAAUAAUAAUAAUAAUAAUAAUAAUAAUAAUAAUAAUAAUAAUAAUAAUAAUAAUAAUAAUAAUAAUAAUAAUAAUAAUAAUAAUAAUAAUAAUAAUAAUAAUAAUAAUAAUAAUAAUAAUAAUAAUAAUAAUAAUAAUAAUAAUAAUAAUAAUAAUAAUAAUAAUAAUAAUAAUAAUAAUAAUAAUAAUAAUAAUAAUAAUAAUAAUAAUAAUAAUAAUAAUAAUAAUAAUAAUAAUAAUAAUAAUAAUAAUAAUAAUAAUAAUAAUAAUAAUAAUAAUAAUAAUAAUAAUAAUAAUAAUAAUAAUAAUAAUAAUAAUAAUAAUAAUAAUAAUAAUAAUAAUAAUAAUAAUAAUAAUAAUAAUAAUAAUAAUAAUAAUAAUAAUAAUAAUAAUAAUAAUAAUAAUAAUAAUAAUAAUAAUAAUAAUAAUAAUAAUAAUAAUAAUAAUAAUAAUAAUAAUAAUAAUAAUAAUAAUAAUAAUAAUAAUAAUAAUAAUAAUAAUAAUAAUAAUAAUAAUAAUAAUAAUAAUAAUAAUAAUAAUAAUAAUAAUAAUAAUAAUAAUAAUAAUAAUAAUAAUAAUAAUAAUAAUAAUAAUAAUAAUAAUAAUAAUAAUAAUAAUAAUAAUAAUAAUAAUAAUAAUAAUAAUAAUAAUAAUAAUAAUAAUAAUAAUAAUAAUAAUAAUAAUAAUAAUAAUAAUAAUAAUAAUAAUAAUAAUAAUAAUAAUAAUAAUAAUAAUAAUAAUAAUAAUAAUAAUAAUAAUAAUAAUAAUAAUAAUAAUAAUAAUAAUAAUAAUAAUAAUAAUAAUAAUAAUAAUAAUAAUAAUAAUAAUAAUAAUAAUAAUAAUAAUAAUAAUAAUAAUAAUAAUAAUAAUAAUAAUAAUAAUAAUAAUAAUAAUAAUAAUAAUAAUAAUAAUAAUAAUAAUAAUAAUAAUAAUAAUAAUAAUAAUAAUAAUAAUAAUAAUAAUAAUAAUAAUAAUAAUAAUAAUAAUAAUAAUAAUAAUAAUAAUAAUAAUAAUAAUAAUAAUAAUAAUAAUAAUAAUAAUAAUAAUAAUAAUAAUAAUAAUAAUAAUAAUAAUAAUAAUAAUAAUAAUAAUAAUAAUAAUAAUAAUAAUAAUAAUAAUAAUAAUAAUAAUAAUAAUAAUAAUAAUAAUAAUAAUAAUAAUAAUAAUAAUAAUAAUAAUAAUAAUAAUAAUAAUAAUAAUAAUAAUAAUAAUAAUAAUAAUAAUAAUAAUAAUAAUAAUAAUAAUAAUAAUAAUAAUAAUAAUAAUAAUAAUAAUAAUAAUAAUAAUAAUAAUAAUAAUAAUAAUAAUAAUAAUAAUAAUAAUAAUAAUAAUAAUAAUAAUAAUAAUAAUAAUAAUAAUAAUAAUAAUAAUAAUAAUAAUAAUAAUAAUAAUAAUAAUAAUAAUAAUAAUAAUAAUAAUAAUAAUAAUAAUAAUAAUAAUAAUAAUAAUAAUAAUAAUAAUAAUAAUAAUAAUAAUAAUAAUAAUAAUAAUAAUAAUAAUAAUAAUAAUAAUAAUAAUAAUAAUAAUAAUAAUAAUAAUAAUAAUAAUAAUAAUAAUAAUAAUAAUAAUAAUAAUAAUAAUAAUAAUAAUAAUAAUAAUAAUAAUAAUAAUAAUAAUAAUAAUAAUAAUAAUAAUAAUAAUAAUAAUAAUAAUAAUAAUAAUAAUAAUAAUAAUAAUAAUAAUAAUAAUAAUAAUAAUAAUAAUAAUAAUAAUAAUAAUAAUAAUAAUAAUAAUAAUAAUAAUAAUAAUAAUAAUAAUAAUAAUAAUAAUAAUAAUAAUAAUAAUAAUAAUAAUAAUAAUAAUAAUAAUAAUAAUAAUAAUAAUAAUAAUAAUAAUAAUAAUAAUAAUAAUAAUAAUAAUAAUAAUAAUAAUAAUAAUAAUAAUAAUAAUAAUAAUAAUAAUAAUAAUAAUAAUAAUAAUAAUAAUAAUAAUAAUAAUAAUAAUAAUAAUAAUAAUAAUAAUAAUAAUAAUAAUAAUAAUAAUAAUAAUAAUAAUAAUAAUAAUAAUAAUAAUAAUAAUAAUAAUAAUAAUAAUAAUAAUAAUAAUAAUAAUAAUAAUAAUAAUAAUAAUAAUAAUAAUAAUAAUAAUAAUAAUAAUAAUAAUAAUAAUAAUAAUAAUAAUAAUAAUAAUAAUAAUAAUAAUAAUAAUAAUAAUAAUAAUAAUAAUAAUAAUAAUAAUAAUAAUAAUAAUAAUAAUAAUAAUAAUAAUAAUAAUAAUAAUAAUAAUAAUAAUAAUAAUAAUAAUAAUAAUAAUAAUAAUAAUAAUAAUAAUAAUAAUAAUAAUAAUAAUAAUAAUAAUAAUAAUAAUAAUAAUAAUAAUAAUAAUAAUAAUAAUAAUAAUAAUAAUAAUAAUAAUAAUAAUAAUAAUAAUAAUAAUAAUAAUAAUAAUAAUAAUAAUAAUAAUAAUAAUAAUAAUAAUAAUAAUAAUAAUAAUAAUAAUAAUAAUAAUAAUAAUAAUAAUAAUAAUAAUAAUAAUAAUAAUAAUAAUAAUAAUAAUAAUAAUAAUAAUAAUAAUAAUAAUAAUAAUAAUAAUAAUAAUAAUAAUAAUAAUAAUAAUAAUAAUAAUAAUAAUAAUAAUAAUAAUAAUAAUAAUAAUAAUAAUAAUAAUAAUAAUAAUAAUAAUAAUAAUAAUAAUAAUAAUAAUAAUAAUAAUAAUAAUAAUAAUAAUAAUAAUAAUAAUAAUAAUAAUAAUAAUAAUAAUAAUAAUAAUAAUAAUAAUAAUAAUAAUAAUAAUAAUAAUAAUAAUAAUAAUAAUAAUAAUAAUAAUAAUAAUAAUAAUAAUAAUAAUAAUAAUAAUAAUAAUAAUAAUAAUAAUAAUAAUAAUAAUAAUAAUAAUAAUAAUAAUAAUAAUAAUAAUAAUAAUAAUAAUAAUAAUAAUAAUAAUAAUAAUAAUAAUAAUAAUAAUAAUAAUAAUAAUAAUAAUAAUAAUAAUAAUAAUAAUAAUAAUAAUAAUAAUAAUAAUAAUAAUAAUAAUAAUAAUAAUAAUAAUAAUAAUAAUAAUAAUAAUAAUAAUAAUAAUAAUAAUAAUAAUAAUAAUAAUAAUAAUAAUAAUAAUAAUAAUAAUAAUAAUAAUAAUAAUAAUAAUAAUAAUAAUAAUAAUAAUAAUAAUAAUAAUAAUAAUAAUAAUAAUAAUAAUAAUAAUAAUAAUAAUAAUAAUAAUAAUAAUAAUAAUAAUAAUAAUAAUAAUAAUAAUAAUAAUAAUAAUAAUAAUAAUAAUAAUAAUAAUAAUAAUAAUAAUAAUAAUAAUAAUAAUAAUAAUAAUAAUAAUAAUAAUAAUAAUAAUAAUAAUAAUAAUAAUAAUAAUAAUAAUAAUAAUAAUAAUAAUAAUAAUAAUAAUAAUAAUAAUAAUAAUAAUAAUAAUAAUAAUAAUAAUAAUAAUAAUAAUAAUAAUAAUAAUAAUAAUAAUAAUAAUAAUAAUAAUAAUAAUAAUAAUAAUAAUAAUAAUAAUAAUAAUAAUAAUAAUAAUAAUAAUAAUAAUAAUAAUAAUAAUAAUAAUAAUAAUAAUAAUAAUAAUAAUAGAGAAGAGAAAAAUUAGAUCUAGGGUUUCUUUCUUUUUCUCCAAUCCAAAAAUCCCCCCUUUUCACAAUAGAUUCCUCCCUUAAAUACUCUCUCUCUCUUCUCCUCUAGAAUUCUAUUUAAAAUAAAAUACUAACAUCUGAAAUAUUAAAUUCGUAAUUACAAAAAUAACCAAAAAUACAAAACACGUUAAACUAAAAACUGCAGGUCCGCAGUUGACAGCACGCGCCCACGCCUUAUCAACAAAGUUCUUCUGACGCUCAUAAUUUCUCCAAGAGAACAAUCAUCCUUAAACAUCAUCUUAUAGCUCAAUUUUAUCAUCAAUCAAUAGAAUUGCACCUACAAAAGUAAAACAUAAGUAAAUCACUAUUAUUAAGUGCAAAACAUUGAUAUUAAGGGAAGUAAAUAAUGCAAAACUAGUGCAUAAAUUGCACUCUAACAGUAAUCAGUAAUCAGCAUUAAAAAUUAAAUUAAAUUAAAUUUUUUUGUUUUUAAUAUUAUUUAGUUAUAGACUUAUUAUUAUAUUUAUUCGUUCAUAAAACUAAAUAAUGUUAAAUCAAAUAAAAUAAUCAGGAAUGGUUCUUAAAAAAUUAAUAUUAUUUAUUUUAUUUUAUUUAAUAUUAUUUAGUCAUAGCCUAUUAUUCUGUUUAUUUUUUGAAAAUUAAAUAAUAUUAAAUAAAAUAGAAUAGAAAAUGUGAGUCCUUAAAAAUAAAAAUUAUUUUUAAUAUUAUUUAUUUUAUUUAAAAGAAUAAAUUUUUUAAUAUUUUUAUUUUAUUAAAAAAUAUUAUUUAAUAUUAUCUAGUCAUAGGCUUAUUAUUAUAUUUCUUCUUUUAGAAAGUUAAAUAGUAUUAAAUGAAAUAAAAUUACAUUUUAGAAGGUCAUUAGCCAAAGCACAUAAACUUAUAAACAAAUGGAAAUAAAAAAGGUAAAUAAUAUUCAAUAAAAUAAAAUUACAUUUUAAAAGGUCACCAACCAAAGCACAUAAUAUUAUAACAAAAAUGUAAAUAAAAAAGAAAGUAAGAGAUUCAAUGAAAUUUAACAUCACAAAAGACAAUUUCAAAAAUUGGGGGUAGCUUGCAACUGUUGCAAAGUGGCUGGUUCCAUAAUUUUGAGAUAAUGUUUCGGUUUCAAAUAUUGUUAUCGAUACCUAAUUAUAAGUAAUAAAAAAAUAUUGUAUAAUUUUUUUACCAACAUUUACAAUACAUUUUAUUUUGAUUUCUGAAAAAAAUAGAUAAAACACAAAUUAAUUAUUUUAACCCUCUAUUCUCUCAAUAUUUAAACUCGAAUAAUCAGUUAAAAGUUGCUCGAGAAUGUUUAAAAGCCAUUUAAGUAUACCACGUCAUUCAUGUUUUGCAAUCAUUCAAUUGUUAAUAAGUUUCCCAUGUGCUGAAAAUAAAUAAAAAUGCACGUGCAUAUGUCAUAUUGUCUCCGAAACCUCACAGCGGAAUGAGUGUAGUACUUGCAAUGCAUGUACUUUAGACUUUGUAUUUCUCUUAUUUAAAUGAUCAAUAAUUUUUCUUUGUCCUUUAAUUAGACGUCAACAGUCGAAGUUGUGGGCAGGUAGUAGGCUAUAUAUAAUAAUUUCCUGGAGAUCUUCCGUCUUCUAAGACAUUGCAAAUGCCAAACGUGAUAACUAUUUUGAUAAUUCAAAUACUACAUAAAAUAUAUGAAGUGUCAGACAAGUCAAAAGAAUUGAUUCUUCACAAUUGUAUAUACGUAUACACACACUUUGCCCAAAUCCCAUUGUAUCCAGGCUGUAAUUUUUAUAUUAAACGAACAUAUUUUAUUUUAUGUCAGCAAUAUUGAUGCAGGCUGGGGGAACAACAGCUUCAGGAUGGUCAACUACCCUUCGGAUCAUUGCAAGUGGGAUGGCAUCACUUGCAAUUCAGAUGGAAGCAUAAUCAGGCUAAAAUUAUCAUGGUGUGAUGUUGACUUCAAAAGGUAAUCUUCGUAAAAUUAUCAUGGUAUAAUAUACGUAUUUAUUUUCGCAUACAUAAAUAAAUAACAAAAUUGUAAUUAAUUGGAUACAGCUUCAGCUUUUGGACUGGUUUGUGAAAAUCAGAAAAAUUUAAAAAUGCUCCUCUUGAACAAUCAAAAUCUACUUUAUACGUGAACAAAGGGGAUGAUUCGUAAAGAUAGUUCAUCAAUGUUUGAUUGCUUUCAAGCGUGUCGAUUACUUUCAGAAAGAAAGACUUCAUUUGAUCUCGUCACAAAACAUAAUUUCACUUUGAAUUUGAAAAAGAAUAAUGAAGUUCAUACAAGUGCUGUUAUGACCUUUUUUUUUUUGUUUUCUUUUUUUCUCGACGUUGUUUUGUGAAUCAUAAGGGUUAAUUUAAUACGGUGGGUUCGCUUGUAUGAAGCGCACUUAUUGUACCAUUCUGUUGCAAGCAAUGAAAAAACGCUAUAAUUUUUUUAAGUUUCUACAAGUAUUAUGUUAUCUUAUAUCUAAAUGUGCAUCUCUAGUCUUUGCUCUCAGUUCAGGUUCUCUAAAAGUAUAUUAAUUAUGAAAAGCAUUAAAGGUUCCGAAACUCUAUUUUGCGGGGAAAAAGAACCUCCAUUUUUGGUUUUUUAUUAUAUGAGAUUUUACUAUGCUCGUAAUAACUUAAUCGAAAUUAAACAUAUCACUGGUCUACAUUUUUUUAUAAGAUUUUGUGACUUGCUAAUUAAGAUGAGUAUCACCAUCAAAUCAACAAGCUUAUACCUUCAAAGAAAAAUAGACUAUAAGUCGGGAGAAAGAAGAAAAAAAAAAAAAAAAGAAUCUUCGCAAUUUAUGCUGUUGGUUGUGAGUUCAUGAAACAAAUAAAAAUAUGAAAUCAAACAUUUAUUCAAAAUUUAAAAUUAAAAAAAAAACUCUAUAUCUACAGUAAUCUGUUCAAACCACAUAGGUGGAGCAAUAUAGUUCCAAGACGUGGUUUUAAAACAUGUCUUUGUGAUAAACAAUAUCGUGAUACUUGCGCCAAUUCCCAUGGCAAUAAUUGCCUACAUUUAUCCAAGAUCCAUGGCCAGGUUUAGAAUGUGCUAGUCUUCUUUCACUUUCAUAAAUAACCACUACUAGGUAAUCAGAGUGUCGGUCUAAAUUUUUCGGAGAUACAACGUCAAUGUAUGUGCCCGGAGUUGAAGCUGAACGCGCUUAAAUAUGUUCGGAAUUUGAAGUUGAACGCCUGGAAAAGGAUGCAGACUGAAGAAAGGCAAUUCCUGGAAUUUGUCUUUGGUAAGAAAACAUGGCUGCUUAUGCCCUUUGAAAGACUGAAGAAACCAAAUUGAUUAUUGCUGCAAUUUAGUGGCACAUGUACGAGGAGAGGCAUCCAAUUAAACUUGUUCAUAAAAGUAUUGCUGAUAGUUGCAGCCGAUCUCCAGACAAAAUCUUCGUACAAUUUUAUCCGCCAGCAAUUUCGACCAAGAGACCUUGAUGCAGUUCAGACCAAUUCGCCAGUUGAACAUCAAGUUGCCUAGGCAUUGAGAAUUAGGUCAAUAAAAUAUAUCCUGGGUCACUUACAAAAGAUGAAAUAAGUGAAAAAGGAAAGAUGACGUAAUAAUUUCUUAGUGAGAAAAGUUAGUUAAUUUGCAAAGGUCUUAGAUAAUCAAUUUGAUGUAAAAAUAUCAAAAUUUUUUUUAAUCAGUGAAAUAUUCAACCUCUAGUUUCAGCACUACAAAUGAAUUAAAUAGAAUAAUGAUAGAUAUUUUAAAAUUUUAUCCCAAAUGAUGUGAUAUGUAAUGUAUCAUUCAUUAAGUAGUUGAUGAUUUUUUUAUAAAUUUUAAGUGGAUUAAUUAUAUUAUUUUACCAACGAGUAAAUAAAUGUCACAUCAUUAGAGAAGAAAUUUUAAGGUAAAACUUUUCAAAUAUAUAUCACUACUCCAUUAAAUAUGGUAUAAAAAAUCUAAUAGGGACCAAAAAUAUAAAAACCCAUUAAAAAUAAAAAAUAUAAAAGUCAAUUCCUAAUUAGAAGAAUGAAAGUUUGUUUCUCCUACAAUCAUUUCACUAGAUUUUAAAUAAAUUAAUUAAUGAAAAUUUUUAAUAACAAAUCGGUGCCUAAACCUAACGUCUUUUUUUUUUUGGUCUUAUCCACGAGGUAUCCUGGGGAGGGCCCCAACUGUGGGAGGCACCUUUAAGCCCGUACCACAACCCAGACUAGAAGUCCCCGCUCGAACCGGGAGGCACAGGUUCUCCCAACAAAGGCGACUUCCCCGCGACUCGAACUGGGGAGCAAACCCAGUCAAGCCACUUAAGGGGACUCCAUUGCCAGUGGAGCCAACACUUUGUUGGUUAAACCUAACGUCUUUGACAGUGCUGCCAAUAUCACUCACAACUUACAAGAAAAUUUUGGUAUUAAAUUUAUUAAUGUUCUCAAGGAAUUUUUAGUUUGACUUUGCAUUCUCAGACCCAUUUGUCACAUAACACGUUAGCAAAGACCUUUAAUGAGAAUAUUAAAACAGCUGUCGAAUAAGCAUCUUGACGACGACUUUUUGACAUAUAUGCAUGCCUCCUUUUGUGAACAAAUUUGAAACAUAAAAGAAAAUUUUGAUCCAUGUGAGAGCUGGAGUAUUUUAUAGCUUUUGACCUCAUUAAUUAUGAGUAAGGGAAUAUUUCUACGUCACUAACGAUUAACAUGAUCACUAUAUAAAGGGAAGCAAAGUAUGUUUAGCAUCAAGUCAGAAAACACAAUUUUUAGGAAAUGGGAACUCUAGGACAGGCGAAGCAAUGGCCUCAAUUGGUUUGUGCUAUGGCAUUUUUGCUCAUAGCCACCACAACCGCAAAGGCAUCAGCUGAUGAUUAUGGCCCAGCACCAUCACCAAAGCAUGCAAAGCACCCUCCAAGCCAUUACAAGCCACCGAAACCACCAAAGCACCACGAGUCACCACCACCAUACUACUAUAACUCACCACCUCCACCAGUACAUUCUCCUCCACCACCUUAUUACUAUAAGUCUCCACCACCACCUUCUCUAUCUCCACCACCUCCUUACUAUUAUAAAUCACCACCACCACCGAAACAUUCUCCUCCACCUCCUUACUACUACAAAUCACCACCUCCUCCUUCUCCCUCUCCACCUCCACCAUAUUAUUACAAGUCUCCCCCACCACCAUCUCCAUCUCCCCCACCGCCUUACUACUAUAAAUCCCCACCACCACCAAAAUAUUCUCCUCCACCACCUUACUACUAUAAGUCACCACCUCCACCAGUGAAAUCUCCACCUCCGCCAUAUUACUAUAAAUCACCACCACCACCAAAACAUUCUCCCCCACCACCUUACUACUACAAGUCACCACCACCACCAAUGCAUUCUCCCCCACCACCUUACUAUUACAAAUCUCCACCACCACCAAAGCAUUCUCCUCCACCACCACCUUAUUACAAAUCACCACCCCCACCACCACCAAAACAUUCUCCCCCACCACCUUACUACUAUAAAUCUCCACCGCCACCAAAACAUUCUCCUCCUCCACCAUACUACUAUAAGUCACCACCUCCACCUGUAAAGUCUCCACCUCCACCACCUCACUACAAAUCACCACCACCACCAAAACAGUCUCCUCCACCACCUUAUUACUACAAGUCACCACCCCCACCAGUAAAGUCUCCACCACAGCCACCAAAGCAUUCUCCCCCGCCACCUUACUAUUACAAAUCACCACCUCCACCAAUGAAGUCUCCACCACCGCCACCUUACUAUAAAUCACCACCACCACCAAAUUCUCCCCCUCCACCUUACUAUUACAAAUCACCACCACCACCAAAGCAUUCCCCCCCGCCACCUUAUUACUAUAGAUCUCCACCACCACCAAAGUAUUCUCCCCCACCACCUUACUACUAUAAGUCACCACCUCCACCAAAGCAUUCUCCCCCGCCUCCUUACUAUUACAAAUCUCCACCACCACCUUACUAAUACAAAUCUCCACCACCACCAUCUCUAUCCCCACCUCCAUCUUCCAUUUACACCGCCACCAUCUACAUCACCUCCACCACCAUCUCCAUCAUUGUCACUAUUGCCUUCCGACUACUCCAUGUGAUCACCACCUCCCGAAGACUUCUAAGUUCAAUGUCCCUUCUUGAAACAAGUUU
rnacentral:lncRNA from 1 species